UUCAAAAAUCUGCUCAAGAUGAUAGAAUGCUUUAUUAUGAAGCUCUCAUGCAUUGUUUUGCAGUCUCCAUUGGAAGCUGGCACUUGGAACUGAGUUUUCUUCUGCAUGUCAGGGUGGUGUCCAACGAGUUCACAUAGUUGAUGGUACUCUUGGCGGGGCCCUGCUGCUAGAGUUAUUUACAAGAGAUGGCGUGGGGACAAUGGUAGCUAGGUAUGGAAAUUUCCUCUUAAUACAUCCCGAAUCUGUUCAAUAUGAUGAAAGUAUCUCCCCAUCUUAGAGCUUGGAAUUGUUUUUCUUGUUACCUAUUCGUCAGCAGUGAUUACCUACUAGGCAUUAUUCGUUGAGAUUUGGUGCUCCAUUUGUAGUAAAAUUGAAGUUGCAAAAUUGGAAUUAAGUGCUAAUAAUUUCUUAAUUGAGAACUUCCUCGGCAUUUUUACAUUGUGACACCUCUUGAAAGUUUAAUCUAGAAAAAAAAAGAGAGUAAAAUCUCUUGUCAGAUUUUCUCACACUGAGAUGACAGGGAUGUCUAUGAGGGUACACGAAUGGCUAGGGCAGAAGAUCUUCCUGGUAUAAAAAGAAUCAUUCAACCAUUAGAAGAAUCUGGUGUUUUAGUUCAGAGGACUGAUCAAGAGGUACUUUUGAGAUAAUCUUCUUUAUUAACUUUGAAUAAUAAGUUGAAAGCUAGACAUUUUCUUACCUUCUGUAUUUUUUUGUGUUUUGAAUAUGCCUCUUCUUGGAGACAUAUGAACCAUGCACAAUAAGCAUCAAGCUAGAAUGCCUAAAUGAUCUUUUUUUCAGCUCCUUGAAGCAUUGGAAUCGUUUAUAGUUGUGGAGAGAGAUGGAUCAAUCAUUGCUUGUGCAGCACUAUUUCCGUUCUUUGAGGAGAAAUGUGGAGAGGUUGCUGCUAUUGCUGUGUCUCCAGAAUGUCGCGGACAUGGGCAAGGGGAUAAACUUCUCGGUAAUAUGCAUAAGAUAGUAUUUUAUCUAACUGUUCUGCAAACUGAAUCUGCACUUGUCUGGUUGCUUUUACAAGGAAAACUUUGAUGUUCUAAUGAGCAGGUUGCUCUGAUUCUAAAUCUGGUGUAAAGGUGGGGAUUUUCCCCUCCUUCAGAAUAAAAUUCACAAGAUCAACAUGAUACCACACUUUUUCUUGUUUUCAAGGAAACACGAUAGGACCCUUCAGAAUCCACCUUUAGAACUGUCCUACCUGCUUAAACUAUAUAUUGCUAUCUUCCCACUGUUGAUGGCUUUCUGGUGGUUUGAUAGAUAAAUGGUUCCUCACCACUCAUGUCGCUUAAGUCAUUAUUAAGUUCUACUGCUUGUAGUGGUGGAUUGGACGCUGUACAAUAUUAAUGGGAUACUGGAUCGAUUGUUGUACAGCAUUUUCAGUACUAGUUGAGCUGCUUUCAAAAUUCAGCAAAUAGAGCAUUGUUUAUUGUUAGUAUACAGGAAGGUUUUAAGAAGUUAAAUAAUUAAAUCUUAAAAGCUGAAUUUGUGACAUAAUCUGCAGAUUACAUUGAGAAGAAGGCAUCAGCUCUUGGGCUGGAGAAACUUUUUCUGCUUACAACUCGUGCCGUGGAUUGGUAUGUAAUCUCAGUUUGUUGUUAGUGUCUAAACAUAAUUUUGACAUCCUCUGGUUGUAUUUUGCUGUCCUAGUAAACAUUUUCCAUCAAGUUCAAAGUGGAAAUUGCUAUGCACAAUUUACAAGGCAAUUCUAUUAGAAUCGAUGUGUCUUUUUAUGCUAUUUGCAUUCUAUACACUAGGAUUAAAAAAUCAUUGCGAAGCAUUUAACAGAAUAACAAUUUUUAUAAGGGUUUGAAAAGCUGUUGAUAUCUGUUGCAUUUAUAUCUGUUUUCUUGAACUUGACUGGAUAUGUUAUUGGUUAUUCAUAAUUGUCUCCAUCAAAGACCCUUUUUCCAUCACUAGUAAGUCUUUCAGUUUUUCUCAAAAAAAAAAAAAGAAGAAGAAGUAAGUCUUUCAGCAAGCACAGUUGAUGUUUGUUAAUCUUAUCAUGGAAAUGAUCCAUUAACAUGUCAGCAUGUUUACUUACUAAUGUGAGGCUUUUUCCUGUUACAUCAUAAUAUAUUCUUUUAUUAAUCACCUGCACAAACUAAAAGUGUAAUAGGAUGACAGGAAACAAAAGGUGUAGACAAGCAUACUCAGAUCUGCAUGGGGUAACACUACCAGGGAAUUACUAUCCCUUGUCGUGUCUUUGUGUGUCCACAGUAUUAUUAUUGUUGUUUAUGUUCUUUGCAAUUUCUUUUCGAUUGCGAAGGGAGUGCCGUUUGGAAAUUUACUACAAUGAUGGAGCUUUGUACAGAAAAUCUACACCUGCUUGAUCUUUUACUGUUUGUUUUAUAAUGUUACAGGUUUGUGAGGCGUGGCUUCUCAGAGUGCUCAAUUGAGUCCAUCCCAGCGGAAAGAAGGAAAAGAAUUAAUCUCUCACGUGGGUCGAAAUAUUACUUGAAGAAGCUGCAACCAGAACGAGGUGGUAUCGCCGCCAACGACUUUGUCUUGAGAUAACGCGAAAUGCAUAAUUAACUCGCUAGCUUAUCUGUUCCUGGUAUUAAAUGUUUAAUCUUAUGCCACCAAUUUUGUUUACCUUGCGAUCAAAUUGUAGCAGUUUAUUGCAUCUUAUGCAGUGAAAAAUACGGUGCAUUAGAAUCUGAGAGAACCGUUGUUAAAUAAGUUAAAGGUUGUUCUUUUGCACUGGUGAUCUAAAUUCCGUCAACUUUCCUCGUCCAAAUAUUUAUAGGAACUUACAUAUUGCUGAAACAAUGCAACACCUGCAUUUCGGUACUUACUGUAUUAUUCGAGUUUUAUGUAACGAAAAUCUGUAUAAGAUUGUUUUGCGACCACAUCGUCGUGUCGGAGAAGGAAGAGAUUCAGCAAUGUCUAUUCAAUUUGUGUUGUGUUCCAUCUAGAGAGAUUCUAAUGAUGCUUUUGGGCCCGAGUAAGAAGCAUGCGGGCUAAUAUCCCUAUCAUCUGAAAGCGGAAUGUAUCCUCUGCUUGGAAAGUUUGGUCAAUGAUAUACUCUGUUAUCAGACGGAUCGUAAAUCACGAAUAAAACUUCAGUCGAAAGCUCUCCAACCCGUCUUGUUUGGGAAGCUCUCCAACAAGUCUUGUUGGAGAGCUCUCAGAUUCACCGCUACUUAUGAGUUUUGUCUCCAUCCCAAGAAUUCAUUUGGUAUUUUUAAUACUAAGAUGGCGAAAAAAAAAAAAAAAAAAAUCUUGUUGGAGAGCUCCGUGAUUCACUGCUACUGGUGAGUUUUGCCUCCAUCCCAAGAAUUCAUUUGGUAUUUUCAAUACUAAGAUUGUGAAAAAAAGAAAAAUUAAAUCCGAAAUAGAAAGAUUAUAAUUUUUUGAUAGAAACAACACUGACAAUAAAUCAGAACUUCUCAAGAAAAUGUUAUUGGAUAGCUUCUCAUUGAAUUUUUAUUUAUUUAUUUUUUUUCAUUAGCAGGACAAAUCCACGUUUAUUCCAACCCUAGUCCCACGUUUAUUCCAACCCAAGUUGCGACCCAAAAAUUACAGUACUAUUUGGGGAAGUGUUUUACAUUGAUUGGACAAAGUUGACAGGACAGACCCAAGCAGUUAGGAGAGUGAUAUGGACAGGCACCGAGAAUGAGAUUGUUUGAGAUCAUACGUUAGUUUCAUCUGUGGAGAAAUUAUUGUGUGGAUUUAGUGCAUCAUGAACCGAUAAACUAGAGCUUAAUCUUUACUAGUUGAUUUUUUUUUUUGGAAAGGAAUAAUUGCAUAUGUAUCUUCUUAAAACGGGAUAUUGCAUACUUAUCCCUCUAAUUAAACUUUAAAAUGUCUUUUAUGUUUGUGCAAGUUUUAAAAACUUAUUGUCAUAAAUAGUUUGCACUUAUUGACGACCGAUUGGAAUUGUGAGAUUAAACUCUAGUGCUUUUUAUUAACAAUUUGAUGCCAAUUGAUCCGCUCAGUUAUUUUUAGAAUAUUAAUGAUUAUUAAUUUUAUGAAAGCAAUGAAGCAAAAAAAGGCAAAAUAGUAUUUUUAAGUAAAAUAUAGUGCCUUUUAACUAGUCAAAGAAUGUAAUUGUAAAUUUUUAAAGUUUGUAGACAAAUUUGUAACUUUAAAACCUUUAAAUAUGGUAAACAAAUUUCAAGCAAUAAUUUCUCCAGUUUAACCGACUGUCCCUAAUGCAGAUGACAAAAAUUUUAAUGAUCGGUACCCUGAGGUCUAAGUUCAAAGUUUAAUUGCUUCAUAUUUCAAACUAUUUUUUUUUUUUUUAAAAAGACUUUUAUUUAUGGAGCUUUUGGUGGAGGGCACAACGCACCUCGUCAAAGUUGGCGAGUUUCGUCCGUACAGUAAAACUUGACAUCGUUCUCGUCAAGCGCAAAGUUACAAGUUUGCGCCAUAUGUGAAUUCGCCACCCCUGUGAGACUGAUAUAGUGCGUUCGGGCCUCCCUAAGGAAGUCCAAGUUCACCACUAUGUCCAAACACCGGCGAUCUCUAGUUACACGAACUCGCGAGUUCGUCCCUAGGUGGAAGCAAACACGCCCUAGUACUUCGGUGUAUCUUUGGUUCAGUGAGUGUGAACAUAAGGGAGAUUCCAAAGCAAGCCACUCACCCCAAAAAAUAAAAAAAACAAUAAAAAAGAAGAAGAAGAGAGAAACAAAUACAUGCAAGUUGAAAAAUUCCCUGUGGUCUUUGUCAAGAGAAGAGUAGAUUCUUUUUUGUGCUCAAGUUUCAAAAUUCUUUUUUGUCAUGAGAAGCGUAGUACGUUACCCGUUUCGUUGUGGCAAAGGGCUUGGUGGUUGGUACCUGAGAUUCCAAGUUCGAAUUCUAGUUGAUUCACAUUUUCAGCUAAGUUUAUUUCUAAAUAAAAUAAAUGAAGUGAGUAGCGUGUUAUCUAUUUCUCAAAAAAAAAAAAAGUUUCGGAAACUUCAAAAGACUCUUCUUUUUUUCUUUUUUAAGUAAUUUAUUAUUUUAUUGUAUUUUGGCCAUUUGCCUUGCAAGUUGGGGAAGCAAUAUCUUCUCAGAUCACUUAAAAAAAAACGUGACAUUUUAUUAAGUGUUAUUAGACACGCCGAUAAAAAGUAUGCGAAUUAACUCCUGUAGUAGCUAAAACUUACUGUUGGGUUUUUAAGGAAGAGGAAUUUAAAUCAACCGACCCUUUCUAGCGCAAGUGGUAAAGAAUUUGAUAGUUGACAUCCGAGGUCCCAAGUUCAAAUCUUAAUUGAUUCACAUUUUCAGCUAAGUUUAUUUCUAAACGAAAUAAACGAAGCGGGUAGCAUAUUACCUAUCUCUCUUUCUUUUAAAAAAAAAAGGAAUUUAAACUAAAGAGUAAUGAAAGGCUAAAUUAUAAAAUCAAACUUCUAAAAUAAGCACUCAUUUCUGAAUAUGUGUUGUAGAAAGACAAAAACUGUUGGCUGCGAGUUCUGCUUGGAGAACAUAUAUAUCCUAUAAUAACACGCUUUAAAAAGUUAAUUUUCGAUAAAUUCAUGAAAAAAAUCGGUACCUAUGUGGGACGAUCAUGCAAAGUAAACCACUGGGAUUUUAUUAGAGAUAAGGCAACGGGCGAAAUUUCGUAGAAUUUUUUUGGGUUCAAUUUCCAGUUGGGUGGGCUCCUAAAUAAGUGUGUACAGAACCGAACAACCAACUAAAAAAAAUUAAUAAUAAUAAUAAUAAUAAAAAAUAAAAAGUUAAAGCAAGAAAUUAUUUAGCAGACGCGCUGUAAUAGAUAGAGACAAACAACCAACAAUAGAUUUGCUGUUUGUUAAGUUGUUUGAUGGUUGAGUAAAGAGAGGGAGACGCACGAGCGCCUACGCGUCACUCACCCAAAAACUGAAAGUGUUUAAUGGCCCUUGUUCGUUAACAAAGAAGCAGUUAAUUAGUAACUUACAAGGCCGGAAUUCGGAUUCUCUAUUAUGAGCUUUUUACAGCCUGUAUGUGGUGGCAUCUGCCAUCAUAUGCAGGGCGGUCUCAUCCCCUUUAAUGGAUUCAUUGAAUGGAAUUUGAUGAUCAUCAAUAAUGGAUUCAUUGAAUUUUACCAUCAAUAGGAGGAUGAUCUGGAAUCUCCAUUGAUCCGGUCCACCCAAAACAUGGUGGAGCAGGUUUUGAUUGGCUUAACUAGCUCAGUAACUAUUUAGCUGCAGUUUUUUCUCAUUUUGUAGUUGUGGUUGUCAGUCCCACUUUCGAACCCCAACCAAGAGCUCAGGGUGUCGAUGAGUUGUAAACGGAGGCCUCAUUAAUCAUCAAUCGACUACUGUGUGAACCGCAGCUCUCACGAUCAAUCCAAGAGAGCAUAAUACCCGUGGACAAGAAAAGGAAACGUUACGGUGACCUCAGCUACAAACGAUAUAUAUAUUCGGAGUACCAAAUUUGCACAUCACUAGAGAACCGUAUAUCUGCAAUCUCUCAUUAUCGGAUAAUAGAGGAAGUUAUGUAAAUUAUCAAAAAUCACACACGCUCGAAAAACCCGAGCAAUAAUAAUGGCUUAAGCAUUCACCAACAAAACAGAAAUUAAGAAUAAAAAAGAAGAAGAGAAACAUAAGUUUAUGUAUCCACCGCAGAGGAUGAUAUCACACAGCAUCAAAUAUGAAAUAUUUGCACACCAAUAGCAGCAAGCUUGUCCAUUUCUUUUUAAAAAGCUAGACUAGAAGAAGAGAUACGGUCCCUAAACAUCUACCCAAUUUCAGAUUAUUCUCACAGCACAAGUCGACGAGAAGAGGAGAAAGUAAAAUGGUAAAAAUAAAAUCUUUCGGAAGCAGUGAAGUGAAUGUGAUCAUCUACUUUGCUAGCGGUUGAUGCCAACCAUCCUUCGGUUGCACGCAGGGUUUGAUGAGAGCUGCGAUCGCCGACUCAAAAGCACGCUUCCAAGAGGCAGCAGCAGCAAAGGGCGGCCAAGCUGCAGUUCGAUCAGAGAAUUAAAAACAUCAACAAGGAGAUAAUAAUAGAAGGAAGCGAAUAGCAGUAAGAGAGAUUAAACAAAUGUAACAGGUGAGCAGUUUAGUUAUCAAUACUAAUAAAAUUUGAAGUCGAUUUUGGGAUCCAAAAUCCUUGAAUUCUGUAGAAUUGGAAUAUGGUGUACAUAUAUCCUAGAACUUUUUUCCGUAAAGAAAUAGAUCGAUUUAGCGACACUUCUGAUAAUGAAAGAAAACCCUAAUUUCAAAUUGAAUUGGUGAGGUUGCAAGAAUUGAUUGGCUACUAAUGAUAAUAUCUUCAUUGUCCUCGUUAGUAAGUGGUGUCCAUUUUCUCCUCAGCAUAGAAAGAAACAAAAAAAAAAAGAUACUGUUUUUUCUAUCAUCUCGGCCGCCAUGAUACUGGAAAGGAUUUGAUCAUGCUUAAAUGCGGUAGCUUCGUAAGGAUUUUGAUGAAGCACAUUGUAGCGUGUUAAUUGGCAUGAAGAUUUGGUGUAAUGGCACCUAACCACUUUAAUGAUGUUAUCUUUGUUAUAUUAGUAUAACAUCAUAGUAUUUGGUUAAAAGUCAUGUUACCUUUCUACUUUAUUUUAACUAAAGAUGGAUUAAAAAAGCAAAUGCAUCACCCAUUUCCCACCGUUUCCCAAAAGAUACUAGUAUGAUGCAUGAAUUGCACUCAGAUAUUUCCUACAUCUCUAUAACUCUACGAAUGAAUAAUCAAUUAAUGAUAACUAAAUGUAACAAAUCUAAAAUCAGCUUCAUUUACUCUUAUCUCAAAUAUAAAAUAAAUGGUCUAACCAUUAGACUCAGAACUUAUAAAGGAGUCAAAACUAUCCUGCAAACAGUAAAUGCGGCAUCUUUCUCAGGAAACCUUCUGACACGUAAUUAAAAUAUCUGGACUAAGCGGUUAUUUAUAGUAUUAUUAUUAUUAUUAUCUCAAAAAAUGAUUAAAUAAAAAGUGAUUAUGAACAACCACGAAUAUUUCGGAGAAAACGCAGGGGCAUUAUGGGGAGAUCAAAGGCUACUGGUCAAACACGUCGCCCACGUUCCCGAGAAAGCGAUUUAAUGCAAUUUCGGUGGUUAACACGUCGAAUCAUGCGCCACGGACGCACCGCGCACGAUAGCAAGGGCAAGGGCAACGCGCUAUCGUGCGCCGGCGAUGGUGGCGAGGCACAAUUGAACAAAAAAAAAAAAAAACAAUUUUCCAUCCGCCAAUGGACUGGCACGAAUCUUAAAGUAUACGAGCGCUGUACGGGAUGGGUUCCAGUAAACGAGGAGCGUGCUAAUUUGCGCGUUGCUCCUCCGAGGCGCAGGAUAGCGGCGAUGCGCCUCGCAGCGGCGAGGUCGUGUAGCGCGCGCGGUAGAGAGAUUAGGGUUAACCUCGCUAUCAUGCGCCGAUCCUAGGAGAGACCCCGGAGUUGAGGUGUGCAAGGUAGCUAGGUUGAGUAAUAUCCGCUAUCGUGCGCCGUCCGACGAGGAUCGAGGUCUCGCCGAUCCCUUAGCCGCUUCGAUUGAUCUGCGCCGAGGUGCGCACAGUAGUGAAGCGACGAAAGCCUCGCUAUCGUGCGCGCCACGGCGGAGAUCGGGGCCUCGCCGAUCCCUAAAUCCUUUCGAUGUGCGGCGAUCGGAUUCGGGAUCGAGAGAGAUCGAGAUGGAGAUGUAAAAGGAGAUAAGAGGGACGGUGAGAGAAAGAUUGAGAGCGAGAGAUCGCGAUCGGGAGUGAUUGAGAUCCAGAUCCAGAUCUCGAUCGGGAGAGAAAGAGAGAGAGAGAGAGAGAGAUAUAAAGCGUACCAUCCCUCCAUGAACGAGGGUCCGCUACUCUGCUGCUGCGGCGGAGGCUGGGCGUAGGGAGGCGGAUACCCCUGCGGCGGCGGGUACCCCGGCGCCGGCGCCGGGUACCCCUGCGGCGGAUACCCUUGCGGCGGGUACCCCGGCGGCGGGUACGCGUCCUUCCCGUAUCCCUCCGGAGGAUAACCUAAUCACAACAACAACAACAACAACAACAACCACCUCAUCACCAUCAGAUCGGAUCCCCAUUAUCCCCACCCCUCGGAAACCCUAUAAAACGGCGAAACCCUAGAUGAGGAGCAGGAGGAGGAAGACGAUCGCCGUACCUUGGGGCGGCGGCACGCCGACGGGGGGCUGUUGCUGGUUGUAGUAGCUCAUCUCCGCUGCGGCGGCUCCAGCGACGGAGGAGACGAGGGGGGCGAACGAGGUGGUAGAGGAGAACGGGGAUGGGAGAGAGAAAUAGAGAGAGAGAAGGGGGAUUUUAUAGGAGGGGUUGGGACUUGAGAUAAGAAAGAGGGGGGGUUGGGGAACGCGGAUGCGGCACUAUUCUGGGCAAAAGGGGAAAACGCGUCGAUGCCGUUUUCGUAGCGUGGGUGUAAUUUAUGCGUAUUUCCUUUCGGUUAAAUUACUGAAAUUUUUUUUUAAUAAAUAUAUUUUUUUUCUCUUUCUAAUUUUUUAAAAUUUAUAUUUUAUUUUUCUAAUAUUUUAAUUUAUUAUAUUUAGUCCUCUUUCCUCACGAUUCUAUCAAUAUUGCGUUUACUUUUUAUAAUUUAUACCUAAAAUACUCUUUAAAAUAAAAUUAAAGAAGUAUAUUAAAAAAUAGUUUUUAUCUUAUAUAAAAAGGAUAGUUUGGUCAUUUUUUCAUCUUCGUUUAUGUGCUAUUCUUCUGAAAAUUUUUUAAAAAUUUUAAGAGGACAAAAUAUAAAUCUUUGAAAUUCAAGAAAAGAAAGAAAAAAAAAACGAAUAUUUACAAAAAAAUAAUUUCUAUAUUUUAACUUUGUUUUAUAAGAAAAAAAAGGAAACAGGAAAAUAUUAUAGAAUGCUUUUCCUUUUUUUAACAAAUUUGAAGUAGAUAGUGACUAGUUUUUUUUUUGGAUUAUUUUUUGGAAAAACUUCAAAAACCUCCCCUGUGGUUUCGUAGUUUCUCACUUUACACUCAUGUGGUUUAAAAUGUAUCAAUUUGUCUAUCUGUGGUUUCUUUUUUCUCUUUUUCUUAUCAAUUUUAUUAUUUUUUUUCUUAAAUCAGUGAUAAAGUUAAUUUAAAGGGUACUAAAGUGAAUAUUUGAUAUAUUAGAUGAGUAUCUGAAGUUUUUUGUAUAUAAUUUAAUGAAAUAUUAACGAAAAAGCUACUGAAAAGAUAAAAACGGAACCACAUGGGGGCAAUUUGAUACAUUUUAAAUCACAGGGGGGCAAAGUGAGAAACUACGAAACCACAGGGGGGUUUUUGAAGUUUUCCCUUUUUUUUUACUUUAUCAUUUUGUGUUUUAAAAAUUUAUAUUUAACUAUUCUAUAAUUUAGUAUAUUUUUAUUUUGCUAUUAUGUAGUUCAAAAAUUAUAAUUAAUUAUUCUGGAGAUAUCAUAAAAGUGUUAUUUUAUUAUCAUAUUUGAUAAUAAUAGGAAAGAUAAAUUCAUAAAGUAGUUAAAUAUAAAUUUGAAACCAGAAAGAGGCAAAGCGUCAAUAAGCUAAACCACGGGUGGCAAAUUAAAGUUUAUUAUUAUUUUUUUAUUUUUUGCUUCACUUAUAGCACUAAGCCAAAUUGAAAUUUAUCCUUAUUCUUCGCUCCGGUUAGCGUUUCAUUUAGGACUAGUGUAAUGACCCGCGCUUCGCGGUGGGAGGUCGUAACGUUGAGAGCUAAUAAUAUGACUUUUAUUAUAUUUAUUUAUCACGAAACAUACAGAUAUAUAUAUAUAUAACAUUCACAUUAUGUAAGAUAACUAAAUAUAUAAUAUAGAUUAUCUAAUACGAUGUGAUGUCUUUGAUAAUACAAAUAUAAUUGAUAAAACAGUUCUUAAAUCAUUAAUUAUGGCCUAUCGGUUCCACUUGAUUUCUUGCGGGUGUUAACUUUGCUUGGUCCUUUUCCAGUCUUCGAACUGCAUACGUAUGAACAAAAUAGCAGAUGUUUCAAUAGGCAAAUCACUAUCGUUGUUGUCGAGCAUCCUCAUAAAUUGAAUUGGUAUGCAACCACUCAGUCAACAUUGUUUUUUCAAUAUUUGGUCUACGCAAAAGACUUUUUAAAUUUUCAGUAUUGUGAAAAAUAAUAUUAUUCAUUGAAGGAAGAUGUACUCGUAGUCGCUCAAUCGAUGGUUCUCUAAAAUGGAUAUCAAAUUGGAACAAACGGCAAGUUGCUUCAUAUGCAGAUAAAUAUCUGCAAUCUAUAUAUGUUUUGAUUUCAUCAAUCUCUUGUUUUUUCUUUUGGUGAACAGCAAUACUAUAUAUAGAAAAAAUUGGGGGGAGCAUGCAUGCACUCUCAUGAUUAGAAAGAUAGCAAAAGGACAAGACAAUAUUCUAUGCACUAUGAAUUUUUUUGUUUCAUGCACCAUGUGUAUGUAGUAUGAAAAAUUUUGUAAGAAAAAAGGUUAUCUUGUGGGUGAGAUAUUAUUUCUAUUAGACUUAAAAAAGUAAAAAAUAAUUUACAAAUAAUCCAUCGUGAAAUUGGAAUGAAAACAGGAGAUUUAGAAUUUUCUGUAAGGAAUAUAAUUUUUUUUAGAAGAAAAUACAGUGUAAAAAAAUUAUUAAACUUUGAAUAUAUGCCGGAAUUAUUUUUCUUAGGCUAGGUUUAAAAUUUCAUGUCAUUCUGACACUCCAAAAAUGAGGACGAAAAAUAGUAGCAAUCUGAUAAAGAUUUUAGUUGGUAGACCCUUCGGCGACAAAGAAAAUGUUCAGAACUGUAAAAUUAAGAUGACGUUCUUCUGGUUGAUUUUAACUAAGCUUGCCUUUAAAAUCAUUAUUGUUUACAAUGAUACAGAGGGUGCAUAGAACAAAAUUUUUCAUAGUACAUGCCUCUUUAACAUAGUAUCUUGCCUUUAAGGGUGCGUUUGGUUCGCGCUAUCUUUUAAAGAUUUCUAGUAAUUCAAUGAGAAUAAAAAAAUAUGACGGUAUUUGGCUAAACACAUUAAGUAAUCUAGUUGGUAAUAUUAGAUUCACUUGGGAAUAAGAUUCACCCCAAAGUACUAAUCUCAUUCCCUUGAGAGGGGUGGGUAUCCCAUAUUAAUGAAUUGGGAUAAUCAUAAUAUGUCUAAUCUCUUUCUUUCGUCCUACCCGGCGGCUAAUUGAUAUUAUUUUUCUUUACACUCUAACCUUAUAUCUCUCUCUAAACUUUUUUUUCUCUCUCUAAACUAAACUUUCUCUCUCUCUCUCUCUCUCUUUCUAAAAUUUCAACUCUCUCACUCCCUCUAAUUUCGACUAUAUUUUUCUUUUUAUUUUUUUAAUUAUGCUCUCUCUCUCUAACUUAUACUCUCUUUUUUUUCUAAAAAGAUGUUGAAACUUUUGGUAACAUUAUUUAAAAAUAAAUAAAUAAAUAAAUAAAUAAAUAGUAUAUUUUUUGUAAUAUUAAAUAACAUGGCUAAUUAAUAUUACCGUACCGUGCGGACUAAACAUAAGAAUUCCACAUUCUUAGUAAUAAGAUGAAUAGGAAUAAGAUAGGAAUAAGAUUCUCGGAUAUUUUUUAUUCCUACUAAUCUUUCAUAAUGCGAACCAAAUGCACCCUAAAAUCAUUACGGUUUAACAUGAUACAGAGGGUGCAUGAAAUAAAAUUUUGCAUAGUACAUGUCCAUUUAACAUAGCCCAUGCGAGUCUAUGUUAGGGAAGGAGAACAUGUGAGGGAGAGAGAGAGAAAACCCAUAUAAAAAAAAGCCACGUGGCUCGAUGGAGGAACGGUAUUUGGUUUCAACUUUAGUAUAGAGUUUAAUAAAGCACAAAAAAUAGUAAAUUUUCGACAAAUUAUUACAAAUCAAAAUGGAUGGAAAAAAAUAAGUUCCUCAUCUUUAGUUAUAUUUUCUUAACUGAUUAGGACGACUAUGAAAUUAUUAUUAUUAUUUUUUAAUUCUUAGCCUUUACUUAACUGCCCAUCCGGAGCGGAAAAUGUCAGGAGCUCCAUAAAUCCGACCCGUUUCCUCCAUAUACUUAGUAGUUAAGGAAAAGAGGAAUUAAUUAUACUUUGAUCCCAGGUUUUCUGUGUGUUAUUAAUUUACUCCUAAAUCUUUUGACCUUUUACAAUUUGGUUAGAUAAAAAAUGCAUAAAAAACUUACCUCAAUUAUCAUCUAUUUAGAUUUAACUACUUUACUUGUAAAAACUUUAAUUUUACUAUUUGAUCUUUUAAUUUAUUUGAAUUGAGCAAAUUAAUGACUCUUUCAUUUAAAAUUUGAAGUGUGUCAUUAUAUUUUUAUAAAUUUAGUUAGCAUAUUUUAUAUAAUUUAUGUAACUAUAAAUUUAUUAGAGUAAAUAAUUAGCUUAAAUUUUAUAUUUAAAGAGCCAUCAGAUUAUUGAAAUCAAAUAAAUUUGAAGGUUGAGAACUAAAAUUAAAAUUUUAAAAGAUUGGAUAGUCAAAUCAGAAUGGCCUAUAGUUCAGAUAGAUUUUAUAUAUUUUUAUUUUAUUUUUAUAAGUAUGAUUAGUCACUUACAAAGGUAUGAUAAAAUGUUCUUAUCGAUUUCUAAAAGUUCCUUCAAAUUUAUCCAUAAUCUUAUGAUUUACUAAAUAGAAUUUGGAGUUUAAAAUUAUAUUUUGAAAAUAUAUAAAUUUAAAAAUUUUGAAUAAUAAUGACGAAUAUAUAGAUAAAGGAUAUAUCUAUAAACGGAUGAGAUACUCGCGUGGGAAGUCGAUAUUCUAGAUUUGAGUCGAAAUUGUGCUUUUAUUUAAAAAACUUUAUUUUUUGACAAUGAAAAAAAAAAGAGGAUAUUUUGUAAAAUGUGGAGUAGUAGAAUCACAAUUAGUGUUUCAUACAAAAAUUAUAUUCUAAUUUAGGCGUAGUUUUAACUACAGCAGUUGAGUUUCUUUGUACGAUUCCAACUCCGAUAGUCGAGUUCAAACGAUCAAAUCAAACGUCAGAUUUGAAUUUGCAUACAGUUAUAAUUGCAGUGCCGUUAUAAUUAUAUACAACUAAAUAGUCCCUGAACGUGUUAGAGAAAAGCAAUUAACUUUUGCAAACGGAUCAUUUUGGCUACAGAUAACUAAUUCUUAGUCUUUGAUUGUCAGGGUCAAAUCUGUCCCUAACAAUUGGUAAUGAAUUAAUUAAUAAAUUAGACGAAUCGGUGAUGCGAUGCAAGCCAGCGAUUCAGCAUUAAACCAUUUACAGAUCUUUAAAACAUUUUGAUUGAUCAAUUUUUUUAUGUUAUUACUGACCGUUUCUAGUGCAAGUAGCAAAAGAUUUGGUGAUCUCUAAAGCGAGUGGCAAAAGGCUUGGUAGUUGGUAUCUGAGGCUCAAGUUCGAAUCCUAGUUGAUUCACAUUUUCAGCUAAGUUUAUUUCUAAAUAAAGUAAACGAAACGAAUAGCGUGCUACCUAUCUCUCAAAAAAAAAAAAAAAAGAUAUUCAAAAUUUUAAGUUCGAAUUUGAGUUGGUUCACAUUUUCAGCUAAAUUUAUUUUUUUUAAAAAUAAAAGAAGUAUGUAACAUGCUUUUUUUAAAAAAAAAAAAAAAAAACUUUCUCAUAUUAUGAGCGAGAUCAUGUGGUCCAUCUCAUUUGUGUUGUUUUAAAAUUUUCGAAGGUGAAGUAAUAAUAAAAUAUCAUUUACGUUUGAAUGCAUAUUUUAUAAGGGGGCAAGGUCUAUAAGUGAAGUCGACAAGGACGAGCUCCUCAAGCUACAAAGACAAAAUGAAACUUUGCAGUUUUUAGCAGCCCACGUGUAGUUUUCUUUGGUACAUAAAAUUAAAAAAAAUUCUAUUUGUACAAUAAAAAAAAAAUAAACUUCAAAUAUUAUCUCUGUGGUUUCGUACUUUCUCACUUUAAUAUCCUAUAAUUUAAAGUGUAUCAAAUUAGUGUCUUGUAGUUUUAUUUUUAUCUUUUCAUCAGUUUUUCUAUUAAUAUUUCGUUACAUUAUAUACAAAAAACUUCAGAUACCUCACCUAGGUUUAUCGAAUAUUCACUUUAGUACACUUUGGUUUUAACUUUGUCAUUGAUUUAACAAAAAAAAUUAGCUGAAUCGAUAAUAAAAAGAUAAAAAUAAAACCACAAGGUAUUAAAUUGAUACACUUUAAACCAUAGAGUACUAAAGUGAGAAAGUGUGAAACCACAAGAGUGGUAUUUGAAGGUUUUUGCAAAAAAAUUGCAAAUUUUAUGCUAUUAUCCUAGUAUUCAUAAAAAUUUAAAUAUUUUUUUUAUAAAAAUAAAAAAACGUUGAUGUAAUAAAUAGAUAAUUAAUGAUCUUUGAAUAAAGUGGUAUAAAAUGUACAUCCCACUUUGAAGUGUAUUAGUAGCAUUGUUUAUUAACUGAAGGUAAAUUGCACGUUUGGUCCUUAAACUAUAAAUGGGGUGAUAUUUUAAUUUGUAAAUUUUAAUUUAUUAUAAUUUUUAAUACGAAUUUUCAGAAUUAUUUAUAAUCAAGUCUCAUAAUUUAAUUUAGCUGACUAAAUAUUAACAUGUUAUAAUUCUAUUUAGCUUUGAAAUUUAGUCAAUUAAAUUAAACUAUAAGACUUAAAUUAUAAUAAUUCUAAAAAUUUAAAUUAAAAAUUAUAAUAUAUUAAAGUUGGAGAGCCAAAGCCAAAGAUUCUCAAUUGACUCAUAGUUUGAGGACACACAUGCAAAUGUGGUGGGGGCCACCACCAUCCACUCACAAAAAUAAAAAAAAAAAAAAUCGGGAAAAAUUAUUGAAUGUACCCUACGUACUGUGCACCGUGCACCACAUACAUAAAAUCGUACACUGCCCAUAAUAAAAUUAGAAUUUCACAACAUUAAAAAGUAUAAAUAUAAAAAAUUAUAAAUUUGAAAGGCCUAUAAUUAAUAAAUUGCAUAAUUAAUGCUCCUCUCUUUAACUUUGAUCCUUAUGGAUUAUCACAGACGAUGCCUCCAUAAUAUAAUUUGGGUAAACUUUAAAUAUCACCUAUAUAAUAUUGUACUUUCUUAUUUUAAUAUUUUAUAAUUUAAAAUAUAUUAAUUUAGUAUUUUGUGAUUUUUUUUUUGUCAGCUCCUCCGUUAACAUUUCAUUAAAUUAUAUACAAAAAAUUCAGAUACUCCAUCUAGAUUUAUCGAAUAUUCACUUUAGUACCUUUUAGUUUUAACUUUGUCACUGAUUUAAUGAAAAAAUUAAUAGAGGAAAUAAUAAAAACAGAAAAAUAAAAUCACAGAGUACUAAAUUGAUAUACUUUAAAACAUAUGGUAUAAAAAUAAAAAAAAAUGCGAAAUAUAGGAGUGAUAUUGGAAGUUUUUCUGUAUAAUUUUAAAAUUUAUCAUUUUUCAUGUAUACUUAGUCGUUUGAGAUACGGUAAAUCACGUCUAUUGGAAUAUAUUUGGAUCUGAGAGAUAUGAAUAAUUGAACACGGUGUAAUAAUAUAUGAGUCGUACGCAGAUAUUGGUUACAGCGAAAAAUUGAGAGGAGAAACUGAACUAGUUGAAAAAGAAAUUUUUCAAUACACCACAGCUAUUUAAAUCUAAUCGUUAAUUAGCGACGAAGUAAAACAGGUUACCGGCUUAGACUAGUCAACAGGAUAAUAUUGAAAGAUAAUUAAUGCAUACACCACAAUUGUUAGUGUUCUAUAAAAUUUUAAAUUUCUCAUUUAAUUUUGUUAUUUGCUAAAUUAGAUAAUGUUCAACUUGUUAAGUAUCUAACUCAAAAAAUAUUGAAUUUAAACUUGAUUUUUGAAUUUGGUGUUGUAUUGUAAAAUUUUGAUUUUGAAAAUUCAAAUUCAAGAAUCUAAAUUGUACUUUUAAUCUUAAGACCAAAAUUUGAUUUUUUUUUUUAUUUAAGUUGAAAAUUUGAAUUUGAACUGAAAUUUUAUUUCAAAUUUGUGUUUUAUACACAAGAAAAAUUGAAUUUGAUUCAAAAUUAAGUUUUGUAUGUUGUUUCCAUAUUAAAUUCGCAGUUUGAAUGUAAUUUGAAUUUCAGCUAUUGUAUGUUGUUUCCAUAUUAGACGUAUUCUAAUGAAUGGUAUCUAUACCUCAAUAACAGAUCAUUUCUAAGAUCAUAUUAUAUCUAAACCACUGAUUUAAGAAAAUAAACGGUCAAAGUUUACAUAAUAUAUUCAAGUAUGGCUCCUAGUUCAAAAGAACAAUUCAAAACAUAUAACAAAAAUGUGGAAGUUAGAAACAAGGAAAAAAGGAAUAUUCAUAGCAAAGACACACUAACUUGGUGGCUUGUUUUCUUACUGAUUCUUAUUGAAAUCUCCAAGGAGACUCUGCUAUAUAUAAAUAGACUUCAUUGUGAUCUCUUGGAAUAUUUGUCAACUGAGGAAGCUCUCUACUAUGGUCCAGUUUGGCCUCCCUUGGUUGUUGCUCUAUGACCAGAAAUUAUGACCUUUAUAAAUUAAUAAAUUAGAAAAGCAAUAACAAUUAUUGGUAAAGCACAAAUAUUGCCCUAUCAUGAUCAUGACAAAGCAUGUGGCGUUGAUGGUUCUCAAAUGUUCUAUCAUGACCAAGUAUAUAUUUUAGGAGCUCCCCCACUCCUAUGGUCCAAAAUGGACAGUAAUUUCUACAACUUGUGGAAACUUUUUUCUUCUUUUUUUUUUUUUUUUUUCCAACACUAAAACACAAAGUGUUGCCCCCACCAUGGUCCAUACUAUGGAGGGUUGUAGGAUUCCAACUUCUUUUGAGUUAUAGAUGUAUGAGUCUUUAUGUUUUUAUGGAUUUCAGAAAUUGAAUUCACGACUUUAAAAAUAUCUGUAGUGCCAAUAUUUAUUUCGACACUGAAGUCACGAGAUCAUUCAAAUAUCAACUUUCAAUCGUAUGGAAAUUAGCUUUUAACUUCAAAUGGAUCACUACCAUGCAUCCUGACCGCACAUCUCUUUAUUUAAUGGCCAAAAAUCUAAUAACACCAACGAUUUUUAUUAAUAGUAUAGAAGUCUAUAUAUACAUACGUAUUAUACAGUGAUUAGGCCAAACUUUUUCUGAAUGCUGUAUCAAAGUAGGAGUCCAUUACUUGACCCACACCACUGAGGCUUUGUUUGAAAAUGCGGUGGCCAAAUUGGCGGCCUACUUUGAUGUUUUAAAGAGGUUAAAAAUUCUGAAAAUAUUUUAGAGCUUUUCUCCUCUAAUGUUAUGAGAAAGACAUCAGCAGGAUUGACGGAAACAUCAGAAAUUCUCCACUCAGUUGAUUAGUAUGGAGCCAUUAACUUGAGUCACUAAUCUACAAGCUUCAUGAAACAAUACCUUUUCUCCAUUCAUUUGUCCCAUUCCUUGUGGCAAACAUGCUCCACUUUCGUUUCAUCACUCCAUGUAUAGCUUCAUUCCCGACUCCGCAAGUUUAAGCACCUUGAUUAUCAAUCUACUAAUAUAAAACACACAGAUCAAGCGAAAAUUUGUGACGACAAAUGAAAACAAAUCGGAAUAGAGGCAACAGAUUUUUGCAGUUCAACCACUAGACUACAUCACCAGCAUCCAUGAGUGAAGAAGAGUAGAAUUUCAACUGAGAAAACACACAAGCUGGCCAAAUUGCUUCUCUCAAAAAAUUCUAAUUCCAGUACAUUCAGAAACCCCGAACCUUAAAAUAUGCAACAGUAAAACAGCAGUAGCAAAACAUAAUACAGGUAGAACCCCAACUACAAAUACAGAUAGGGAUCAGAAAUCGAAACACAAGCCGCAAAAUAUGCCGUAGCAAAAUGACAUAACAAAUCAAUUCCGAGAAUUCAAGACUAACAAUAGCACAUGGUUGUGAUAAGAAACAUAGGUUGACGAUGAUGUUCGGCGUCUCAAGCCAAACAUCGAUUGACAAAAUGAGGUGCAGUAUCUCAAACUACACCCAAAAUUCUUCUUUACACUUAGGCAUGCAAAGUCUCUGAGGCUUUUGCGAUAACUGGUAGCUAAAAGCAUAGCAAAACAUUGCAGCUAAAAGCAUAGCAAAACAUUGCGUCCAGCAUGCGCAAGUUUGCACAGAAAAAUAUAAUGCCCAACGGCAAUAAAAAAUAUACACCAAUUACAACACCAGCAUCCUCUCUCAAGGAUCUAAAGGACUCAACAAAUUGCAGUGACAUGAAAACCUGACAAAAGCAGAAAGUGAACUAUUCUUCUUUCGAAACCCCGGAAGAUUAAGACAAAAAAGAAAAACUCGGUACCCCAAAAUGAAGUAUAAGUGAGCAGGGGUGCUGUGGUGGAGAUGCAAGAAUUGUACAGGAAAUAUCAGCACUAGCAAACUUGUGAGAGAUCGCAGCUUUGCAGUGUUGCUAGUUGAUUUAUCUGCAACCAACUCUCGUACACGGAGGGCCAAAACUAAAAGAGAGAAUUUGGCUAGUGCUUAGAACCAGCGGAAAAGCCGUUGCCUCUGCGCGCUACUGCUAGUUCCAGGUGGAGUCACAGAUAUCCUGUUGGCGUUAGCUACUACCCACCGAUUGAAAUCUGGAGAAGACACUAGCUCAUCCACCGCCUUCUUAGUCUGCUCUUUAGUGAAUGUCUCCCAUUCUUCUUUCGACAUCUUCCUCCUCUCAGGAGUAUUGUGAAAGGUGGAAAAAUAGUUAUCCUCCGCUCGCCUUUGCGGUGGCGUCCUGGUUAAACCUGCAAUGGGAUGCAAGAUUAAGAACAGUAAAAUGAGUUGAGUAAAGAUUUAGGACUAUACUCGUUACAGAAGCAUACCUAAAAUAGGGGAACUGCAAGAAGUGAGUCCAGAGUAUUUGCGAGGCCAAGGAGGUGAUUCAUAUACUGGACGGUCGUAAUUGUUCAAGUAUUCUUCAUGAGAAUAUUUUGGGGGCGAUGCAUUAAGUCGAGUUCUUUGAACACUCUUGAUAAUCCGCCUGCCAGAUCAGUGUAAUUUUGUCAAGUUGUUACAAUUAGUCAUCACGAAGGAAAAAUCAGAAGACUAUAGGUGGUGCAGGAUGUGAGCAUGGACACACAAAAGGAGCAUUUCCUUUUUUAUUACUACAGUUCAAUUAAGCAAGAGGAUAUGAAACAUGCAGUUCAAGAAAGAGGACGACAGCAAGACAAGGGAAUUAAAAAUAAACAACACUAUUUUCUUUUCCUAUAGAAAGAAGGCGGUUGAUGGUAACAUAAAAAGUUUUCAUAUUAAACAACCUUGUCGAACACCAGAGCAUAAGGGGCCCCUAAGUUAAGAGUAUCACCCUCCUAAAAGCAAAACAUGAAAUACUCAAUGAAGACAAUUUACUCAUACAUAAAGCAUCCAAUAAGCAAACACAUAAUCCAGUUAAGACUUAUAUAGAAUAAAAUUAAGUAAUAAUUUGUGUAGUUCCAAGCAUCACAAAAUUUUUCUGAAUCUGUUUGAUGAUUUGCUCUACCUUUAUUGUUUUAUUUUCUAAUUUCCUCUUUAGAUUAUUCCAGACAUUUCAAACCAAGAAGUACAAAGGUGAAGUCCAAGAGGCUAAAACUUUCAAAGCUUGGUGUAUAUUUCCUACUUUACAACUAAGAUUUGUAACAAAAAUAUUACUGUUACCAAUAAUUAUUCUCAGCUAUACCCACAAAAAUGGAAUAAAUCCAAAAAAUAAAUUAAAGCCAAGAAGUAAUAGCAUCUGCAACUACAAAGCAUAGAACUCGCAUGGUCAAUUAAAGCAUGCUGCAUAAGCAUUUAGUGAGAUUUGGCGAAUAUAAUACAAUUGAGAAAAGCUGGAAAAUUAGUUUUAACGCCAAAAUGAAUAAACAGUCAUAAAGACACAAGGAUAAAGAAAAGACAUGGCAAUAUAUUUUUAUUAGUACUUCUUAAGCAAAGAUUUGUAAUAGUUGAUGGUGGACUAGCGGUAGCAAUACAUAUCAAUAACGCUUUGGCAAAAAAAUGAGUGCACAGUGCAACAUAACUACCUGACCAGGCGACGUAAGAAUCUCGAUUUUCCAUGAUUCCUCGUUAUGGCUGUUAUUAGGACAGAGAAACCCAAAGCUGCAAUUGCAAACACCACAUCCAGAGAGCUCUAGGUACAGUAAAGAACAGGAAAGAUUAGUAACAAUGAUUGCAAUUGUUGACAUAGAUAUGGUACAGUAGGUACUCUAGUAGGGAAAAGAAGCUAACAGGCAGAUGAACAGGCUAAAAUUUUCUAACGAUCAAUAACUAAAAGCUAGUCACUCAAAGGAGAUUUACCUGGAGUAUCAUUACAGCAGAAAGAAUCAUAAUUGACCAUUCAACAAAAUAAGCCACACUAGAGUCAACUGAUCCUUCCUCUGUUAGAACAAGCUUCCGAACACCCCAAAAACCAAACCAAGCUCCAGCCAAAACGAUGCAUACGAGAAUUAUUAUACCCAACUGCAGUAACAAUUCAUUAGAACAAUGAAAAAUAUUAGUUAGUCUUAUUAAUCAUCAUAGAAACAUAAAUCAAGUUUUCUUUGAGUGUUGUCAAAUCCUGCAUGUGACAGUUGCAUGCGAUUACGAGCGGCACAUUGCUUGGAAAGAGAUCAAGGCAAUUUUCAGCAGUAUAAGAAAUGAUUGCAUAAACACACUUGAUGCUCAUAUCAUUUGGAAAUUUUCAGCAGUAUAAUAAAUAAUUGCAUAAACACACUUGAUACUAAUAGUAUUUGUGACAGCUAAUCUUAGUGAAGAUGAUUGAGCGGCACAGCACUAUUAAGAACUCUAGAAAUUCAUGUGUGCAGCACGUAUGAUCUCUCCUUCAAUUUAUAGAUGCCGACUGGAAGAUAUGAACAUGAAUUGAACCCUCCUAAUUAAGCUACAAAAAAUAAUAGAUCCUCCACCUAUCUAAGAUUCAUUCCCAUCUUACUUAAAACUAAUCUAGAGACAGUAGCUGCCACAGAAAGCAGAUAAAGUUAAAUGACAAAAAAUGACUUUGAGAGAACAAUUUUUUUUGUGUCAUAAGGCUCUUUUGCAGUUUCAUUGUAACGAAGUAUCGCCCGAAUGCAGUGCAGCAGUAAACCCAAUAUCUGAGUAGGCCAAUAAACUGCAUUAGUUAUUGCAAUCAUCCUAUGACAAAGUUGCUUCACAUCAAAGGCAUAUUUAAUUAGUACGCUUAAGAUGAGCCACGAAGUGACCGUGGCUUAUAAACAAGAAAACAAUGAAUAAAGCACAAAGAAACUUACAUACAGGAUAGUGCAUAUCUUCACUAAUUCCUAUCUCCACAAGAAUUGAUCGCAAAAACCCAGACAAAUAACUGAGAAGAAAGGUUGUAACACCCACCUGUCAUCAAAGAAGAUAUAUUACUACAUUAGCCAAUGCCAUCGGGAUGCAUUAAUGUGGAAAUAGCUUUUCAAGGUCAUUACUUACAGCUGAUGAGUACAUAAAUAUUGCAAGAGAGCUCUUUCGACCUGUCGGUAGUAGCCUCAUUCCCUGCAAAGAAUCAGAUAAGUUCCUCAAAUUACAGCAAUUGAGAAGAGAGUGACAUUAAACAAAAUGGCACCCUAACCUCUAAUUCUUACUUGCAUCCGUUUCUCUUUAUUACAACAAAUACUGAAUUGUAUAUAUAAUUAGCAUCAUUCUAACAACCAACUAAGUUGGCAGCAUUUAGGCAUCCUAGACAGAAAAGGUCCACAAAUAAGCAGCGCAUCUCGCAACGAUGCAUGUAAUUGAAUAAUGAUACAAAAAUGGAUGCUUUUGUUAUAAAGCAUUUGUUUUUCCUCCUCUUUAAAUUGCACUAGUAAGAGUGAGAGAUGUCUAUCCUGCACCUAGUGGCAUGGGGCAUCAUCUAAGCCACGAGUAUCCCUAGACUCGAGAGUUGAUUAGCAUGAUACCCAUUACUAAACACACAUUUAGGCUACUUAAACUAACAAAUGCACAUCCACAUAGAAAAGCACAUGAUGGUGAUAAUAUAAACAUAAACACAAUUUCACGAAAAUUGAAUUAUAACUGUGAAACCCAAUCUGAAGCACAGAAAUAGAGCUAGAGGGUGAACCAGUACCUGAAAAAGGAUCAUCAGUAUCACCAGGAUGAUGCCAAUUGUCAUUGCACCGCCAUAAUAGAACACCACAGACUCACUUAAGGUGUGAGCUGUCGCCAUCAUGACCAUUCCCACUACCAGGAAAACAACCCUAAAAAGCACAAACUCUGCAAGUACAUGAAUCACCAGUAUCAACAACCACACUAAUACAUAAGAAACCUAAAACCCAUGAUUGCAAGUAUAUAACAAAAUACAUCUAAAGAACACCUUCCGCAGUGGAGACCUCAAUGGUCCUCGAGGGAUCCGGCGGCAUCCGAAUAUCCAAAAUCCUGUGCUCGUAAGGCGACAUGGAUUGAACCCACGAACUCUUCGAAAGCUUCUGCCACUGGGACGCCGGGCACGUCCCGAUCCCAAUCGACGCGUUCCUGCAUCGAAUACAACAAAUUCGAAUCAACAACCCAUCGGAGUCGCAUGCAAAGCUAGGGUUUUUGCGGGGAUUUACCGGUGGAAGCAGAGCUCGACGCUCUGGACCCGGAAAAGGCCGUCGCCUUGGGGGACGUCGACGGAGACCCUGAGCGCGUGGGCGAACCUGCACGGGUUGCGGAGCCGGGAGAGGCCGCGGAUGUGGACGCGGGCGCAGGCGAGGGGGCGGGAGCCGGGGGAGGGGUCGACGAGGCGGCCGAGGGGGAGCAGGAGCUUGGAAGGGUGGGAAUCGACUGCGGAAACGACGAAAACAAGGAGAAUGGUGAGACGAGAGGGUUAGGAGGAAAUUUCAAAGGGGAAAAUUAGGGCUUCUUCUAGGGUUUUUGGAUUCGUUACCUGUGAACUCGUCGGGGGAGGAGAGAGAUGAGGAGGUGGAGAAGAGGAGGAGGAGGAGAGAGAGGAGAAGGGGAAGGGGAGAGGAGCGCAUGGUCGCGUUUUUGGGGAGGAGGGGUGGGGGAGAAGAGAGAGGGAGGGAAAGGUUUAGAGAGAGGAGGACGCUUCGAUAGUAAGGAAUUUAUAUGUCGAAAAUAGAAAUUGGAAAAUCUAUGGACACCCCCUGCACUAUAGAAUAUUCUGCACCGGCCCUCUCAACAGCUUUUUUAUAUGUGAUUUAAUGAAGAAUUAACGGACGCGCUGAAAAUAUAUAUAUAUAUAUAUAUAUAGAGUGGAGCUAGAAUAUUUUUACAAGUAUCACCUGGGUGGUGCUUUAGUGUUUUUAGCCCUUGGAUGGAGAGAUAUGAGGUUGAGACGAUAGUGGUAGGUGGUGGUGAUACUUGUAAAAGUAUCCUAGCUCAACUCUAUAUAUAUAUAUAUAUAUAGUUGGACUGGGCUAUUAUUGGUAGCAAAAUCUCAUUGUUGCUAUCAGUUUUUUAGCCUUUGGAUCAACUCUUUUCAUUAUUUUUAACCAUUGGAUUAAAUACUAUAACCCAGUGGAGACCACUCAACCCUAGGGGAACCACUCAACUCUAACCGACUAAUAUCAUCCUGAUUCUAUAAUUUUUCUUCCAAGAGUUAAAAACUUGAUAGCAAAAAGAGCGUUUUACUAUUAGUAGUAUUCCAGCCUAAUUCUAUAUAUAUAUAUAUAUAUAUAUAUAUAUAUAUAGAGUUGAGCUGGAAUGCUAUNUAUAUAUAUAUAUAUAUAAAGUGCUAAAAUAAUACACUUUAAAUUAUAAAAUUUUAAAAUAAAAAAAGCAACAUCACAGAGGUGAAAUUUGAAAUUUAAUCAAAAUUUUUUUGACGAGUCACAUAAAUUUUCACUACGGCUCCUUAAACAUUUAAGUAUAUCACACUACCUGCGGCCAAUAGGAAUGCAAACUGAACGAAUCUGAGGGCAGGAACCCGCCCCGCUAGGGGUGGCAAUUCAGCUCGCUGUUCGUGAGCCAGCUCGUGUUCGGCUCGAAAUGAGCUCGAGAUCGGCUCGCUCGUUUAGUAAACGAGUCGAACACGAACUGGAUUUUUCAGCUCGUUUAAUAAACGAGCCGAACACGAGCUGGGAUCAGCUCGUUCGUGUUCGGCUAGAUAACAGCUCGAAUACAUAUAUUUUAUAUUUAUAUAAUUUAUUUAAUUUAUAUUUUUAUAUAUAAAUAAAUAAUUAUAUAUAAUAUAUAUUUUUAUUAUUUAAUUUUUAGCAAAAUAAAAAUAUAAAUGCUAGUAAUUAUAAAAAAACUCAUUUAUAUGUAAAUGUUUCAACAUUAGAUCAAAGUUUAAUGGAUAAAAUUUUAUAAAAUUUAUUUUUUAUAUAUAUUUAAUCUAUUUUUUUUUAAUUUAUUGUUCGUGGCCAGCUCGUGAGCCAGCUCGUGUUCGGCUCGUUUAUUAACGAGCCGAACACGAGCCGACCCCAGCUCGCUUGUGUUCGGCUCGUUUACACCCCUACGCCCCGCCUCACGCGCCCCGACUAACAAAAUCCUAUCACGCCUCCCGCCUCGAAUCUAUGACGGAUUAAAAAAUAUAUUUUAUAAUCCACCUCGCCUCGUAACUUGCUUCCUCCCGGCGCCCCGAAUCUGCCCUAUCAACUAAUAUUUUUUAUAAAAUUUUAAUAUUAUUAAAAUUUUAUAAAAUAUAAAUUAAUAAUUUUUAAUAAUAAUAUAUAUAUAUAUAAUUAACAACAUUAAUUAUAAAAAGUAAAAAUAUGAAUCACAAUUCAAAGUAAAAUUCAAAAGUUUUAAAUACAUGAGAAAUAAGAACACUAAAUUAUUUGUAUUUUGAAUUUUUUUUUAUAAAUACAUUAUUUUUUAGAAAUAUUUUUUAAAAUAUAAAUGAUUUUCAGAACGUAUUCGCGGCGGAUCAAAAUUUCUCCCGUUUUCUAUCCCGAAUUCGUCUCGGAUCAUAAAAAUUAAAUCGUUUUCCGCCCUGAAUCUAUUUAUUUUCUUUCGUUUACUGCCUCAUUCUAGACAAAUCGGGGCGGAAGCUCCACCAACCGGGAUCCGUUGCAUCCCUAGCGGCCGAACGUUUGAACAAGUUUCAUUUUGGUCCCCAAACUCUCUUUUUAUUAUUAUUUCAUAUUUCAUUUCGUUUUUCAAAUUUUGUUUUGUUAUUAUUUCUUUUUGGUAGGUAAACUCUGAAGUACGAUGCUAGAUUUUACAAAUUGUUUAUUUUAGUUGCUGUACAAAUUUAUCUUCAAAUGCAAAUUUGUUGCCUAGAUCUAGCACACAUGUAUAUUUAUGUACUGUGCCGAUACUAAAUUUUUUUCCCAUCUACUCUCCAUUGUGUUAUAAUAUUUGGCUAUGUGUUUGGAUUUUGGAAAUAUAUUCCAAAAUAUAAUUUUCUAGUGUAAAAAAUAUUUUUUUAUCUUUCUAACUCCUAGAGAAAAUAGUUUUUCCGAAUUUAUUUCGCAAAAUUUAUAAAAAUAGUAUUUAUAUUUUUUAAUUUUUUAUUUAAAAAAUAAAAAUUUUAAAAAAUAGUAUUUUUUUAUUUUUGAAACAAUUCUUUUCCUAAAAAAAAGUUUUUCGUACAUUUUUGGAGAACCAAACGCUUCUGAGAUUGAAUUAUUAAUUAAAAUUAUAAGGCGAAUAAAGGAUUGAUGGAUUUUUUACGGUACAUUUAAAUGAACUAGAUCCAAGCAAUAAAUUUUUUUUUUCAAAGCUAAGGCUUCAAAUGAAAUAUAACUAAAAAUUUAGAGGCUGAAUUAAGUUAUAAUUAGAAGUUUAGGAUUUCAAAUAUUAAAUUAAAAAAUUUGAGUAACAAAAUAAAACUUGCUUUCACCUCUGGGGGCAAAUAAUGCAAUAUAGCCCUAAAUUGUUGAUUGAAAUUGACUAGCUUAAAUUUUACAUUUAACACUUUUAUAUUUUUAGGAUUAUUUUAUUUUAGCUUAAAUUUUUGGAUGUUGAAGAAUGAUUGACUGAAAAUGCAGAUCACUUGCAUGCUCUUUUCAUAAGGACUUUUUUUUGAUCUUUCAAAAUAAGAAAGUGAGUGUUUUUGACAACGCGAUAUCAAAUUAGCCCUAACUAAUGCCUACCUAACCUGGCUAGAAUCCUCGAAACAAUGUCUCUACUUGAAGAAACAUAAUGCAAGAGUUCGGCACCGAAAGGACCUAACGCGUUUGCUAAGAGAAAUAGCCGAAAUGAAAAUAUGAAGAAUUAUAUAUUGGUUAUUUAUUAUUGGGCGAAAAUAUAUCCAACUUUCUGCUCCGUGACAAUAGGUCCAAAAAGACUAAUAAGUUGAGUUAGAUGAGUCUAAUAAGUGGAGCGGAGAUGUGGUCCACAAGUGGCCUAACGGCAAGAAGCCCAACAAUAGAUCCAACAUUCAGAUGGAUUGAGUGAGGUCAAAAUCUGCGAGCGCUGUUACUGAGUCCUUAAGUGCGAUGGAUGCGUCCUUCCUAUCAGCACGUGUUUUUGAGAUAGUUGUUUAACACUUAUGAUCCACACUAUACACAUUAAAUUUUAGGGCAUGUUUGGUACAGGAAUCUCUUAUGGAAUAUAUUUUUUUAACUUAUCCAAAGACUUUAUAGUGUUUGGUGGAUAGGAAUAUAAUUAAAUAUCUGGAAUGAAAUAGCACAUAAUUAUUUUAAUUUUUUUUUAAAAAAUAAGAUAAAUCAGCUUAUCAGUGAAAUAUGUUAUUCUACCAAAUUACAAAUAUUAAGAUCUUAAAAACAAUUAUCAAACUGAUUGCUUUGGCAUCAAAUUUAAAAUUUAUUAUUAUCCUAUUUUCGUCAAAUGACUAGUUAAUUACUUAUUUGUCAAUGAAAAAGUCGUUCACCAUGAUAUUACACACUGCUCAAAACUCUCCCAAAUUUGUCUUAUACAAUUUGAGUAAAGAAGAUUUUUACGAAGUUACAACUACUAUCCAAGACAAACAGAAAUUCUCGUUUAAAUAGCAAAUAACGAAGCCACAACAAUAAAACCAUGUUCACGACACACACAUAUAUAUAUAUAUAUAUAUAUAUAUAUAUAUAGUCCUCUAUGGUGCUAUGAUAAAAACAAGCCGAACGUAACGGUUUGGUGGCCUCAUAAAUUUUUACCGUCAGAUUCUACUCCUCGGAUUAUUUUAAGCAUGUUAGAUUAUACUAUUCUAAACAAGCAUCGCACUCCAAACCCUAGGGGCCCACACAUCACGUACCGCACAUCGCCUUUAAUCUAACAGCUAAAAAUCUACAAACACCAAUAACUUGGUAAUAUUAAAAACAUAGGCGCUUAAAUAUAUAUAUAGAGGAAGAGAAAGAGAGAGAAGAGAGAGAGGCUAGAGCUACUUAUCUGACUUUAAUAGGGAUAGGAGAGAUUGUCCUAUCAAUGUUGUGAUGAUCUAGAAGGUUACCGAAUCGGAUGAUCGAGCCGUUGAAAUUGAUCUAGAGUAUUUGAAAUAUCUAGAACAUAAAUUUCAUAAAUUUUAAAAAUUAUUUACAUGGUGAUCAAAGGUACGUAAAAUCGACAAUUUUAUGACAGGCACUAUAUGAGCGGCGUUUGCUUGUUAAACGUGUAAGGAGUAAUCCAAAUGCUUGAAUUUUUUGAUAGAAAUUCCUUUAUACUAUUUAAUAAUGUUUGAGUAACUCUAGAUAUGAAUUGAGAAAGGCCUAACCUCUAGUUGUAGAAAGUUAUUUCAUGUUAUGAGCCGUUCAUUUUUUAACUAAUCUCUUAAAAUAACUUGAUAAUGAUUUUAUAUAUACAAAAUUUGGUUCUAAAUAUUUCUAAAUUUGUAGAUCAAUUUCCAACGGUCCGGCCGAUUAUCAUUGAAGUUCGUCAAAUCAAACAACCUUGAUAGGACAAAUGGCUCCCAAUCCUAUUAAUAGAACUAUAGCCGGACUUAUAUAUAAGUGGCGUUUGGUAUGCCUUCUGGAAACAUGGACGGCUCUGUGUGCUUCCAAGUUAAUUUUCGAUGUUCGGACUUUCGAAUCGAUAUCGCUGCCGUUAGAGUUGAUCUAGAAGUAUUUUGAAGUAGCUAGAAAUAAAUUUUGUGAUUUUUGUCGAUAUCAUUUGGCCUAGUGAUCGAAGGGCUCAAAUUCAAUAAUUUUAACGGCCGUGGUGAGCCGUUUGGCAAGUUUAACGGUGUAGAAAAUGACAAAUCACACUUAAAAUUUUGCAUAUGACAAAAAUUCUUUAUACCAUAUAAAACAAGAUCAAUUAACUUUGAUCUAAAAUUUUAAUGUCCAUAUCAUGUCAUAUUUUGUAAGAUUUUUAUUUUCCAGCCGUUGAUUUUGAGCCAUUUCCGAUCCUAGCAAAUGAUAUCGAAAAAUCGCAAAAAAUUUAGUUUUUAGAUACUUCAAAAUACUCUAAUCAAGUCCUAACGAGCCGAUCGUCGAUAUCCGAAGUCCGAACAUCGAAAAACCUAACUUGGAAGCACGGAGUCGCUCCGUGCUUCCAACGACCGCAUAUAUAUAUAUAUAUAGAGUAGGGCUAGAAUACUUUUACAGAGUAUGCCCCAAGUGAUACUUGUGUGUUUUUACCCUUGGAAUGGAGAGAUGUGAGUGAAAAUGAUGGGGUAGGUGGUGGAGGUGUGGUAUGGAAUAAGUUUGGAUCCAAGGGCUAUUUGUAAAUCAAAAAGUAGAUCCAAUGGCUAAAAACGUGAUAGCAACAUGAGGAUGAUACUUGUAAAAGUAUCCUAAGAUAAAGACUUAUAUAUAUAUAUAUAUAUAUAUUCGAUGUGUCUACUAUACUCUCGAAAAGUACCGACCUUUCGUGCUUGUAAGUUGUUUGUCUAUGAUUAAAUAAACAUCCGAUUCCGCAAUCGGCUCCGUUAGGUAUAAUCUACUCUAUUGGACUAUCAGAAACCAAAUUUUAUAAUUUUUGAGCAAUCAUUUACUAAGCGAUCAAUAAGGUCGCAAAAAUGACUAUUUUAUAUGCGAAUGCGGUACAUUUUUAGUUCAACGGUGUAAGAAAUAUCCAAAUACAUAAAUUUAAUAGAAAUUCUAACUAAACUCAAUAGCAAGAUCAAUACUUCUGAUUUGAAAUUUGAGUCAUUUCAUUUUUUUUAUGAGAUUUUUAUUUCAGGCCGUUCAUUUUGAGGCUACGGUGUCAGCUAGGCAAACAAAGUCAAAAUUAAUGAAUUUGAUCUAGAUAUUCAAUACGUAGAUUCAUCGUCUAACGAAACCGAUCACUAUCGAAUUGGACCGUCCCAUCAUCCGAAACUUAAUUGAUUAAGUAACGGAGGCCCCAUACUGUCGAAAGCAUAGAGUCUAAACUCUCUCUCUCUAUAUAUAUAUAUAUUAAUAUAUAUAUAAUAUAUAUUAUAUAUAUAUAUAUAUAUAUAGAGUGAGGCUACUCAUGCUAUCGGAAGCCAGAGCCUUUCGUGCUUCCAGCUCGUUUUCGAUGUUGCGACUUUCGAAUCGUCGAUCGGCUCCGUAAAACUUGAUCUAGAGUAUUUGGAGUAUCUUAGAAAAUAAAUUUUAUUAUUUCGAUAUCAUUUGCCUAUAAUCGAAUGGGCUCAAAAUCAACAAUUUCAAAUGGCCGUAGUGAGCCGUUUGCAAGUUUAACGGUGUAGAAAUAUCCAAAUCAACGUAAAUUUUGAUAGAAAAUUCUUAUACUAUAUAAAACAAGAUCAAUAUCUUUGAAUUUAAAAUUUUAAUGUCAUUAUUACAUUUUAUAAGAUUUUUAUUUUCAGCUCGUUGAUUUUGAGCCCCUGUUCACAUAGGCAAAUGAUAUCGUAAAAUUAAUAAAAUUUAUUUUCUAGUACUUCAAAUACUCAGAUCAAGUUUAACGGCCCGUCGACGAAUUCGAAAGUCCAAACAUCGAAAAUGAGCUGGAAGCACGGAAGGCUCCGUGCUUCGAUAGCAUAGUAGCCCACUCUAUAUAUAUAAUAUAUAUAUAUAUAUAUAUAUUAUAUAUAUAUAUAUAGAGUUGAGCUAGAAUACUCUCGAUAGUAAACGAGCAUUUUACUAUCGAGUUGUUUCGAUGAUAGAGCUUCCAAAUUGACGAUCGGCUCCGUUAAAUAUAAUUCUAAAUCAUUUAAACUACCUAGAAUCAAUUCACGCACUUCGAUUUCUUCUUUUAUCCAUCUAGUGAACAGAAAAUGAAUGGUUGAAAUGAAAAUUCUUUAAAAAAAUGAUGAUAGGAGUCUUGUAAUCAGAUCAAGAGUAUAGAUCUUGUUUAAAAUGUUUAAAGAAUUUUCUAACAAAAAUCAAUGUUUGGAUAUCUUACACCGUUAAACGAGAAAAACGUCUCUAAUCCACCAUUAAAAUUACAAAUUUUGAAACCCUUUGAUCAUUAGGCAAAUGAUGUCGAAAAGAUUUGAAAUUUGAUUUAAAACACUUUAAGUGGUAUAGAUCAUGUUCAACGGAGCCGAUCGUCAAUUUGGAAGCUCAUAUUCAUCGAAAACAACUCGAUAGUAAAAUGCCCUGUUUACUAUCGAGAGUAUUCUAUCUCAACUCUAUAUAUUAUAUAUAAUAUUAUAGUAGGGUUAGAAUACUUGUAAAAGUAUCAAGGGGGUGAUACUUGUUGUUUUUAGCCUUGGAUGGAGAGAUGUGAGGUUGAGAUGAUGGUGGUGGUGUGUGUAGGUUGGUGAUAGUGAAUAAGUGUUUAAUCAAGGCUAUUAAUAAUCAAAAAGUAGACUCCAAUCCAUUAAAAUCUAAUACACCAUGAUGGUGAACUUGUAAAAGUAUCAUAGCUCAACUCUAUAUAUAUAUAUAUAUAUAUAUAAUAUAUAUUAACAAUGAAGCAAAAGUUUGAUUUAAAAUGUAACAUGAACUAAACUUUAAAAUCUAUUUCGCUGUUUAUACGUCGGAUCCUUUAAAAAGGGAAAAAAAAAAAAAAAAAAAAGUGAAACUUUUGAUAUUCAAAGGUAGAGAUGAUGAGCAAAUUGAUCUAACUCUCCCUUCUGCAAUGCUCUGCAAAUUGCCUCCAAAGCCCACACUUCGACAAUUUGUAAGUAGUCAUAACAUCUCCGCUUACGUCGCUUUGAGCUCGAAACUGUUAUCCUUUCUUUCUCGCUCUCCAUCCUUUCUGCAAUAAGAAAAGAUAAACCGUAAAAAUACAAAUUUGAUUUGCGAGAGUAUGAACAACGCUCACACCUAUUACAGCGUUGAAUUUUUUAUUUUUAGUUUCGAUACUGUCGUACUUUUUUGACUUUUGAUUCUGUCGAGUUAAACAGAUAGUAUAAAAAACUGAGAAAAGGAAUUAAUGGAUAAAUUGUGAUAAUUAAAUGCUAUGAUGCAAGUUUAGAUAAUUGUAUAAUUAAACAUCAGGCAAUAUAAUAUAUAUAUAGAGUGAGGCUACUAUGCUAUUGGAAGCAUGAGCUUCCGUGUUCACAGCUCGUUUUCAAAUGUUGCGACUUUCAAAUCGUCGAUCGGCUCGUUAAACUUGAUCUAGAUAUUUGAAUAUCUAGAAUAAAUUUAUAUUUUACGAUAUCAUUGCCUAUGAACGAAGGGCUCAAAAUCAACGGUUGAAAAUAAAAAUCUUACAAAAUGUAAAAUGACAUUAAAAUUUUAAAUCAAAGAUAUUGAUCUUGUUUAUAUAGUAUAAAGAUUUUCUAUCAAUUUCAUAUGAUUUGGAUAUUUACACCGUAAACUUGCAAACGGCUCACUAUGGCCAUUGAAAUUUGUUAUUUUGAGCAUAUUUCGAUCACUAGGCAAAUAUGAUCUCGAAAAAUAAUAAAAUUUAUUUUCUAGGUACUUCCAAAUACUCUAGAUCAAGUUUAACAGAGCCGAUCGACGAUUCGAAAGUCGCAACAUCGAAAACAAGCUGGAAGCACGAAAGGCUCCGUGCUUCCGAUAGCAUAGUAGCCUUACUUCUAUAUAUAUAUAUAUAUAUAAUAUAUAUUAUAUAUAUAUAUAAUAUAUUAUAUGUAGUUAGUAAGUUCAAUGCUUAUUAACCUAUAUGAAUUCCUAAUGUUUUUGCCACGUGGCAAGUUUUUUUUCAACCCCACUUUCUAUUCAAUGACGUUGGCUUUUUCCCUCUCCCCAACCCUCUCUAUUCAAUGAUCUCUAAUCAAUGUACUCUUUAAUUUAUACGUUACUUAUUUUUCUCUUCAAUAUUGGUCAUUUAUUCUCCCUCAAAUCUCUUUUCAACGUCAAACCCUUCACCUCUUCCUGUCCUUUAAAACCACAAGAAUUAAUUAAUCCAAAAUGCAACAUUUAAUUAUAUACACCAUAUUUCACCAAUGAGUAAGCUUUGUAAUUCCAAUCCACUCCCCACCUCCAUUAACCCGGGCCCCCGAACCCUCUCUCUUUUGUAUUGCCUCACCUCCAUUAACCCGGGCCCCCGAACCCCCUCUCUUUUGUAUUGCCUGUUAUUUUUCAUGCAAAAAAGAACAUUAUCAUCUAAUCUCCCACCCCACAUUCAUCUUGCUUUCUCUCUCGUGUUAGUGAAGUUGAUGAGGAUGAUGAUGAAGAAAAAGAACAUGCAAAGAACGUUGUCUCUUUCAAGAAGUAUCGUCCUGCAAAUCCGAGCGGCGAUCCAUAUAAGUGCCCGCUGGGUUGAUUCAGCUGCGUUAGAGCUAGCUCUUUUUUUUUUUUUUUUUUCCUUUCACAACGGAAUGUUCAAGGGUCACAUAAUAUAAUAAAAUUGUAUGUCUUUUACUGUAUUUCAAUGAUUUUAAAAAAAAUUAUAUAAACUUCUAACUAUAAUUUUAUGCUUUUAACAAUUAAAUUUAGUCAUGCAAAUUGACCGUACUUAACAUGGUAUAGUUUUCUAUAUAUCAAUAAGCUGUAAAUAUAAAUUUUAUUAAAAUUUUAAAAAUUUGCUUUUAUUAUCUAUCCACUGUAUUGCGCUGAUCUCUACACUAGUUUGUAAUAAACUUCAAUAUUGUUGAUAUAAGAAUGUAGAAUAAGCAACAAAUAUAAUAAAGAGAUUACAUUAGUCCGCGUUGUUGGAUUGUUGGAAGAUCACAUCUCAACGUGGUUUCAGGGAAUGAGUACCAAACCAACCGGCAAAAACCUAGCAAGCUAUUUUAAUUAAGUAAUUUUUUCUUUAAAUGUGUUUUGAUUAAGUGGUUUAUUGUGUUCUUGUCUAAAACAACAUAUGUAUAUUGAGUAGAAUUUGUGCCAUUUUACGUGCAGACCAAUUCGUAGCGUGGACUAGAACAAAAUACUAUUAUAAGCAAUUUACAUUAUUUAGAAAAGUCUAUAUAUAAAAAAUUAUAAAAUUUAAAAAUUUCAUGCAAAAGCAUCAAUCUAUCGAAUAACCACAAUAAUUAACAAUAGAAAAAAGGCGACCGCUUGGUUGUGAUAUAUCGACAUUUUGAAUACUAUCAAAUGUAAGCAGUCUAUCUUAUCUCAUCACUUACUUCAAUCUCAGUCACGGACUGCAACUUUAAUUUUUGGUUAAGUUACUCUUUAAUUUGAAUUUAAUUCCUUUAAUGGUCACUUUUACAAAGGUUUUUAAAUUCGAAAUUAUUUACAGUUCGAAAAUAAUGUCUGGUCACAUAUUACUAGCUAAAUCAGUAGUUCAACCACUGAAUUAAUUGACGUCAGUAUAUUCAGACUAUAUAAAAAAUAUUUACGAAGUAUUGUAUAUAUUAUUUUUUAAUAUUAUUAUGUUAUUAUAUAUAAUUAAAGAUCUAUCCAAAGUAUUUAUUGAUUAUUAAAAAACUGACACAUAUUUUAAUUAAUCAUUAAAAUAUUAAAUAAAAAUAAUUAAACUAGGAUAGUUUUUUUUUUUAAAUGGAACCAGCUAACAGUCGCUAGUUGAACCACUGGUCUGAACGGAUCCAAGCGAGUUUUGAGCAAGUAUGGUUUCAUGGGUUGAAUCGAAUCACGUUGGGCGUUACACAACCGGUCUACGAACGCUCGGUGUUCCGUGUUCCCGUCCUUAAACGAGUCUGGUAUCGACAUGUCAGCAGCAGGAGACAGGUAAAGACCAACACGCCACAUAUCCGCACUCCGGGGGAAUUUUCCCGACAUUGUCAAAUACCGCCUUGACCACUAAAAAACAAGCAAAAUUUUUGUUCCAAUUUUUCUACAUUUCCCUACACAAAAACUGAUGAUUUUAUAUAUAUAUAUAUAUAGUUUGGUUGGAAUACUAUUGAUAGCACGAAGUAUUUGAUGCUAUCAAAUUUUCUACCGUUAAAUUUAUCUCUUUUAUCAUUUUUAUCCGUUCGAUUAUACUAUUCAACCAACUAUCCACUCAACCCUAGAAGACCUACAUCAUCCUAAUCGCACAUCUUUGAAUCUAAGGAUAAAAAACUUUAUAGCAUCAAGUUAUUGGUGCUAUUAAUAAUAUUUCAGCCUAGUUCUAUAUAUAUAUAUAUAUAUAUAUAUAUAUAUAUAGAGAGAGAGAGAGAGAGAGAGAGAGAGAGAGAGAGAGAGUACGUCUUUUGAAAGUACGGAGGUCUCCGUAUUUAUAAUUUAUUUUAAAUGAUAGGACAUCCGAUUCGACUAUCGGCUCUAUUAGGUAUAAUCUACCAUAUUAGAACUAUUUAGAAAUCAAAAUUCAUAAUUUUUUACAUUAUUUAAUUACCAAGUGAUCAAAAUAUCUCAAAAUUAACUAUUUUAAUGAUUGAUGUGGCACGUUUUUAAAUUCAACGGUGUAAAGCAAUCCAAAUUAUAUGAAACUUUAAUAGAAAACUUUACUUAACAUCAAUAGCAAGAUCAAUACUUGUGAUUUGAAAUUUGAGUCUCUUAUCACUGGUUUUUAUAAAAUUUUUAUUUUAAGCCGUUCAUUUUGAGGCUAUUCAUUCACUAGAUAAAUGAAAUCAAAAAAUUAUGAAAUUUUGUUUUUAGAUAGUUCUAAUAGUAUAGAUCAUGUCUAAUGGAAUUAAUCGCCGAAUCGGAUGUCCCAUCAUUGAAAAUAACUUAAAAGCAUGAAAAUCUCUGUACUUUCGAAAGCAUAGGAGCCUAGCUCUCUCUCUCUCUCUCUCUCUCUCUCUCUAUAGUAUGUAAAUAGUUCAAAUUGUUAUGAACAAUCAAUGUGCGUUUCUAAUGUGUUGGAUUUUGGAAUCAGUUUUUUUAUGUCAUAUUUGUUAAUAUGUUAACAGUUUAUAAAAAUUAUGUUAUAAAAACGUGUAGCAGUACAGCUAAAAUAGACAAUAAAGUAUUUUUUACUAAAAUUAAAAUGAUCACCCAAAUAAUGAUAUUUACCGUUUCAGAAGAGCUCUCAUUGCUCGCAUUUCCUCCUCCUCCUUCGUCGCUCUCCUGAAGCUUAGCCUUCUUCUUCCUCUCUUGCCUCGCUAUCAACUUGCUUAGCUUCACGUGUCUUCUCGAUCCGAACACUUUAAGCACAUCUAUAAACCAACAAGAAGUAUGAGUGUCUAUUUGUUACUAAAUCCUCAACGGCACGUUUAGUAAUUGAAUAAUAUUUGAAGCGUUUCAUGUUUUUAUUCAUAGAAUAAGUUAAUAUUCUAGAAUAGAGCGGCAUGAAAGAAAAUUUAGAUUUGGUUUUUACAUUUUAUUUUUUUAAGGAUAAUCAAAAUCAUGUUUUGUUAUUUUUUUAAAAAUUUAUGGAGAAUAAUGGACAAAGGCGCAGCGUGCAAAACCAUAUAAAAGGGUAGGUAAGAAUGGAAUAACGUAUGGCACAAAAAUAACGCGAAAGAUAAAUAGAAAAAUAGAUUUUAGAGAUGGCGAAAUAAGUCUUAACGGAUUGUUUCAGAAUAAUCUGUAAUAAACUAUUUUGACUAGAAUAAAUUAUUCUCAGCAAAAUAUUUUAUCCUUUAGUUAUUUUAUUACCAAAUGCAACCUAAGUAACUAAAGAGCGAUAUUUAAUCUUUUAUACGGUUAAUUUGUGAAAUAAAAAUUAUUCUCUGAAAACUUAAGCUAUUAAACAGCUGCUGGUACUUCGAGCAGUUACAUUCAAUGCAAAGUAAGUAAAUGUAUCUCUACUCUUGGUAACGUUGGAUGUGAACUUUUAAUCUUUAGAUACUAAAAAGAAAUUUUCUAAGCAAAUGCCAAAAGCAUGGAAACCACAAGUACUCCACCAAUUCAAUCGUCUACAUACUCUAUUACAUAGAAUUUGUAAAUAUAUAAAAAAACAACAACGAUACCAAACGAGGCGAUAGAAUAUAUACGGCAACGCUACCUUCGAAGGUGACGAGGCGGUAGACGCGGCCGAUGUGGAGGGGAUCGUCGGGGCGGAGCAGCUUCACAUGCGCCACCGGUGCAGCAGCACGGCUACCACCGUCGCCGUCGGGGGAAGCAGAGGACGACGAGUUACCAGAAGCAGAGCUACGCGGAGCAGCGACGACGACAACCGCGACGUAGUGACCAGGGUUUGCGGCCAUGACGUUGCUCGCCGCGACCGUCCAGUAGACUCUCUCGACCCUACCUCCUGGGUGUUCGAUCACCGCUGCCGCCGCCACCGCCUCCGCCGCUUGGCAAUUCCCCAUCUCUCUCUCUGUAUCUAUCUCUCAAAAUGUCUAAAUUUCUUUCUCUAUAGCUUUUGGAAACUUGUGUAUAUAUAGCAAUGGAAUUUGUGUGUUAAAUAAGGUACAAGCGCAUUUUCUUGUACCGAACAAAGGAUCUACUAUUUGACCACCACUUUAUUUACGUGUGCGAGGGUUUAAUUGGGCGCUAUUAAAGUUGUAUCGUAGUUUUUCUAUUUAAAGUUGAUAAAAAGUUGUGUUUGGUGUUGUUGUAUAGGUGGCUGGUUCAGCGCGUGGGAAAAGAAAAAUUAAGAAAUACAAGAAGUUAUUGCGUGGUCUCCGUGCACGUGUACAUUAAUUUAUUCCAUUUAAACCCUUGAAUAUAUAUAAAUUAUAAGAUGGCCAUUGAAUGCACGACCUCACAGAAAAAUUAGUUCAGAAUAUGAAAUAUAUAUUCACAUUUUUAGAAAACACGCUUAAUAUAUACACGAUGAAUGUGAAAUACACGUAAAAUUUUAAGAUCAGAUAAGAUAUGAGGAUUUAACUUGUAAUAAUAAUACGCCUGCAGGUAUAAUAUCUAAUAUAUUCUUCAAAAUUUAAAAACUAUCUUAUUUAUUUCUGGACGACCAAAAUACACUUAUUAAUUUUUAAAUUUGUUUUCAAAUACAUUUUUUUUAAGGAUUUGCUAAUGAAAUUAAAUUUUAUUAAAAAGAAUACUUUGAGUAUUGAGGGAUAAAUCUAAAAGUUUUUAUUAUAAGUGAGUGGGCGUAACUGCGUAAGCGUGGGUGUAAAUUUUUUUUUUAAUUAUUUGUUAUAUUAAGAAAUUUUGAACUUGUGGGCGCGAAAUUUAACGAGUUUCGUCUCCUUUUCCAGUGGUAGGUCAUUUUUGAAGACGUUAUUGGUUGCUUUCACUGGCCACCAUGUUUGGUAUUUAAUUUUUUUGGUAACUUCUCACCAUAUACGCUUCAAACAUGGAAUAUAAAAUAAUUAAAUUCCAUUCCAUGCCUCAAAAUGAGGCAUUUUUAUGAUUUUAUUUCCUGUCACGAGGAGAUCUACUAUUAUGAUUUAUAUAUAUUUGGAUGUAUAUAGUCACUAUUUGUUGAAAACUAGUUGAGAUUAUUCUUCAUGCGCUACUAACACAUAAGCACUUUUUUAAAAAAUUAAUUAUGCGCAGUGUAAAAUCGUGAAAAAUAAUUUUUAUAAAAAUUUUUUUUUAUGUUUUUGUAGUGUUUGAUUUGUACAAAAGAAAAGUAGUUUUUCAUCUAUAUUUAUUUGGUUGAACGAAAAAAAUUUAUGUUUGUUCGGUUUGCUGAAAAAAAUUAAAUGAAAAUAAUUUUUAGGCAGUUUGAAUUUUCGUUUUCUACUGAAAAAUAGCAAAAAAUAAAAUUUCAGCUUUUUCUCGAUUCGUAAAAAUAUUCUUACGUCGAACCAAACAAACAAAAAAGUAUUUUUUAUACCGAAAGUAAUUUUUAUGCCAAACCAAACGCCUCUUAAGUACAAAAAGUAAAAACCAAGAUUUAUAUAGAUCGACAAUUACUAAGUCUACAGAGAAAGUGAAAAAGAUAUGCUUCACUAAUAAAAUAAAAUUGAGUUUUAUGGUGAAAAUUUUUUUUCUUUUUAUUUUAUGAAAAGUCUCAGAUAAUAUUAUCUAAAUAAAACUUUUUUAUAUUUUAAUUAAAGAAUUAAAAAUAAUAAUAUAACUUGUUCUAUUUACUAAACAAAUAACCCGAGAGGAGCCACCAAACUUAAUUAAAUUAUAUCCCUGGACCCACUCCACGGGCCCACCAGGAGAAAGCCACCUCUCCGGGGCUCCAAUUCCAAAGCCUAUUGAUAAUAUAUCGCAUAAACCCGGUCUACACGGAUGGUACAUAAUUAGUAGUAUAUUACUCCUACUAUUUGACUUUAAAUUAUUCAAACUUAUCUACAUGUGCUCCACGGCCACGUUUAGCUGAGCAAUUAGAGCCCGACUUAUAUUUGCUGGUGAAUUAUAGACUAAUUAAUAAUAAUUAUCAUACAAUUAAUUUUUUAUAUUAAUCACUAAAGUUGGACUUCUUUUAUGUCUCUUCAUUUUCUCAUCACAUUAUUUUCUCUCCUUGAAACUUUUGGUCACUAAUAGGAUCAUGUAAACUAAAUUUAGACAGUGUCUAAGUUUCUUCAUUGUCACAGAAUUUGUUAUGACAUCAGUUAUAUUAUUUUUUGUAAAAAUUUACAUAAGCUGAAUUUUAUGAUCACCUUCACUAGCGAGCUCUCACAAUUUACGAUAUUUAAAAAACUAUGUGCUUCAUUCUCAUGUAGUAAACUAAAUUUCUUGCGAGAUAAAUAACAUCUCUGACUAUCACAAUUAGUGGUCAUCUUUUUCUAUACGAUCCUAAGUUAAUCAACCAAACCUCUAAAUUAGACUGCAUCCAUAACUGCUUCGAUUGUCGCCAUAUACUACAUCUCGAUAUUUAACAAAAUUACACUAUGCCGUAACGUAGACUUCCAAUUGAUAGAUCCACUGCCGAGCAAAAACACGUCAGCUGUAAUAGACCAAUGCAUGUCGGAAUCACCAAUAUAUACAGUCGGAAUUUAUAAAACCUUUUACUUCACCAUUAUCAAAAUCUGCCAAAUAGAAAUUUUGCAUAUUUGUUGUGCUCUUAAGAUACCGCGAAAUCAACUUCCAAGGACUUGUAAGCUGUAAUGGACCAAUGCCCGUCAGAAUUACCAAUAUAUAUAGUCAGAAUCUACAAUCCCUUACUUCACCAUUAUCGAAAUCUGCCAAAUAGAAAAUUUUCAUAUUCGUCCGCAAAGUUAAUGUCAAGGCGUCUUAGUGCUAUUUUUCUUGAUUUGAUAUUCGUCGGCUAUUGGAAUUAAAGGACAGCGAAAACUUACAAACUGACUAGCCAAUAUAUCUAUGAACCGAAAUCGGAUCGGAUUGCUUGUCUUACUAGCCUUCUUGGGUCGUCCUUGUCUCGAUACUUUUGCAUCUUCUAUGUACCUCAAUUUUUUCUAUACCCGUUGCGAAUCGGAUGCGAAGAGGGCUACUAGAGUGCUCUUCUAUAUUCACACUCCAAAACUCUGGAAACAUAAGUGGACAUCUUAGAGAGAAAGAAGAAAGAGAAGAAGGAAGAAAUCUCUAGUUUUUGAAUAUUUUCGUAGAAAUACACUACCUGCGAAAUGAACAAAAAAUCAGAUUUAAAGCAAAUUAUAGCAUACAACAAGCAACCGACCUUAUUAUCAUUUGAUAUCUUUGACAUAGAAUUUAUCUCUCAUCUCCGUACACUGUGCAACGUACCAAUGCGAUAACGUCCAUAACGUAUUCGGCUAAGUCCAAGAUGUACAUUAUUCAUUCUACUACUGAUAUAUGAAAUUCAUCAAGCAUAUUGUCCCUGCGCACCUGCAUGUUAGGAGUCUGUUUCCUUGUUCGAUCGUAUCCAACGCUCGUCCAUCAUACGACGAUUAGGUCCAAUUAUACAUAACACUCGAACAAUCCCCUCACCUCUAGAUGCCUCACCGUCUCGAACAAUCCCCUAACCUCUGGAUGCCUCACCUCACCGUCCUAAAUGUAUCUACUACUUGUCAAGAGUGUUAGGCUUAGUUUGGUAUCGAGGCCUAUCCAACGCUAAUCGUAACCGACUCAUCGCGAUAUACGAAAUGCAAUAUUACAUACGAAAAUAAACAGAAUAUUUUUUCAACGUAUUUUUUCACUGUAACGCAAUCUCUCCGCAAUUCCAAACGAAGCCUUAGUCAUUAAUCUCCACUCCAUAUUUUAACAAUUGGUCACAAAUUGCAAUGAUCUUAGAUAUCAAAUAACCAACUCAAACCUUAAUUGGAUCGGGAUCCCAUUGUAUAGCCCAAGACACAUCACCGAUAUCCCAACUAAGGGACAUAUAUAAUUUAAGGGCUUCCAACUAAGGUAAUCAAUUAGGGGUCAUAGGUGAAAAGUGAUGGUAUAUAUUCAACUAGAAUUCUCAGAGGUUUUCUAAGUUCAAAUCCGAUACGUACGAUCGCUCCGAAUUCUUGAAUAGCCCAGAUAUAAAGUCUUUUUAUUGUUAAAUAUUAUUAUUUUACUUAUUAAAUAAAAAAAAAUAUUUUAUUUGAGAUGUUUACUAGAUUAGAAAUAUCUUUUGAUUUAUACUAUUUUUAUUUAGAUUUCUUAAAGUGAUUGCAGGCUUAUACAUAAGAGUUUUCCCUUUAUAAAAUGGUCAACUUUUUUUUAGGAGCAUGUAACAUAUUAUCCGCUUCAUUCAUAAAGAAAAUGAACUAGCAUAGAAUAGUGAGACAAUCAAAUCUCGAAGGAGAGUGCCGAUCUAUAACUUUUUUUUCAAAAAAAAAACAUCAAAAUGGCCUUCAUUUGAAAAAUUUUCUAUAAAAAAUUGUUGCUUUUUAGUGGUCUCUCCGUUUGGUUAUAAGAAAAAUAAGUUUUUAUAAAAAAAAUUAUUUUUCAUAUUUUAUAAAAAACUAAUAUUUUUAUUUUUAAAAAAAAUUUAAAAAAAAUGAGUUUUUUAUGAAAUAUAAAAAAAUGUUUAAAAGUGGAAUUGAGCUUUUAUGCUUUUAAAAGUACAAGUUAUUGAUGCUUAUAAAUUUUUGGUCAUUGGAUUAAGGGAUGUGCAAUUAGAAUGAUGUGGGACUUUUAGGCAGCGUUUGGUUAGGGAAUAGGAAUAGGAAUAGGCCCUUAUGCCCCUUUAUACCCAAACGCUAAUUUUUUACACGAGAAUAGUAGUUCUCGGUUAUCCCCACUAACACCUUCAUUUUCUAUAUAAAACUAUCUAAAAUUGUUCUUAUUCCCGGGAACAACCCAAUUUUCAUCCAAACAUUAUUUUUCUUAUUCCCAUACUUGUACUUAUCCCUGUAAUAACUAGUUCUUGUUUAUACCCGAACCAAACGAUACCUUAGGAUAUUCAGGUUGGUUGAAUAGUAUGAUCUAGCGGGUGGAAAUGAUCAAAAGAGUAAAUCUAACGGUAAAAAUUUACAAGCAUCAAAUAUUUGGUGAUUUUACCAGCACUAUAGCCAGACUCUUUAAAAGUGAACGAGAUGGAUAAAAUUUUUUUUUAGGAAAAAUUCAAUCUUUGGACGAACCAAGCAACCCCUAAUUGCAAGUUCGCACCCAACCGAACCAUGCCCGCGCAUAGUGGUGGUCUUUUAGUCCACAACUCCAUGGGCCGCAAUUGCAUCCGAUCCAUUUCCAUCUCUAAACCCUGAAACAGCAGGCAAGCUCGUCGGGCCGCCUUCCCCAGCUCUCCUCGCCAGCCGCUCCCCCCUUUGCGUGCUAUCGGCGGCCGGCGGCAUGAACGGGAUGGCGCGGGGGCUGUCGUGGCUGGUCCGGCAGCGGGCGGAAGCCGUGCAGCAGCAGCAGCAGCAGUGGCAGCAGGCGCGGGGGAUUCGGGUGCAGGUGCGGAACGACAACCUGGAGCAGGCGCUGACGGUGAUGGAGCGGAAGAUGCGGGCCAGCGGCAUGGAGCGCCUCAUCCGCCGCCAGGUCGACCACCACCUCAAGAACUCCGAGAAGCGCGUCCUCGCCCGCAAGAACCUCAUGCUCCGCGUCCGAUCCCAGGACCUCGCCCGCAAGCUCCGCACCAUCCUCCUCAAGAAGAUCAGGUCCCCACGACUUUCUUUUUAAGAAGAAACAUCGAAAUUUUUGAUUCUACGAUCUUUGAGUGCUCUUUCUAGUUUAGAAUUUGUACGCACUGCUUAGUUUAGCAGGCUUGAUUUGAGUAUCUUAUAUGAUUCACGGCAAUUGUAUGACUGAAUUUAAAGUAAUUGAAAGAUUUGAGAAGUCGUAGCUGCUUCUGUCUCUUUCGAUGGUGCGAUGAGUCGAGAUGUGCUUUAUAAUUCGAUUUGCGGCGGCGCAGAAUUCGCUAUUGAUGAGCCAUUUUGUUACCAUAGAGGCCUGAGGACUACGUCUUUUGAGUCUAGCGUAUGCAUCGGUUAGGAGGCCAGUAACUAGGAUCAUCUCUUUCCGAUCAGCAAUGCUGCAUCUUGUUUGCUUUUUGGUUCUUAGAGGGUUUCGUCAUAGUUGGGUUCUUGUGUUGCAAUCCUCUCUUACUAGCAAACAAUGUGGAGAUUGUUCUCUAUUCCGGCUUGGAGGAAUAUAUGGGAUCCGUAACUUUUAAUUCUUAUGUCGGUGCCAGGUUUCCAUUUGUCAUUGCCUCCUAAGAACUUGUGUCACUAGUUAGGAUUAGUCAGACUAACUUCUUUGCCAAACGGCAUUGCUUACGAGGAGUAGAUGUUGGAGUUGUUUUACUUGGAAGAAAGGCUGACAAUUCUGGCUUUCUUGGAGUUAACUUCUUCAACAACGAAUAAUGACGCUAACAGAAUGCAAUAAGAAAACGUAAUAAUAUUGAAGUUGGUUGGUGGUUUUAUCCCUAUCAACCAACUCGAGAUUAUACUAAGUCGCUAACUGAUAGGGGCUGUUUACUCCAGUUUAUAUUAGCGGAUGGUAAGGUAUUCUGCUGAUAUGAGGUGUAUUAGAAUUCUGUUUCUUUAUUCUGAUUCUCCCAGAUUUCAACUAAAACAUAUGAAUAGAUGGUUAUCUUCUUACCGCAAUAUCUCUUUGUGUUACUACACUUAAUUUCUGGUCUGUGAAGCAUUCAAUUGGUUAUCUUCUUAAAUCCACGCAUUUAGUUAGGACCUCUCUCUUAUUUGCAAUUAAACUGAUUUAUAUCAUUCAUUGGCCGUAAUGCAGGGGUCAGUGAGAACAGUUCCUCUACUGAGAGUAAUGUUGGAGGGAAGCACUUUACGGCACUAGCGAAAAAGGGUAUUUCUUUUCCUUUCUUGUCUAAGCGUGCUGAUGCUUAAUUUGAUAAAUCCCUGUUUAAAGAAUACACUAAGAAUCUUAGGAAAAUGUUACUGAUAAGAUGUUCUUGAAUAUAUUCAGCAUGAUUUUCUUUGGGGACCUUUUGCUGCAUUUCGCAUUGCUUAUAGUUUUGGUUUUUUGUUUUUGCUUAUUUCUAUGUUGUUGCAUGAACCUGUAAAAAGACCACUUUAUAUUUGGACCUCUUCACAUGUUAGAUAAUGGAAUAUAAAAAAGAAAAGCUAAUAUGCUUUGUGCUUUAUUGUGAAUAUAAUAGGGUUUGCAAGUCGUGUUGCGAAAGCAAAAUUAAAGGAGAUCUUGCAAAGUACAUACAGCCUCGAAAAAAGAAUUGUGAAUAAAAGUCAAAGGGAAAAGUAUAAUGCCAAACACUUAAACUUGCACUUAAUUUUUGACUAAAAUAAAAUAUAUGAUUAAUAGAUCAUUUUAUUCUACCACUUAGCCCUUCUUUCUGUUAGCAUGGUAAGUUAACAGAGAGGGAAAAAAGUGUAAAACCAAUAUAUUAACCCCAAAAUUUUUAGGAAAUGCUUUUGCAUAAGCCACUUUAUCUAAGGGCAAGUUUUAUCUGUUUAUUUUCUUUGAAAGUAGAGCCUAAAAGGAAAUUUGAGAAAAAGGUGAGAUGAACACAAGCCUUUUGAUCUAACAAUAAAAAACCAUAAAAAUGAGCCGUACUUGACAAGCUAUUUCAUCUAACCAACCAUUAAGAUAAACCAAAAGACGGUUGUAUUCAAAUUCAGUAUCUGCAUAGACAAGGUACAUAUAAUUCUACUAAAUCCAAGAAAAACGUAAAACCCUUUUUAAGAGAACUUGGAUCAUCCUCAUUUAGAAACAUGUAUAUUAUUGUAGACAAGCAACAAAUCAAUAACUCUUAAUUAAAAAGGUCAUGCCACAUGGGUAAUUCAUCUUGCCAAAUGUUUUGGAAUCGAGAGCUAUACAGAAAAUGUUCCAAUUAAUCAUCUUCUUUCGUCCUCGUGUUUGUCGUAGUUCUUCAUAACAAUACUACGUAUCUGCAACUAAAGUGAAGGAAAAUAUUUGCUUAGGCCAUAAGGGAGGGAGUAAAAUUCUUCGCUUCUCGUGUCGGUGCUGUAAUAUCUAAAUUUCUCCCACCAAUGCCAACCGCUAUCUCUUCUAACCGAAGGUUCCCAAUAAAGGUGAGUCCAAUCCAGUAAAUAAGCAAUUAUAGCCGCGACUGUUGCAGGCGACGAGAAUAUCACAUUAACAACAUCAUUGAACUGCAACAAACAAAGGAUUAGAAGUUAAUAAAAAAGUAUUACUGAUGAAUAUUGAGAUAUUGGGGCAUGAUAAGAAAAAUACAUACCGAUCUCGAACGGGUAUGCACGGGGCCAAAACCGGCUUCAGUUUCAUACUCCCUAAAAUAUUGUGGGAUCGACAAGCCCAAGAACAAAGAAAUGCCGAUAAUAAACUUAUUCCUUAGACUAUUAAGAUUGCAGAACUGAAGGAGGCCAAUUCCUGCAGAAGCUGCAUAAAUAUACAAUGAAAGAAGUAAUCAGAGCCAAUAGAGUGAAAGAUUCAGGAAACUAUAGGACAAUUUGAACCUAGAUGCUUUCCAUACUUCCUAAUUUAAAACAACUACAGUAUCUGAUAUCAAAUAUCGAUACCUAUAAAUAUCACCUAAGGCAAGUUUGGUUCGAGUUAUAUAACAUUACAGAUUAUUUAGACAUAACCAGGUAUCAGAUAUUUCUGAAUCAAAUACUACUUAUGCUGCAUUACCGUAUUUGGUUUAAUAUAGUAAUAUAAUGCUGGAUUAUAGUAUAUAUAGAAUUAUUAUGUUUGGUUCAAUUUAUAAAAUUCAGUAAUCCCGACAGUAAAGUGUAGUGGGGAAGGGUUCGUGCGAAUAGAAAUAGGGAAAGAGAAGAGGAGAAAGAGAGAGAGAAAAAAUGAUGUAAUAAAAUUGUAAUUUUAUAGAACAUGCAAGAUUAUCUGCCAUUAAUAAUACGAGAUACCCUCCUUUAUUCUGUAAUACUACAUUACUUACAGACGGGAUGAACCAAAUGCAAUUAUCCUAGCAGGAUUAUCUGUAAUUUUGGCAUGGUAACCCGAACCAAACGCGCCCUAGAGUAUUUCAGGCUUCUAUUAUUAAUAUAAUACCAUUUAUUCGAAAAACAGUGCAGAACCAUUACCAAAAUGGACAAUAGCAUUUCUUGUUUGAGAAUGAGAAUGAUCUUGAUCUAGACAAGUAAAAAUAUGUCUAACAAAAGAAAACUAAAUAGGCUGAAUGAAAUUUUUGGGACUGUUCUAUGUGCUAAGGUCUUCAGAGUGGCUUAUCAUGUGUUUUAGAACUCAUUAAGGUUCGGCGAAACAAACAAAAUACAUAUCCAAGAAUAUCAAAGGUCGAAGCUAUGGUAAUUGAACAAGUUAAUAUGAUAAAUGAUAGAAAUAUGGUGAUUAAACAAAUAAAAGAUUUAAACAAAGAAUAUACCAGCAUAGGCAAAGAGGACGCAGUAGAGUGCGGCAACAAGCGGAAAUGGGAUAGAGGCAAGAACUGCCCCAAAUUUUGCUGUGAUAUUUUGAGAACUGUAUCAGAUUAUCAUGAAAUAUGCAAGAGAUAUCAAUACAAAAUAUUGUAUGUAUAGAAUAUCACCGAAAACUGAGAAGAAGAUCAUAAAACAGGCCGAAAUUUUAAUAACACGUCGACUUCCGACUCGUGUCAAAGCCAAUAAACCUGCAUUCUCACUGUUUAUAAAUUCACCAGUAAGAUAUCUUAAAUUUUAUCGUUAAGUUCAUAUUCUUUUUCACUUUGAGUAUUAUAGAAAGCAGAUUGUUUACACUGAUGCUGCUGAGCCAUUUGCAGUACCAAAAAUACCAUCCAACAAAAUAGCUAUUCCCUGAAAUUGUUGAAGUUAUAUGAGGCAAGAACUUCAUAAUAUAUAAAAAGUAACAGCAUAAGAUCGCUAACUGAUAAAUACCUGCCACCCGACUCCGCGGCUGCAAACGGAAGGUGGUAUAAAUGUCGCACUUGCGAAUCUCGAUGCAAUAAUAAAAGUGCCCGUCGACUGCAAAACAACAUAUAUACUUAAAAGAAAAGGAAAAAAAAAAAUCUAAUUCUUAAGACUUAAGAACAAAACAUAUCCAGAUUAUAGCAUAUGUAGGAGUCUAGGUUGAGAUGAGAGGUGGGGAUAUAUAAGGGGUAUUGAAUAGGGUUCAGCACUGUAGGUUCCAAACUGGAUCACUGAACUGAACAGAUUCAUUUCAGUAAUUCGAUUUGGUUUAAUCUUAUGGAUUGAGAACAUAAAAGAACAUGUUUAACUAACUUUUAUGAUGCUUAUCCAGGUUGUGGGCAUAAACACAGUGACGCUUUUUUCUGCAAACUGAAACUUGAAGGUUAUCUGUCGCAGAUAAAACUUGACAAUAGCCAAAAUCCUAAAGCUGUUGCAAUUAGUCUUGAAACCAACAUCUUAGAUUGUAUAUUAAACCAUUAGAUAUUUGAAUUUUUUUUCCUUAUAAUUUGUCGAUGAUUUUUAUUCAUAUAUUCUGUGAUCUCAGAUGUUCAGAGAAUAAGUUCCUAUUGAAUCAACAAGCUCAAACUACAAAUGGAUGAUUAAGAUACCAACUAAUAAAAGAACAAACAUACCAAACAACAAUGAGGAAAACACGGGCAACGAAAGCUGAUUACUAAACAUCUCAUAAUAAUUCUUAGCAAACUAUGCAAUUAAAGACAUGAUUUCAUAGAAGUAACAUUUGCUGACAUGAAGUCAACUGAAAAGAAAAAGAGCCAACACUCAACAUAUACAUUGCAUAAGGUUCUGAAGGAUCUGAUACAGUAAUAAGCAAGUGAAACUAACAAGAUCUUUCUACAUCAGUACCUCGAUAAGUGAUGCGAACGAAGCGGCCAUCAUGGCGAAAACAUCUCCCGCAUGAAAACGGGGACCUCCCCAUUGAAAUGGAUAAGGAACUCUAACCCUGCAACAAUUCGUCGAUGAAAUCUUAAUCCAAAAGAAGCAUCUCAAUAAGAAGUUAAAGCCAACGUUGAGAGUCUAUUAGUUGAUAUGACUAAUGAACAUGCAUAAGGACAUUCCUACUGAUAAGGUACAUUAGUUCCAUUUAGCAUUGAGUAGUUGCAGUGAAAUACCAAGGAGAGGCGUAAAUAAGUCCGGCGCGAUCGACACGGCAACUAAAUUGGGUCUCUGGAGGCCUAUCUCUGUACGCACCAGCAACCGUCAGAAUAAACGCGUAGAGCCACACGAUAGCCACGACGAUUAACAAGGCGAAUCGAUCGAAGAUCACUCUUCUUCUUGUAUAUGAAUGUGGAACAUACUGCACAAAAAUGAAAUUACUAGUCAAAAAAGAAAUGCUACAAAUACCCAAUUAUAGAAGUUAUAAAUAAGGUGGCUUCUGAGUUAAGUUGUCUGAGUAGAGUUUACCAGAGAGAAUAUGACUAGAAGAACAAGUGCUGGUAGCCCAAUUUCUACACAUUUAGCCAGCUGCAGGAAAAAGGAACAAGCACAAUAAAGCAAUUAAUAAUAAAAAAAAUUGACAAUGAUCUAAUGAUGUGUUUGGCUUGCUUCUGCUUCUGCUCUCAGCUCUCUUCAGCAGCAAAAUGGAGUUUCUAAAUCUCGAAAAGAAUUUUUACUUAGAUAGUACUUUAUAAAAUUACACUGUAUUAUAGUAAUCGUAAUUACUUACUUCAGGGAAUGCAAUAUAGUAAAGUCCAAGAGCUGAUAAGGUCACAAAGGGAACUGCGGCGAGGGGGCUAAGAAACCUAUUCAAUUCAAAAAAAAAAAAGAAGAAAAAUUAGAAAUGCAUUUUUGGAAAUAAAGUAAUGCAAAAAUCCAAUUGCAAAUAAUGAAAAAGGGAAAUUAAGAAAGAAAAGAGAAACACAACAACCUAACAAAAAUUCUCCAGAGGCCAAAGUACCCAACAACUAUCUGAAAAACGGAGGAUAAAAUAAGAGCCCCUUGUAUGGAUCUCAUGGUGAGCACAAACCUCUGUUAAUUCACCCAAAAAAUAGCCAAAAAAAUAAUAAUAAUCAAUCCCACGAACUCCGAAAGGAGAAAAAGAUAGUAACUCUUUUUGUCGGACAUACAGAAUUAGAUUGAAUAGAAUAAGACGAAAAAGUUGAAACACAAUCAUUCUUUUUCAAACCCCGUCCUCGAAACUCGGCCCCGAUGCUUUGAGAUCCGUGCGGAGGGGGGAUCGGUAGAUGCGGGACGGGUCCUGGCGCCAGUUUGGCCCGGGACCCGUUUCGGCCGGUUUUCUUACGGGCUCGUGUUUAACUUCCUAUCCUAUCCAAUUCAAUUCUGGAUGCGCGAACAGAACAGUUUGGUUCGCGGAGCAGUAAAAACAUAAUCUGGGGUUCAAAGCGCGGGCAGAACAAAGAAGACCUCAUAAGGGUCGAUUAUGUAGGCGUAGCGUCUGCUGAGUAUGAUGGAGAUGGUGGGGAGGAGGUAAGUGUAGGAGCCCCCGAUCACAACGGGGAGCCGCGUCCCGAAGUGAACCUGCAACAGAGUGUUGAUCCCAGCCACGAAGAGCAGCGUCUGAAUCACCCUCGCCUUCUCCUCCUACACACACCAUCAACAUUACAAAAACAAUACAUUAAAAACAUUGGCAAGGGUGAGAACCGGUAGUGUUUAGAUGUCUCACGUUUUAAUGCAGCAUAAGUGGAAAAUGAGAUUCUGAUCACCUUAUAGCAACAUCCUUACUCUAGUACUUUAUAUUGAUUUGAAAAAUACCAUAUUAUUCAAAAAAUUGAUCUGAUAAACAAUAAUUUAGAAAGGGGUCUAAGACGAAGAAGAGAUCGCUCACAUGUCUGCCGCCCAUUAGGGGGACUAGAAUGGUGGGUAUGAUAACUGUAGUGCCCAGCAUCACCAAGUAGUGUUGGAAGCCCAGAAGCAUAGCUUCCGCUGAAAAAUUCAAAAAAAAAGAUUAAAAAAAAUACAAAAACACAAGUGCAUUAGCCGUGAGAAUGUACCUAAAAAGAUCGAUUUAAUAUAAAACAGUUGAAAAAAAAAAUGUAGUUAUAGUAUAUCAUGUUCACGUGCAUAUUAUAUAUUGUGCAUACGGAAAAAAUAUGAUAGAAAAUGAUUCAGAAAUAACCCCAUGGCGGAGGGCUAGUGAGGCAGUAGUCGAUCCCCGGCAACUGCUCCUUCACGGCGAACGGCACGAGCUCCUCCGCCUUCGGCCCCGGCGACAUCUCUCUCUCUCUCUCUCUCUCUCGUGUUGUGAGGGGAGAGGAUGUGUUUAGAGAGAAAGAUAGAGAGGGGGGGAGUGAUAUAAAGGAGGGAGUGUGAGAGGGGAGAGGAAACGCACGAACGCGCGCUUUUGGUUUUGCGUUGUAGUUGGUGUCGUUCGGCCUCCCCCGGAAAACCUUCGGUACAAAUGUACGGAGACCCCUCAACUAUAUGUUCUUUUGAAAUAUCCCCCUCUUAUUUUAUUUUAUUUUAUUUUUUUAAUUGAGACUUUCGCAACUUCUUAACUCUUUCUUUUUUUUUUUUUUUAUUAUACGAGUUGCCAGUAUCGUGCAUAAUGUAUACCGGUUAUUAUUCGUUAAUUGAUCUGAUUUUUAUUUACAAAAAAAAAAUUAAAGUUAUUAGAUUCGAUAAAAUUUUUUUUUGCAUAAUUUUAAAAUAAAUUUGAGAGAGAAAAAUAGCAUGCUAUCCGACUUUCUUAUUUUUUUAAGAAAUAAACUAAUAUGAAAACGUGAAACAAUUAAGUUUCGAAUCUGGAUCUCGGGUACCAAUCACCAAAUUCUUUACUGUUUGCACUAGAGGUGGUCGGUUUUCAAAGAUAAAAGUUGACGGGUUGUUUCAAAAUGGCAUAUAGUUGAGGGGGUCCUUGUACAUUUUUACCUAUUUAAAACUAUGUCCAUUGAAAAAAUAAGAAGAUAAUUAGAUAAUUGUGAUUGGACCUCCUCAGUUAUUGGCUAUACCGGUGUGGGCUCCUCAACUUAAUAAUUUCUUUUUUGAAUUAUUCUAGUGUGCUAAGUUAAAAUUAUUAUUAUCUAUAACUUAUUAAUAAUUUUAAUAUUAUUUUCUAUAAAUCAAUUAAACAAUCAAACUAAAUAAAUUUACAAAAUAAGUUAGAUGAAUUUUUUAAAUUAAACCAAGUAAAAUCACUCAAUCUCCAAAAAAAAAAAAAAAACUCAAAAAAUUCAAACAAUGCCAAUAGUAAAACUAAAUUUGAAGGGGCUAUUUCAGAGAACUCUGUAGUGAAGGGGGUCUCGGUACAAUUUUAUCUAAAUUAAAUUGAUAAGGAUAAAAUAUGCAAAUAUAGUAAGUUCAUAUAAAAGUCUCCCUAACAUUUUAUAUGGUCUAAUUUUCCAAAUUUCAAAUAGUGCGUGACAUUAAUGACAUGAGAGUGCAUUUGUCUUAGCAUCUAUGUCUUGGUGUUUAGAUAUGGAAAAGUGGAAUACUCAAAAAGAAAAAAAAAAUUUAAAAUACAUAAAAUUCUUAUAUAAAUAUUCUUUUUUAAAAAAAAUUUUAUGACUUUAAAAAUCUAUGUCUUAUCUCUUCAAAAAUUUAAGUCAAUACAUUUAGACUCCCUCCCUCAGGAUUUCAACACUAUUUCAUCUGUUUUUUUAUAAUUUAUAUCAAAAAUAUCUUUAAAAAUAACAUAAAUAUAUGAAAAAAUAAUUUUUUUAUAAAAUAAGGAAGAACAAUUUGAUUAUUUCGCCUUCUUCAUUGACACGGUAAUUUUCUGAAAAUACUUUUAGACAAAAUAUAGGGAAAAAAAUAGUAAAAAAUAGAUAUUUAUAAUUUUUUUUUUUUUAUAUUUUAGUCAAAAGAAUGAAAGAAAAAGUGUAGAAAAAGUAGAGACUAGACAUGAGUCUGUUUUAUUAGAUGAGAGUUGGUUAGCUAGAAAUUGAAGGAUAGGCACACCCAACUCUACUUACCUGAUCUUUUUAAGUUCAUGUGUGAUGUGGACAUGUUACACUCACAAGUCACAAGAGGGUUUUAGUUUGUAGCUUUCAUGAGCCCCAGAUUUGGUGAAAUUGUUGCCUGGACCUCGUGCACCAUGCACCAGUAUUCCCCAAGUUCUAAUGUGGAAGCUUAAAAUUAUUGGAUGUGAUAUGCAACACCUAUAAAAGAUUUCGAUACUAGAAUAUUUUAUAUUAUUUUGAAAGCUUUUUUUUAUGAUGUGAACUAUGCUAGCUCUGUUAAUAUCGUUAAAAGUUUUGAGACUACUUGUUAAGCUAUUAAUACCAUAAAUAGUAGGGCGAGAAAUCUAUGAGUCGCGGGUUUGAAUUUUAAGUAUGUUUUGGGUAGAAAUAUAGGUGGCCAAGCUGGGGAAGCAAAUGAAUCCAAAUUGAUGGAGCAUUCGUCCCAAUCCACCCCGAAUAGGACGGUAAGUGGUAACAAUAAUAUAGAAAAUUACAACCUGACCAAAAUCUGUCCCAAUCCGCUAAAUAAAUAAAGAGGGAGGUUGGAGACUCUUUUUUUUCUUUUUCUUUUCUUUUUUUUUUUUCUGAUCCGUCUUGAUCCGUUCAGAAUCGAUCAAAAAUUCGCUCCCGUCCUGAUCUGCUCCACAUAAAGCGAAAAGUAGAAGUCAAAAAUAGUAUAAAAAUUAACAUGCUCUGAAUCCGUCAUGACAAAACAUGUAAUGGGGUUAGAGGAGAGGGACUCCUUCCAUUCCAAGAUCUGUCCCAUUUGUAUUUCUAAACUAAGCUGCGUUUAUGCUUUUAAAAGUACUAAGUCAUUGGUGUUUGUAGGUUUUCAAUUCUUAGAUUAAGGGAUGUGUGGUUAGGAUGAUGUGGACUCUCUAGGGUUGAGUGAGUGGUUGGUUGAAUAGUAUAAUCUAACGGGUAAAAAUAAUCAAAGACGUAGAUCUACCGGUAAAAAAUUUAUAAUCACCAAGUGCUUGGUGCUUUUACAAGCACCAUAGCCGGACUCCAUAUGUGUGUGUGUGUGUGGCGCGCACGCCCGUGCGUGUGCGUGUGCGUGUUCGUGUGCGUGUGUGUAGGAGGGAGGGAGAGAAAAAGAGAUUAAUAGAGAUUAAUUUGAGACUAUUUCGUGUAUAGAUAAAAAAAAAAAAAAUUCAAGAUUUCUAUUAUUCUAACGUGAAGCAUUUAGAGAUUAUGGAUCUUAUUCAAUUUUUAGUAGGAGAAUUUGAGGCCUCUAUAGUAAAAAUUAAGGAAAACUUUAAAUACCCUCCUUGUGGGUUCACUUUUUCUCACUUUAGUAUCCUGUGGUUUAAAGUGUAUCAAGCUAGUACCCUGUGGCAUGUGGUUUAAAGUUUAUCAAGUUCGUAUCCUAUGGUUUCUCACUUUCUCACUUUAGUACCCUGUAGUUUAAUAUUUUAUUAAGAGAAAAAUAAAAUCAUAGAAUACUAACUUGAUACAAAAAUAAAACCACAGGAUACUAAUUUGAUAUAAAAAUAAAAUCACAGAGUACUAACUUGAUACACUUUAAACCACAGAGUACUAAAGUGAGAAAGUGUGAAACCGCAGGGUACUAACUUGAUACACUUUAAAUCACAGGGUAUUAAAAUGAAAAAGUGCGAAACCACAUAGAGGGUUUUUUGAAGUUUUCCCUAAAAAUUAUAAGCUGUAGUUCUUAGCAAAGAUGGUGGAUCAGGUCCAGCCAAUAAUUCUUGACAUGAUUAGGUCAAAUGGUCGAGUCUUGACCCUCGCACGUGCGACUCUUUCUUUUCUCGGAAUGUCGUGAUCAUACACCAACUUCAGCACCAAUUGGUUAGGAAGUUCCUUCUCUCACCCUUUGGCCUAGAUAUUUUAAAAAUAAUUUUUACAUAAUUAAUUUUAAUUUAAAAAUAUAAUUUUUAUUAAAAAUUAUAGAGCGUUUGUCAAAAUCUGAUAGAAAACUCAUUUUAAAAAUCUGUAUGGUAAAUUUAUAUAAUUUUUUUGCUAUCUUAGUGAUUAUUCAAUAUGGAUUGAUUCAUACAUUAAUUUCUGAUAUAGACGUCUCAAAUUACGAUCCUUAUAAUCAAGUUUUCAAUGUAUACCCAAGAUAUUGCCUCCCUCCAUAGUUCAACGUAUUUUCACAAGGAUCUGCUUAAUAAGGUAUUGAGAUGUAUUAGCAUACAUAAUAUAAAGUUUUUUUUUAAUAGCUCAUUACACAAAUGUACGAGAAGGAUUGUAGAAAUUAUCAAUACAUCAAGGCUAACAUCUUAGCUUUUUUCUUCUAGACUAGAAGUACAAAAUCUUGUAUGUUUGAAUGUAUAAAUCCACAUAGAUAUGCUAGAAAAUUACGUAGAUACUUAAAUGCUUAAUUGUUCAUACAGGUACAGGGACAAAUAGAUCAUCUCUCAUUAUAUAUUCAUGGAGCUACAACCCACCAUUUCCCGUACGAAUAAUGCCACAGUAAACCAACCGUCUUUAGAGCAAGUGGCAAAGGGCUUGGUGGUUGGUACCCGAGACCCAAGUUCGAAUCCUAGUUGAUUUAUAUUUCUAGCUAAGUUUAUUUCUAAAUGAAAUAAACGAAGCAGGUAGCGUGCUACCUAUAUCUCAAAUAAUAAUAAUAAUAAUAAUGCCACAGUAAAUAAAAUGCAUGGUAACUAAAGUGACUGGGGCUUUCCAAUGCAAUAUGGAGUCCAGUAUCUGGUGAUCUGCAUUAGUCUUUUAGUAGUGUAGUUUCCAUCAUUCAGAUUUUGCUCGAUCUCAUCUACUCCUACUAAGAGUGUGCAUGCAACAUGAAUCUUUGCAUAGGUGGGUCCAUUGUGUCUGACUAUAUGUUGUAAUUGAAUGACCAGAAAAACAGAAAAAUUGAAAAAAAAAAAAUAGUAAUCUGUAAUGGACAUAACAUAAUUUUCAUCUUGUAAAUUUCCUAUCGCAUCCAUAAUAAGUUGGGGUUAUUUUCAUUCCAAAUUUUAGUGUCAACAAAAUCACUAGAACUCCGCUGGUAAGGCAUGGGACAGGGCUUGGGAAGGUAUUGUGCUCCACUCCUCGUUAGAAAGAUCUUAGAGAGUUCUGAUUGAUCACAAGCACUAACAAACUAUUUAGUGAAGCUUUAUUUUAACCGUACAUUUCACUUAAAAGAAAAUAUCUGACUAACUGGAUCGUGAAUUUAGUAUAAUUACUAAAGCGAUAACAGAAUGAUAACGUGAGAUGUACAGUUUGUGAAACAACCAUUGUACUCUAAAAGUUUAACCUAUUAGAGAACGAUGUUUAAACAUUUUUAUAUUUAACACUCUCCCUCACGUCUGGACUCGAAACUUUUUUUAAUCGGCCCAUGACGUGGGCUUGAAUUAAAUGGAAGAAAAUUAAUAUGCUAGGAGUUUGGCGUGACUCGAACUCAGGAUCUCCUGCUCUGAUACCAUGUGAAACAACCGUUGUACUCUAAAAACUUAAGUUAUUAGAGAACGGUGUUUAAACAUUUUUAUAUUUAACACAGUUACAAUGAAGCCUUUAUGGAGUAGUUUUUUAGUGCAAUCUAAAUCUGACCCAAACUCGACUCUCGUGUAGGGAUGUUGGCUAUCGAACAAUCUCCACACCGUUGAUUAAAUUAAUUGCACAUUUUAAGCUAAUGUUAACAAACUUCAAUAUAAUUUUCUUAUUGAGAUUGUAGUAGGUUGAGAAAAAAGAAACCAGUUAAGAACAAUUCAUGAGAAAUAAAGAAUAAUUUAAAUCCAAGUUAGCAAAUAUCUAUUUUCCUGGUAGAAGUUGAGAAAGUAAUGCCCACAUCAGGGAUAGUCCUGCUGAGCUGUUUGAGCAGUACUUGACCUGUCUAGAUCUUCUGAUAUCACUGUUGGAGAAUAAAAAUUGUGGUAUAGUACUUGUAUAUCUAUUAAUUAAGGGCAUUUACUUUGAUAGUGAAGGAGAAUCAAAUUAAUUAUCCCCACUUCACAGCAAGGAAAAUGCUGUAUAUGCACCCUUUAUAGAAGAAAAUUUUUUAAAAUGUUUUGGUCACAUAUGCUAUGUGGCAUGGCCCAAUCAAUCACAAUUGAUCUCUAUGAUUUACCCAUCCCAUCAUAAUUUAUAAAAAAUUAUUUUUAUUGUACUUUUCUCUCAAAUAGAGACAUUGAUUAGCUGCACAUUUUUUAUGUGGUAUGACUGCUACACAGAAGACUUUUUUCUUAUAGAAAAUGUACAUUUUGCACUCUUGAUUUAAGAGUUGAUAAACCUUUUUAGAGUCUUAGUUUUUUUUAAAAAAAAUUUAAUUAGACAAUUGUAUUGACAAGGGUCACAAGUUGCCUAGGGUAUAAAAUUUACAUGUUAUAAGUAGGGUGUAUAGGUAGUAUUGCUCCUAUAGCCAUUAAAUUUUAAUUUAUCAUAAUCUCUAACUCUCACUUUCUUAAUUGUUACUCCAAUUUAGUUGAUUUGAUACUAAUAUUUUGCCAAUACAGCAGUGAUGUGGCAUUUUAGUAAUUGUAACUUUAUCGAUUGCCCCAGUUCCACAUUAACGAUUCAUCACUGUUUAACCAACUAAAUUAGACUAUAGGACUUGUUUAUAGAAAUUUAAAAAGUUCGAGCAAGAAAGUAUAAUAAAUUAAAGUUUAAAAACCAAAAGUGUCACACAUCAGUCUGAGUACCAAAAGUGCAAUUUAGGCUUAUUUUAUCAGUAAUAUAUCUAGUUUAUAAGAGCAUAAAAGUGAUUCCAAAAGUAAUACCACAUAACCAUUAAUCUUUUUCAAUAUUUAACACGGGUCGCAAAACAAAGUUACAACCUCAAUUAAUAGUGGACUAACUAAAAGUCAAAUCCACGCUUUCCACCUCUCAUGAGUCACAGGUUAUUAUUGGAUAAUUUAUUCUAAAAUAGGAUCCAAGUAAAUUUACUUAUUUCCACAUAAAUGAAUACAUAAUCAAUCUUUUUUUUUUUUGAGAGAGAAACGUAGCAUACUAUUUGCUUCGUUUUGCUUCUUUUUUUUUUUUUGAAAAUAAACUUAGCUGAAAAUGUGAAGCAAUUAAGUUUCAAACUUAGGAUCUCGAAUAUUAACCAUCAAAUCUUUUGCCACUUGCGCUAGGGAUGUUUGGUAUCAACCUAUAAUUUUUAAUAGAUCCAGGUUCAAUUAAUAUGACAACUUAGUGCAAAAUAUGAGUCUAUUGCCUACUUACUAGUAAUUACUAAGUAGAGAGGGAGAGAGAGAGAGAGAGAGAGAAAAGGGAAAAGCUUUGGAUAGGAUAAAGUUAGGUGAGAGUAGAAGAGAGCUUUUGAAAAAGCUUCAACAGGAAUCUUAGAAGAGGUAGUUGAUGUAAGUUGCAGCAACCAUGAGAAUGUAAUAACCAAUUAAUGGAAAAGUAAAGGUGGAUUGGUUAUUAUGGAAGGCACAACUCAUCUACUUGUGUCCAAAAUGUGGGUUAGUGUUUUUUAUGGAUUGGAAGAUUGGUUGUUGGGAGAAUUAGGUGAUCUUUUAAGUCAUUGGACAACAGAAUUUUUUUAUUUAUAUUUGGUAAUGGUAGUAUCAGAGUUAAUUUGGUGUUUUUCACAGAAAAUAAAGUUUGAAGAUAUCUAUACACCAUUGUGUAAGUUAUACUAAAAGACAUUUGAGAUGCAUUUCGUCAUAGAUGAGCAAUAAUAUGCACUCAAUGUGCUCCGUGUGCAUGCUUAAUGUGCACACUAAAACUCUUUAUUGCUGAAAUGAAAAGAAUUACAAUAAUUGCUAGGGAGCCACAAAUAAUUCGGUUUGGAUUUUUCGCCGGGACUUGAGCUUCUAACGAAUACUACGUUCAGCAGCUUGGUUUGGACCGAACUUAGAACUGCUAAAAAUAGUCACCUUUUUCGCUCGAAUUAGAGUGCACCGAAUAUUUGAGAUUUCGACUAAACAUUGAAAGGCUCUAGUGAAGAAAUAAUAGCUAUUGCUAAAAAUUCUUGAACUACUUACUAACUAAAGCAACCGAAAACUAAAACGAUCGAAUUGGAUUUUUAAAAAUAUUUGAAAAAUGGUCAUUUCAUUCAUCUCACUCGAGAUAUUUAUAUUCCCUCCAAUCCGACUCCCAGACCACGAAAAUCUUAGCAAAAUUUCGUAAUCUCUUAUUGUAGUUAUCUCUUUUCAAAUUGUAUUCUCUUUCUUUCUAUGCAAGGAAGAGUUUUUUAAAAUGCUAAAUAGUGUGGAGUUUCUAACAUAAUGUUGUUCAAAUCACAUUCAUUCGUCUUCUUCUUUUUCUUUUUCUUUUUUUUUUUUUUUUACUUGUGUUGAAAUUUUUGUUACCUUAUUAAGUAUUUUGAAGGGAAAGAAAAACUAAAAGUUUUAGCUAUAAAUAGAAAAACUGGAAAAAGGAAUAUAGCUUCUCAACACAUGAUAUCUAAUUUUCACUACUACACAGGCAUGAGCAGUUCUAAGAUUGUGAACUCGAACGCUAGGCCCAAAUAUUUAGCCCAAAUAUUAAAGCCAAUUGGCCCACAAAAGGCCGUCGAUUCAGCUCAACAUGCACUAAAAUGGGCAUUGUAAAGAAUGAAACUUAGGGCGCGAUUGUUUCGAAGUAAGCGGGAGCCAGAUUUUUGAUCAAAUGGGAUUGCAUCACGGCUGUGAUACAUACCAGACGUGUUGAGACGUUUCGGACUCAUGUAUAGUCAGAGGUGGUGACUUCGUCUCUCUUCCUCGCAAUGUCACGAUCUGAUCAACCAAACAAUGAAGAUGAUGCGAGGAUGCAAAUGGGUCGGACCAACAGAUAUUAACCAGCAAAUCCUUUAUUACUUGCGCCAAGGGCUGUUGGUCUGCCUAGUAUAGUUAUAAACUUUAAAAAAUUGACAUAGAAAAGAUCGAAGACUAAAACUAGGGUUCUGUCGGGACGAAGCCCAAUCAGCCCGUUUUUUGUGCUUGCAUAUCGAAAUUUUCGUCUAGUCGAAUAAUUUCCAACCCUAUCGGGCUCAUCGAGUCCAAUCCAGGCCACCGAUUUUGCCAGGGCCAUGUAUCGUCCUUGGGCCUUACCCUGUGUCCUAAUAACUUACCAUGUUUUGUAGAUAUUUUCUUAUGCAGUUGCAAUUUACUGGUAUGCUUUUAGCCAUUUCAAGUUCCUGACAACUGAGACUGACUGUCCCUAGAGCAAGUGGCAAAAGACUUGGUGGUUGGUACUCGAGACCCAAGUUCGAAUUCUAGUUGAUUCACAUUUUCAGCUAAGUUUAUUUCUAAAUAANGGAUUCUAAUACAAUCUUAUAUCCUAAUUGCACUAAUAAAGAUCCACUAAUCAGGUUCCGUCGGAUUUCAGGGGAAUGCUGCACAUUGUGAAGGAUUAACGUCUUUCCUGAAGUUAACUUCAGCUUGACUGUUCCGAUCCCCAACACAUUGACAGCUUUUCCAUCUCCAACAGUCACACAUCCUCCACUUGUGUCCUGAUAAGAGGAAAAUAGGGAUCUAUUAGUGCAAACAUGGACAUUGGUUCCAGAAUCUAAUCACCAAUCUAAAUCAUAAUAGGUAAGGUUAACACUAGGUACAAAAGAGACUGACCUAAAAGUGGAGUUGGAAGGUUCACCCUUAAUCAUGUUGACCUGAGGUUUAGGAUAGUUGUUCUGAUUGUCUUGGCCCUUCUUGUAGACAACCUUCUUUUUCUUCCGAUAAAAACAUUUUGAGGCAAAAUGGUUGUCACGGCCACAUACAUAACAGAAACCAUCAUUCUUCUUAUUCCCACUAGGUUGGUUGGUAUUGGGUUUCUGGGUAUAGUUCCGAUUUCGAUUAGGGUUCCUACCUUUAAAGCCUUUACCCUUAGGUUUAAAAUUUUUACCUUUGGGUUUAGGCUCAUGGCUCUGGUUCGGAAUCUCGGUCAGGUUUAUGUUUGAUCGGUUGUUGGACGGUUUAAUCUCUCUAAGUCGGUAUUGGUCUUCUAUUCUAAUGGCUUGGAUUACCGAUCUAAGUUUAAGAGUUUCCUGGGUUCGUCUAAGAUCUUAGGCAAAUUUGGUCCAGAAAGGGGGUAAUUUAUCCAAUAAACAGGUUGCCUGAUAGGUUUCAUCUAGGGUUGAUCCAUUCCUAUGAAUCUCUUGGACAAAAUUCUGAAAUUGGUGAAUUUGAUCGUUUAUAGGAAUGUUGUCUACCAUUCUAAAAUUGUUAAAAUCGGUAAUGGUAAAUCUGGCGACACCUUCAUUAUCUCUAAUGUAGGCAUCUUCUAAGGCAAGCUAUAAAUCUUUGGCAGUUUGAUAUUUCCUAUAAGUUUCAUAAAGUUCGUCAGAUAGGCAGUUAAGUAUUCUAAACCUACAGUGAAAUUCAAUUUCCUCGGGAGAUUUGUCAGUUUUAAGUUCUGUAACUGAGGUGGUUGUAGAAUCAGAUGGAGGAGUUUCAAUAGGUGGAUCAGAAGAAUUUUUAGAAGUAGGAUAAGGAGGUGUUUUUCCAAUUGCAGUUAUGAGGCCUAAGGUGGUAAGCCAAGCCUCUAACUGUUCUUGCCACCUCAAAAAUUCUACCCUUUUAAAUUUUUUUGGUUUAAGGCUAGAAGUGUCAUCGAAAGCCAUUCUAAACAAUCUAGUUGAGGGAAUAAAGAAAUCAAGGAUGAUAAAAAUAAACUGCAAAAAAGGUUCAAAAACCCUUUUUAGAAAAAUAAACAUAUUGUUAAGGUUUCUACCCUAGUCAACCAGAAUAUUUUAGGGUUUAAGUGUUUAAAUUUAAUCUCUUAUGAAAGUUCGUUCAGCAGCAAACAGAUGGCCCAAACAAUUUAAAUAAUUGAUUUCAAUUAACUAAUUUUAAACAGAUAAUAUAUGCAAUGAGAUAAUAUUUAUACAGCAAAUAGAGUUAAGAAACUACUGCAAUAAUAAAAGAAUAGAAAGUAAAAGUGGUAGUGCUGGUUAGAGGGAGUAGUGUUUGAAGAUGCCAUUUAGGCCAAUCGUGGGUUCAAAUCCCAAUUGAAAUAGUUUUUCAAAAAUAUUGUAGCAAUUUUUUCUUUCUAUUUUUUUUUUCCAAACAAAAUUUUACAGUAGCAAAACCAAAACAGUAAAAUAUAUAUGUUUUUUUUUUCCCGAAAAACAGUAUAAAUUAAAAUUAAACUUUUGAAAAGAACCGCACACUUUAAAUAAAUUUACUGUAGCAAACCUUUUUUUUUUAAUUACCAAAGAUUUUAUAGUAGCAAAUUAAAACCUCCGUAUACAAGAGAGCUAAAAAAAAUACUGUAACAAUUUUUUUUUUAACUUUAACGAAAUAGUUUUACUGUAGCAAAACUAAAACCUUAAAUUUUCUGUUGUAGACAAUUUUUUUUUUAGUAACAGUAGAAGACAAAUAAAAAUUGCAAGCAAACUAUAUGCAAUUAGAUUUUAAAAAAUGCUAAUCCCAACUUAAAUUAAUUUUNGUUCAUCACAAUUGUGAUCUUACAAAAUAAUGUAUUUUAUAUCUAUAAAGUAAAAUUUUUAUUCUAAAGAAAAAGACUUAGAUGCUACACAAGUUAUCUCGCAGGCUCUUCAUCGACCAAAUACUGUAUUAUUCUUAAAGUAAAUAAAAAAGAGGCAUCGAGUAAGAUUCUCAUGCAUCAACUUGUCCAUCUAACUACUUCGAGUAAUCGGCUCAUGCUUUUGAAAUAAUCAGCUAUUUCAUUGUGGGUCCCAUGAACUCAACUUUGCCCCCGCCAAACAUGAAGGUCCGUUUGUUUUGGUGUAAGUCAAAAAUAUAAUGUAACUUAAGUUAUGUUAGACCUCCACUUUAUCUACUUUCGACUUUCUCUGCCGAACUCGACUUCCGCCACACUCAACCUCCUCUAAAAAAUUUAUUAAAUAGUGAAACUUAAACUUUAUUUCCUUUAUAAUGGAUUAGAAUUACCUUAUUUAUAAUAAAUUAAAAUUAUAAAAAAUGUAAUUAUAUAAAGGUUAAAGUUUAUAACAGUAAAUUUACCACUAUAUUUAGGAGAUAACGGGAUUCACUUACUUAUAUCAAAACAAACAACAGAACUUAAAAAACUAAUUUUACCAAUACCAAGUUGCAUCAAAACAAACAGAAUUAGUUGAAUUUAACUUUCAAACUGUACAAGUUACGUUAAAACAAACAACAAAAAAAUAAUCACACUUUAGGAAAACUCAAAUACCAUUGCAUUUGACUUACGUUGGAUCUAUAGAUUUGUCAAUCCAAACGCCCCGAAGUUGAAAACGGGCACUGGACAGGAACUCCGCACUCCCUCUCACGCUCCAUACAAUAGGAAAAUGGUUUUGUCGAAUCCGCGAGCAUCAAUGGAAUGCUCCGCUGUCCAAUUUUCUGAUGAGUUCCAUCCGCGAGUUAUGUGCAACCGAACACUCUCUAACCAGGGGCGGAGCCAUCGUAAGGCUCGCAGUCUCAGUGGCUUAUGGCUCUCCUAACUUUUAAAAAUUACAUAUUGGUCCUUUAUAAUAAAAAUUAAAAUAUUACAAAUUUUAGUUUUAAUUUAUUUUAAUAAAACAUGUGUCUCAAUAGUCCUUUUCUUUCAGCUUUUAUAGUCUUGCUUUUUUUUAAAUACAUUAUUGUUGAGGAAAACCCGCAACGAAUAAUCCGAUUGUGACAAAAUCUAACUAAUUUAGUGAUAAAAUUAAUAACAUUAACUUACCAGUAAUCGCUAAAUUCUAAAAAAAUAAAUUGUGGAAGUAGAAUGCCAAAUUAAUUUGAUCCGGAAGCGUGCGAAGCACUGCCCUAAGGCGUAUUCCCGUCCUUCGUGUGGGAUUAACCGGAAACACCGCCCCAAGGUGCGACCGGAACUCCUUCUCCUACGAGCACGAUCGCGGAAGAGGUUGACGGAGACUCUUUCAACACUCGGUGAAAAAUAAUAAAAUGAAAGAAAAUAACAAAUGAUUCUCAAAUAGUAUUCCUUCUCACUGUUAUCUAUGUUUCCAAAGUGUUCACCUCAUAUGUAUAUAUAUAUAUAUGUCCUGUCCAAUACUAUGGACGAGGUAAUAAAAUAUAAAGGGUUAAAGUAUGGAACGUUAGAGCCCACAACGUUCCAACGCACUAAUUAAGGUCUUAAUUAGUGGAACGGAUCUGCGCACGAUCCCCCCCUCGCGCGGAGCGGCCGUAGUUGAUGCGGUCGUUUCGCUAAUUGAUAAUUAAAAGUUAAUAAAAAAAAUUAAAUAAAUAAAAUUUUGGAUUUUCUCCAACAAUUAUAACUGCUGUGCUAGCAAUAGAUGGCUAGUAAACAUGACAAACUCUUUUUCUUAUUAUUCGAUGCCGAAUUUUUUUUUUAUAUCAAACCUAAAAUUUUGGCUUCCCCUUUCCCAACUUUAAUUUUUGACUUCGUCCCUGUCUCUCUGACCCACCGAUGCCAAAAUCAAAUAAACACCGAAAGGUGAAAGAGGAGCCUCGAACCACCAGCUUUAUGGCCAUUACUAACAAAUGAAAUUAGAAAAAGAUUGAUGCCACAGUUUUAGUUGAGAGUUGGCGCUUCCCCCUAUCAAUUAAUGUGUAAAAAAAAAAAAAUGUAUGAAUAGUCCCUGUUCUAUCCCGACAUUGUAACUUGGUUUCUCUACUUUUUAAUUGUACUAUUUAAUUUUCAAAUAUUAGGGGCGAUUUCAAACAUACUCCACUAAAAUUUAAAAGUUUACUCGUAUGCACUUUUAAAGUCUAAAAUAUCAGUUAAAUCCUUCACACAUCUAUUAUCAACUUCUAUUAGUAAACAAUUAAUAAGCUUGUCCGAGUUAAAAGUGAGUUAAAUAUUAGUUAAGUUAGUAAAAUGAUGAUUCUACCCUCGUCUAUUACUUAUAUGGGACAAUAUAUUUAUACAUAUUUUUUUAUUUAGAAUAUAGUAUUUAGUUUUAUACUUUAUAGUAUGAUAUUUUUUUAAAAAAAAACAAUUUCUUAUUAAGUAUGUGAUCUAUGACUUUUAUUUUAUUAUUUUUUUAUUUAGAAAAAUUUCUUGAUACUAAGUUUACUAAUUUUACUACGUUUUUAGCUUAUUACCGGGGGUACAAAUUAAAUUUUAAAACUAAUCCAUUAAAUUUGGACGGUUUUUUGUUAGUAGAAGUAUUCGAUAAUAUUUUUUAUAUUUACAAAGGCAUUGAUAAUAUUUUGAACUUUAAAAAUAAUAUUGGUAAAAUUACAGUUUCUCAGCAAGAUAUUUGGUCAAAUUUUCCAUUUUAAGUAUAUAUGGACUUUACUAUAAGUUGGUCUCUUAUUAAAUUUUAUUUAAACUAAACUAAAAUAAAUUAGGCAUUUUCGAAAAGAAUAAAAUGAUUAUUCAAAAAAAAAAACAGAGAUUAUUUUUUUCUUAAUCAUCAUCUUACUUUUAAUUAAUGCGGUGCCAAAGUCUUGAUUAUCGUUGGACCAGUUAAGUGUCCACCAUCACAAACGUGGGGCCCACACAUGUGAGAUUCACAAGUUUGCUUCACAAUUAAUACACAUAUAACAAUAUAUAACGGCAACCUAAAUUCUCUAUGGAGUCGUCAACCGUCUAUGACGUAGGUGAUAAAGGACACUAGUAAUCGUAAGUUCAAAAUUUAAUUACUUAAUAUUUUUUAAAAAAGCUCACAUUACCAAAUAAUGGAGUACCUUUCUGUAUUUUCAAAAAAAAACUCAUGUUUUCUAAUCUCACAUUUUUUUUUUUAGGGACAAUUGUUUAUAUACCUCUGAAAGUUUUCGAUUUUUCGAUUUACCCCUCUUAGAAUACUAAUAUUGAAAAUACUUUUUCUACGUUCCAACAUAUUUCUAAUAUAUCCCUAGAGUUAAAAUCUGUUAAUGAACUUUGUUAUCUCUGUAAAAUUACUAUUUGACCUUUUCAAAUAUACCCUUCCACCAUCACUGAUUUUCUUAUUUGCCCUUAAAAUCAGGGGCACAAAAAGUAUUUUGAUUUUUGGUCUUUUUCAAUAUACCCGUCUACCGUCACCAACAUUUCUUAUUUGACCUGCAGUUAAGGGCAAAAUCGGCAUUUUAAUAUUUUUUAACUGUGGUAGAUAUUUAACUCACGUUUAACUAAAGGUGUCCAAAAUAUCCGAUAUCCCAUACCCGACCCGGACCCUACCCGGACCCAAACCGGACCCGAUAAAAAAUGAAUAGUAUACGGAUAAAAAAAAUUACCCAUUAAAGUUUCGGGUAUGGGUCCGGAUAUUUUAUACCCAUACCCGAUUUGGACCUGACCCGAACCUAACUUUUAAAUGAGUAGGGUCCGGAAUAGUUUUCAAAUCCGGAUCCGGACCCGGACCCGAUGAAAUAUCCGAUAGUAAAUAAAAAAAAAAAACUUUUGAAGUUGAAGAUUAAUUUUAAUAUGACUUAUAGAUGAUGAGUCACUACGUAUUUUCAUCCUAAUGAAACCCUAGCCGUCUCUUUUACUCAUUACUUUUUUCUAAUUUUUUUACUCUUUGUUUUCUACUCCUUUUUUUUCAUUUCAUUUCCGCCAACAAUAUUUCAUUGUCAUCAUCAUCAUCAGUGUCAUCAUUAUCAUCAGCGAUAAUAUUUCUUUUGAAUGAAUUUUAUUGGACGGUACAACUUAUUAGAAUGCGAGUUUUUUUAUGGUGGGGUUUAUAGUUUGCCUAUUGACUAUUUAAUAAAGUUUAUAAAAAAAAUAUAUUUAUACGGAUAUCCGUACCCGAUCUAGACCCGAUCCAUAUCUGGUCUUGAACGGGUUACGGAAAGUCACUACCCAGACCCGCUCAAAUAGACCCGAUGAGUAUAUUAGUAACUUUAGUACCCAGAUCCGGACCUGACCCGAAGUUAAAUGGGUAGGGUAUAUAUAUUUUUUUGUAACCAUUUCUUUUUAGGAUAUGGGUACAGUAUAUUAAUUAUCCAGACCCGACCCGGUCCACGGACAUCUUUACGUUUAACCCAAGUUAACUUAACAGGAGAUAACUGCGGGGUAUUUUACAAUAACGGUAGAACAUAUGAAAAAUAUUUUAGAAAGGAAAAAAAAAAUAGGAAUAAAUCGGAUAAUUUCAAACAUAUGAGGAGUAUAUAAGUAAUUAUUCCUUUUUUUUUAUAAAAAAGAAAGAUGUAAGUAAUCUUUCUGUUUCCCUGUUUCCCCCAAAGAAAAAAUAAAACUCAAUCAAGAAGGUAACAUAGUUUGUCACCUUUCUGUCUCUUAAAAAAAAAAAAAAAUCAUGUUUUUUGGUCUCAUAUUUUAUUUUUUUUAAAUGAAGUAGAUAAUAUAGAAUCUUUCUAUCUCUCAAAAGAAAAACUCAAUAAAACAGAUAAGAUCAUACCUUUUUGCCUUAAAAAAAAAUUGUAAUUUUGUUCUAUUUUUUUUGUUUUUGGUAACGCGCCAAUAAUUCCAAACUUGUAGAAGGUUGGUGCUUCUCGUGCUAUGUAAUAAUAUUGUAUUAAAAAAUUGAAUUUGACUCCUGUCAAAUAAAUAAUAACUAUUGGGAUCAGUAGUAACUCAGACAAAUCCUAUACAAAACUUCUGCGUCUCACCAUGGCGUGUAAAAUUUUAAACACUUUUAUUUAUUAUUAGAUACUUAAUUAUUAAUGACUAAACCUAAAAACAGAAACAAACAUACAGCCAAAUAGAUGUUAUAAAUUAUUUGCACGAAACCUAUCUCCCUAAAUUCCAAUUUAUGAAACCUUGACUUGUUCAAUUUUAAUAUCUUAAAUAACAGCACAACGUUUUCGUGCUAAAGAAUGAAAAAUGACAGCAUUUGAAUUUUUUUUUUUUACCUCUUGCUUUUUUCUGUUUUUUAUUUUAUUUUUUAUGAGAACAACAUUUGAUUUUGGGUCUACACUCAAAGCAUUUAGUGGCACCACUAUUUUUUUUUUCUAUUUUUAUUCUUAAGCUUCAUUUAGGAUUGUAGGAAGAAUAAUUAAUUGUAUUACGGGCAAUAAAAAAAAGUAUGGUGAAAAAAUACUCUAUUUAUUUUAUACGUAAUAUUAUAUUCUGCAUAUUGCAACGCAUCAAAUAUCUACAAAAUAUAUUUUAUGGAGAAACAUAUUCUUAUAUAUUUUUGUCCCAAUUCCGUUUUGCCUAUUAGCUAAGAUAAAACUCAAUAUCAAACAGACUUAUAUUAUAAAAUAAUUUGUUGAAUAUAAAUAUUAAAAAUAUUGUUCACUUAAAUUUUAGUGACAAAUGGUUGUUCAUGUAAAGGAACAAAAAUUUCAAUAUUUUAUAUUCAAUAAUAUCACAACUGCAAAAAACCAAGAUAAGAUAGUUUGCUUGUAGUUGCUUUGAUUAUUUUUUUUAAAAAAAAUUUACCAAGUUAAUUUUAUGAUUCUUUUUAUUGCAAAUAUUCACAAAAUUGAUCAUAUUAAUUACCAAAGAGAAUUAUUAUAAAACAGAAAAAAAAAAUUAUGAUCCUGUAAUUAAAACAACUAAUUGUUCUAAAAACUUAAUUUAAUAAUUGAAUACUCAAAAUAAAAUUAAUUAAGGUGACAUAACAUGAUGGUUCUGUUACAUCCAAAUUGAAUCGAAAGUAAAAGAGAACAAGUGAAAAACAUGCCCUAAAAUUCUUCAAUCUCAAAAAGGUUUUAUUAAUUUCUUAAUACUAUAGAUUCGAUUACUUAAUUCAACAUAUUUUCCUUUGACUUUUCCGUGUUUUUCUUUGAACCCUAUUAUAAGAAAUCGUUCUCAACAUAAAUAGCUUGUGAAUUGUGAUGCACGUGUCCAACCACAUUAUUUAAUCCCACAAGAAAUGAAGAACCUCUCAUAUCUAGUCACAUUUAGUUGCCAUGUUUUUUUUUUUUUUUAAUUCUCUCAUUAAUAACUCAUUUUGAUAAAUCUCUCAUUAAUUUAAUUUGAUAAAAUUUUAAUAUAUAUACAUGUUUUCUUUUGAGCUUGUCACAUAUCAUGUUUACUUUUUUUAAAAAAAAGAAUAAGAUAACAUGCCACUUGCUUCAUUUAGUUUUAUUAUAAAUAAAUUUGGCUGAAAAUGUAAAGCAAUUAGAUUUUAAACUUGGGGCCUCGGAUUUGCACUGAAAUGGUCGGUUUCAUAUAUUUUGUUGUACAUCUCCAAAUUACUCUCUCUCAGAAGAGAUAGAGAGAGAUCGACUAUAUUUAUUUUUGUGAUUUUUUUAGGAAACUCUCAGUGUAUAUUUUUUUAUACAAUUUUCUUAAUAACUUUUUGUUACAAUAAAAUUUACAAGUAUUUUGAAUCCUAUUCAUAAAAAUUAUAUAAGUUAUUAAGAUUAACUGAUGAAUGCAAAGUUUGGGAAUUGAUUGUAUUUUUGCCAUCCAAAUUUGACCACUAUUUUGUGGUCUGUUGACCGUUGAUUUUUCAGUAUUAGGACCAUUAUAAUGACCAAAAAGGACAUUUUUUUAAACUAAUUUAAGAUUUAUAUUUUAUGUAGAAUAACAUAAGAGAUGGAAUAGAAAAAUUAGAAAUUACAAAAAAUGACUAAGAGUGUUUAAAAAGAUCCUCAUUUAAAGGUAAAACAGUAAUUAAUUUUUAAUUACUAAAAAUCCAAAUUUAAAUGGUCGACUAAUAAAUGGUGAUAAAUUACAAUUUUUGAUUAUCCGUGACGAUUAAUUAUCAAAUUAACAUUUCUGAGGAAACAAUCUAUAAUUUAGUAUAAGAAUGUACAACUUAAACACCGGCUAAACAUGUGAGCUCUAGCAAAUAAUCUCCUAAACUUUUAAUUUUGCAAUUAAAUCCUUUAGACUUUAUUAAACAGUACUAUAGCUUACAUAUGAUCUUGCGAAGUUUCAAAAUAUAGUAAAAUCUAUCUUAUCUUUUCAAACGCUUGAAAAAAAGAUAAUAAAAAUCAAAUAUACAUUUUGCAUAUUAUUCAAUUCUUAGCAUAUUAUUCAAUUCUUAAAGCCUAACUAAAAUACUAUUGAUAGUAGAUGAAUAAUAUUUACUAUCAACUUUUAAAAUUCUUGGAUUCAUAAUAGUACUAUCACCAAAUAGUAAACCUUAAAAGCAUCCAAAUGAUAAAACAUUGAUAGCAAUCAUUAUUCCUCUUCUAUCAAUAGUAUAAUUAUGAUGCUUAAAUUUUAUCCGCAAAAAGAAAAGUAGGAUUAUUUGUGAUCAUAUGCAAGGUAUUCAUUGGCGCCGCCAUUUGAUGAAAUUUAGAAAAUCUGGUUGGCAAAAUUAAAAGUUUUGAGUGUGAUAGAAAUCACCUGAAUUCAUUCCUUCUAGCAUUUUGCAGUGAUUAGUUCACAAAUUCUUUCUGAUGCUUAAAUUUUGUCCCCGAAAAGAAAAGUAGGAUUAUUUGUGAUCAUAUGCAAGGUAUUCAUUGGCGCCGCUGUUUGAUAAAAUUUAGAAAAUUUAGUUGGCAAAAUUAAAAGUCCAGAGUGUGACAGAAAUCACCUGAAUUCAUUCCUUCUAGCAUUUUGUAGUGAUUAGUUCACAAAUUUUUUCUGAUGCUUAAAUUUUAUCCGUGAAAAGAAAAGUAGGAUUAUUUGUCAUGAUCAUAUGCAAGGUAUUUUAUUGGUGCCGCCAUUUGAUUAAAUUUAGAAAAUCCAGUUAGCAAAAUUAAAAGUUCAGAGUGUGUGAUAGAAAUCACCUAACUUCAUUCCUUCUAGCAUUUUGCAAUGAUUAGCUGACAAAUUUUUUCUGAUGCUUAAAUUUUGUGCGCAAAAAGAAAAGUAAAAUUAUUUGUGAUCAUAUAUGCAAGGUAUCAUUAAUUGGCGCCGCCAUUUGAUGAAAUUUAGAAAAUCUAGUUGGCAAAAUUAAAAGUUUAGAGUGUGACAGAAAUCACUUGAAUUCAUUCCUUCUAGCAUUUUGCAGGGAUUAUAUAGUUGACAAUUUUUUUUUUGAUGCUUAAAUUUUGUCUGCGAAAAGAAAAUUAGGAUUAUUUGUGAUCAUAUACAAGGUAUUCAUUGGCGCCGCCAUUUGAUGAAAUUUAGAAAAUCUAGUUGGCAAAAUUAAAAGUUUUGAGUGUGAUAGAAAUCACCUGAAUUCAUUCCUUCUAGCAUUUUGCUUUGAUUAGCUCACAAAUUUUUUCUGAUGCUUAAAUUUUGUCUCCGAAAAGAAAAGUAGGAUUAUUUGUGAUCAUAUGCAAGGUAUUCAUUGGCGCCGCUGUUUGAUAAAAUUUAGAAAAUCUAGUUGGCAAAAUUAAAAGUUCAGAGUGUGACAGAAAUCACUUAAAUUCAUUCCUUCUAGCAAUUUGUAGGGAUUAUAUAGUUGACAAAUUUUUUCUGAUGCUUAAAUUUUGUCCGCGAAACGAAAAGUAGGGAUUAUUUGUGAUCAUAUAUAUGCAAGGUAUUCAUUGGCGCCGCCAUUUGAUGAAAUUUAGAAAAUCUAGUUGGUAAAAUUAAAAGUUCAGAGUGUGACAGAAAUCAUCAGAAUUCAUUCCUUCUAGCAUUCUGCAGGGAUUAGUUGACAAGUUUUUGCUUUCUUAUUUAUUCAUUUAUUACAGAUCUGAAACAGGCAAGCCACCAAUCACACAGCAACCUAUAACUACUCAGACAACUCUUGUGUUGGGGAAUCUCCCCACCUACAUUUGCGCUCACAAGGGAUCAAAAGGGAAUAUAAUCCCACAUAUUCCACCAUUUCCCUUUCCCCCUCCCUCUUUCUCUCCUUUCCCAUCACUCAAACUAAAUUACACCACCAAUCAAAUCCUAGCAUUUCAUGAUACACACAAUAAGAGAGAGAGAAAGAAAAGAAACCAACUUAGCUUUUCUCCUCCUCUCCCCUCUCUCUCUCUCUCUCUCUCUCUCUCUCUCUCUCUCUCUCAACAUCUUGGGUAUGUCACAAGUUAUGCUCAUCUCAAAAGGAAAUUGAAGGUUUUGUGUUUGUGUUUGAAAUGAACUCAAGUGUGAUCUUGUUUUUGCUGCUGCUGCUGCUGCUGCAGAGAGGAGGAUGGGCUCCGAGGACUCGUCGACCGCGGCGGGAAGCAGCGAGUUCGGCUUGAGGAAGCGGGGAGGCAAGAAGAGGAAGUGGGAGCUGGUCGAGUUCGACGCGUUGCCGGAUUAUUUGAAGGACAAUGAGUUCAUUGUAGGGCACUACAGAUGCGAGUGGCCUCUCAAGGAGACCAUCCUCAGCAUCUUCUCCAUCCACAAUGAGACCCUCAAUGUUUGGUCGUACGUAACGCAAUUUCCUCUCCUCUUAAUUCAAUCACUAACAUUUCUUCUUUCGUAUUCUCCGCUUACGCUUACGGUCUGUUCGGUCUAAAUUAUGCGCAAAGUAUUUAUUACCAGUAAAGUUAACUUUUACGUGUUAUAACUAUUCUUGUUAUCAUGAUAAUUAUGUGGCUGUACUGUAAGGUAUAGUAUUAUUUAAUAAAAUAAUGUCUAUACAACACUAUUAGAAAGAAAAAAGAAAAAAAUCAUACAAGUAAAAUCCUCACUAGCUUCUUUCCGCGGCAGAAUCAGAAAUGUCAUAUCGCAAGUUUCGCUAGCGAGGCUCACAAUCUCAUAUUUACUAAUUUUGAACUUUUCUAUCAGCCAAACACUCUGCUCAUGUUGAAAACAAAAGCAGAAGCGUACGAUCAUAUUAACACGUCCUUAGACUAAGUUCUAUCAAAUCUAAUUAACACUUUCUCUUUCUUUUUGGGUGUUUAUAGGCAUCUAAUUGGGUUUCUCAUCUUUAUGAUCCUAACCAUAUUCACCACAAUGGUGACACCCAAAGAAGAGAGGAAUAUCCCUUCAAUGAGGCAGUGCAUGGGUUUGGUGGAGACCAACAUGACAGCAGAGGGGGAGGCAUGCAUCAUUGCCUGCCUGGUAUCUCCAAAUAUUCCAGCUAAUGAAAUUGAGGCCUCUCUGUCACCUCUGCACAGCUUGCAUCUCCCUGACAUUCUCACCAGCUACCUCCCCAGCAGAUUCUCCCAUGCCAACCUCAGCAACAACCCUUAUUUUCCGGUAUCUUUCUUAAAACAUAUAUAUAUAUAUAUAUAUAUCUCUGUGCUAUAUAUCCUUCCUUUUUUUUAAAUUCUAAAAGUACACUUUAAUUUUUGUUCACUAUCAUUUAUUUUAAUAGUUUUAUUUUUCUUUUACCGAAAGAAAGAACGUAUUUUCAAGUAGUAUAACAAAGUGGUUUAUCUUACAAACCAAUUAAAGCGCAUGAUUUGUAUUCCGCUACCAUGUAAUUCAUAAAAUAUAUUAUCAACGGUAAGCUCUUAUGCCCAGAUAAAGAGAAAAAUAUUGUUAAAUAAUGAAAUACAAUAACUUGUUAAUUAAAGUAUUUGAUUACAACUUACAAUUAGUCAAAUCUAGGAAAUCCUACAUGCAUGGAAAGGGAUUGAUCAACCAACCUAAUAAAAGUUUAAGGAUUGGUGGGAGAGAUAAUAGAAAAGCUAAAUGUGAUUCAAGAACACAAAUGGGAUCUAAUUUGAUAAAAAACACUAACAGAGUAGGAUGGUAAUUGAGAAAGGUGAAAAAGAGUUUUUUUUUUUAAAAAAAAAAUUAAUGUUUGGAUGGAUGUGGACCACUAAUUGUUGGGUAUAUUACUGUCCUAUUGAAUCGAAAUGGUAAAUUGCACGGAUUGUCUCCGGAAUUUAGAAGAACUUUUACUUUAACCAUUAUUCUCCUAUUAGUGCACAACCAACUCAUGGUACAAACUUUUUUUUUUACUUAUGGCCAAAAAAAAAAAAGGAUAACAAAAUAGUUUAUAUGUUUUUCCGUAAUAAACAUAUCACAUUUUCCUCAACAAAAAAAAAAAAAAAAAAAAAACAUAUCAUAUGGUGUAGAUCCUAAUGAUUCAGAUAUGAUAUAAUUUAUUCAGUUGCACCGAAAAAUUACCAAAGUAUAUCAAAGAGAGAUAGAAUGCUACUCUUUUCAUUCAUUUUCUUUAUAAAUGAACUUAAUUGAAAAAAUAAAGUAAUUAAGCUUUGAACUUAGAACCUCGGGUCUCAAGUAUCAAGUCCUUUUGCCAGCUAUAUUAGGGAAUAUCAGUCUUAGUAGGAAAUUUGUUGCAUAACCUUCUUGUACAUUCGUCUAUGAGCCGCUUAAACGCUAAAUUGUCACUAUUUUUUUUUUUGGUUUAAAGCAUGAUUUUAAGAUGGAAACAAAUCAUUUGGCAUCAAGUUUACUAUCCAAAAAUACUUUUAGUAAUUAGAUAUAGAUAAAUUUGUUAUGGUUAAAGUAUGGUGAGCUUUUGAGCAAGUUGACAGAAUAGAUAAAGAGUGGAGUCUUUGUAAAUAGAGUGGAAUAAGAAUGAAAAUUUUCAAUCUAACAUAUCUUAUCUAGCGUAUUUGGAUAAAAUUUUGACAGUUGAUAUUCGAGGUUCUAAAUUCGAAAUCUAGUUAAUUAUCUCAAAUUUCUAAUAAAUUUAUUUUUAAAAAUAAAAAAAAUAAAAUAAAUAGUUUACUAAUUAUUUCUUAAACAAAAUCAACAUAGUGAGAUGGUGAACCGAAAAGAAAAAAAAAAAGGAAAACUUCAAAUAUCACUCUUGUAGUUUCACACUUUCUCACUUUAGUACCAUAUGGUUUAAAAUGUAUCAAUUUGGUGGCCUGUGGUUUUAUUUUUAUUUUUUUAUUAUCNAAACCACCAAAAUUCCUACCUGUUUCAUAUUAAUCACAACAAGAUGAUCUUAUAACAUAACCACAAUCAGAUGACCUAACCACAAAGCACAAAGGGCAAUAAACUCAUCAUCGGAUUAGAAGAGAAGGAAAAAUCCCAAAGCAAUUAAGAAAUCAACAUUCAAAUAAGAAACAUCAUAAGAUCUAUUUUUCUUGAUAGGAUGGGUAUGAAAAUUGACCCAUUCCUUUGAUCGUACAACUUUACCCAAAAAGUACUUUUUAACUUUUUAUCGCAUAUUAAUUCCUUUAACAGGACAAGUAAAGGACAAAAACUAACUAACAAUUCACAUUAACCUCACAACUAAAUCGGAAGCUACAUAUUAAACCAUUGUCAUUCGAUUAUUUGUUUAACUAAAAGUUCCUAAGAAGAUGUCAAUUUUUACUACUUUGGCCAUUUUUUAUCAAAUCAAAAUUUAUCCACUCGCUCAUCUAUUCAUUCUUUUUAAACAGUCUGCACCUGAAGUCGAAGUCGCCGAUACGCUCUCACUUUCUGUGACCACCUCCGCCACCGCCACGACGGCGCCGAUCACGCGGUGGCCGAUUCUUGCAUUCCUCUGCGGCGCCAUGUUCUGCCUCCUCACCAGCAGCAUCUGCCAUCUGAUCCUUUGCCACUCCGAGCAGAUGGCCUGCUUCAUGCUCCGCCUCGACUACGCAGGCAUCACCGUCCUCAUCGUCACGUCUUUCUAUCCUUUAGUCUUCUACUCCUUCCUCUGCGACCCCUUCUACUGCGCUCUCUACACGGGCUUCAUCACCGCCUUCGGCACCGCCGCUUUCGUGGCCUCCCUCAUCCCCGUUUUCCAGACUCCCCAGUUUCGGCCAAUCCGAGCCGCACUCUUCGCCGCCAUGGGCGUCUCCGGCAUCGUUCCCAUCGUGCACAAGCUCAUCGUGUUCCACGACCGGCCCGAAGCGGUCGUCUCUACCGGGUACUAUAUAGUACAGCAACAACCGAUUCCUCUAAAAGCUUAAACCACUAUAUGUAAUAUUUUAAGUCAACUUUAGUAAAAUCAUAAUUUUUUAUGGAAUAAAAACUUUAGUGCCAAACAUUUUUUAAGUCAACACAGUAUCCACACAUUUCACCUUGUUUUUUUUGUUCACAUUCCCCGUACCGGGGUGACACAAUUCAUUUCUCGAGAAGCUCGAGCGACUGACAAAAAAUAUUUUAAUAUUUAUAUUCAACAGAUAUGAAGUUCUCAUGGGGGCGUUUUACGCGGCGGGCGUGGUCGUGUACGCGGCGCGCGUGCCGGAGCGGUGGCUCCCCGGAGGGUUCGACCUGGUCGGGCACAGCCACCAAUUGUUUCACUUGCUGGUAAUUGCAGGGGCGUACACACACUAUCUCGGAGGAUUAGUUUAUCUCAAAUGGAGGGACGUGGAAAAGUGCUUAUAAUUAUAACAAUAAUAAUAAGCACAAUAAUAAUCAGAACAAUAAUUAGAAGAGAUUAAUUAGGAGUGAUUUUUGGGGAAGCAAUUCUUUUUGUGUAUGAGUUGGGGGUUAAUCCAGGAUCUCCAACUUGUGCAUAAGCCAUUUAGAGCGAUAGUAGAUUUUAUACACUUUUUAAGAUUGUUUAGAGAAGGAAACAAGAGAAAGAACAGAUGUAUGCAUGCAUUAUGUAUAAUGAGAGGAUCGCAGUUGAUUUGUUGAUUUGUUUGUACUAGUGUGAAAUACUACUUAUAUAUAAAUAAUUUGUGUGAUAUGCUGCUAUUAAGGGUAAGUACAUUUAUUAGAAAUAAGAAUCCUAGCCAGAGUAUAAUAUGUAGGAUUUUUUUAAAAAUUUAUGAGCUUUAAUUUUCAGAGUGGUCUCCCCACAAAGAUGCCUGAUCAUUGGCACCCACCAUUAAUCCCAAAAAUUCGAACUAUUAAAAAGAUACAACGGGUUCAUUUAAAGUGUUCAGGCACAGCGCCCACAAAGUCUCAAUUGUGACUCGCUCUAAUUAGUUUUACGCCACUUCGAACACGACUCAGCACGACUCGACCUACCGCCAUUUCAAAUAUAACUCAGCCCAAUCUGACCUUUCGUCCAUGUGUUCUAAUUUUUAAGAAAGAGGAAGAAGAACAAAAGGAAGACGGACCGGCCAGAUUGCGACUCAGCUUGAGUUGAGUUAAAAGGCCAAGUCAUUUUAGGCCUGGCCAUAUGGCCUUGGAGUUUGAACAUAAUGGGCCUUUAGUGGGCUUCAUCAACACUUUUAAUAUUCUAACUAAAUUUUGUUUUGGGCCUUGAAUUUUUAAUGUUGACACUAAAGAUUCUUAACCUUAAAAAAAAAAUUAUUAAGAGCAAACUAUUGCACUGACCGUCCCUAACACAAGUGGCAAAUGGCUUGAUGGUUAGUAUUCGAGAUCCCAAAUUCGAAUCCUAGUUGAUUCACAUUUCUAAGUAAGUUUAUUUCUAAAUGAAAUAAACAAAGCGGCUAACAUAAUACCUAUCUCUCAAAAAAAAUCGCAAACUAUUGCUCACACUCGGUGCAUAUGUAUAUUUGUAUCUACUAUAUAUUUAUCCACGACCAUUUAUUUUCAUUUACUAAUAAUAUUUUUACUAUCCAAAUAAAUUUAAUAAAGUACUUAGUUUUUAAAGUUAAAAUAUUAUUGACCGGCUAAAAUAAAACAAAUAAAAAAAGUAAGAUAGUAAAAUAAAAAUUUUAAAAAUUAAGUCGUUGAUUCAAAAUGGUCCACAGCUCGAAAUUUUUGUACCUUUUUUAUCAAUUGAAAAAAAAACAGCAAGUACUUUCAUGCUUCCUUCUCCUUUUCAAGGAAGACUACUGUGUGACAGUUACGCCACAUUAUUUAUAUCUAGUUAAUUAUAUGUCUUAUUUUGAAAAAAAAAAAAGUAUAAUAAAAAUAUUUUUUCUAAACAUUAUAAUGUUUUGGAUGAUACCCAGGAACUCAAUUUGAUUGAUUGAAAAUACCACAUCAAAUCAUCAACAAUAUGACCGGCACAUUUUAAACUUUUUCCUCCUUUCCUUCCGGUUUCUUUUUUCUUUUUUAUUUUUUAUUUUUUACAAAUGGUCUUGAAAAGUUAAUAUUUAGAGAAAUAGUCUGCUCUCUUACGCAUGAGCGCCAUGCUGGACAGGAGAGGAUAAUAUAGAAAUUUUUAAUUUAAAUACGAUAAUUCAGUCAUCAUGUUUAAACAAGGUAAUUGGAUAAUCGAGUUUCUUUUUAUAUUUUUCGCUUAUAGUAAAGGAAAAAAAAAUACUGUAAAAUUUAAGAAAGAACACGUUUAUUAAGUCAUCAUGUUUAAAUACAGUAACUGAAUCACCGUGUUUAAUUUAAUAUUACAUUUUUCUGUCCAAUGCGACACAUGCAUAGCAGAAAGAGAAUAAUUUAUACAAAAAUAAAUUUACUCGGAUUAUUUAUAAAUAACUAAAAAGAAAAGAAAAAAAAAACAUUUCUCCCGCCAUCUUCUCCGACUCACCGCGGAGAAAGGCCUACGCGUGGCUGCACGCCAGCCGUUCUUCACCGGUACAGCCAACGCUCCGCAGCCGUCCAAGCCAAAAUUAAUACGCUUCCGUCACGAAUCUUGGCGAGAUAAUCUCCCCGCGCCCACGCGUUCUCCGCUGCGGGUGCUCAAACGUCACCGCCGACGCGACUCCUUUCGUACAACCCCCCUCACUUUUUCUUAAUCCCGCUAAACUCACGUAAACACGACUAUAUUCAAUAUCCGAAUAGUAUAGGGACCAUCCGUAAAUUUUCCCCGCUCACUUUUUCUUCCUUUCUCUUUUUUUUCUCUCUGACACUCCCCGCGCACUCUUUUCCGCGCAACGACGACGACGACGCCACCACCCCCCACGCAGCUCCUCCGCUAAGCUCCCCAUGGCGCGUCCCCCGAAACCCCACUCCUCGUUCCUCUCCGACGCGCUCAUCUUCGCCUCGGGCGCCCUCCUCGCAAUCCUCCUCCUCCUCGGCCUCUCCUCCCUCCACCACCAACCCCCGCUCCUGCUCCUCACCCCCUCCUACGCGCACCCCGCGGCGCCCAAACCCCACCCCGACGACCCCUCCGAACCCACCUUCUACGACGACCCCUCCCUCUCCUACGCCAUCGACUCCCCCGUCGCCGACUGGGACGCGAAGCGCCGGCGCUGGCUCCUCCUCCACCCCUCCCUCUCCUCCUCCGGCGCCGGCGCCGGCGAGCGGGUCGUGAUGGUGUCGGGGUCGCAGCCGUCGCCGUGCCGCAACCCGGUCGGGGACCACCUCCUGCUCCGGCUCCUGAAGAACAAGGUCGACUACUGCCGCCUCCACGGCAUCGAGCUCCUCUACAACACGGCGCUGCUGCACCCCGCGAUGCCGACCUUCUGGGCGAAGAUCCCGCUCAUCCGCGCCGCCAUGCUGGCCCGCCCGGAGGCCGACUGGAUCUGGUGGGUCGACUCCGACGCCGCGGUCACCGACAUGGACUUCGCCCUCCCCCUCCGCCGCUACGCCGCCCACAACCUCGUCGUCCACGGCUGGCCCCACCUCGUCUACGACGAGCGCUCGUGGGUCAGCCUCAACGCCGGCGUCUUCCUCAUCCGCAACUGCCAGUGGUCGCUCGACUUCAUGGCCGAGUGGGCCGCCAUGGGCCCGCGCUCGCCCGACUACGAGAAAUGGGGGAUGACGCUCAAGCGCACGUUCCGGGACAAGGUGUUCAACGAGUCCGACGACCAGUCGGCGCUCGUCUACCUCCUCCUCACCCAAAAAGAAAAGUGGGGCCACAGGAUAUUUCUUGAGCACCAGUUCUACUUCGAAGGCUACUGGGUCGAGAUCGUCGGGCGAUUGGAUAACAUCUCAACAAGGUUUAUAUACAUACAUCUUACUCUAAUCCGCAUAACAAUAAUACUGAUUUGAAGUUGAAGUUGGAUUGAAUUUUAGCCUGUUAGAUGUGUAUAUAGUCAGAAAAUUAAUAUAAAUAAAUGUUAAUUUAAGGGUGUUUUUGGGCCUAGCUAAGAUGUGUGGAUUUAAUAAGGGUACAAAAUUAUUAGUAUUUUAGUUGUAAGGUAUUUGAUAUAAAAAUUUACAUAAAAAAAUUAUAAAAUUUAUUUGAACAGUAUAUAUUAUUUUAAAUUGAUUAUCUAGUAAUUUUAAAUUUUGAUUAUAUUAUUUAAUUAUUUAAUUUAUUUGAUUUGAAUAGGUCAACGUUAUUUUGAAUCUGUUAUUUAUUUUUACAAUUUAUUUUUACGAAUUUAGUUAAUAUUAUCGAACAGUUUUGAAAAUGUGAAUCAACUAGGAUUCGAACUUGAGUUUCGGAUACCAACCACCAAAUCCUUUGUUACUUGCUCUAGGAACAGUCGGUAUCGAACGAUGUUUUAAUAUUUUAUAUUUGGCAGGUACGAGGAGAUGGAGCGGCGGGGGCCGGCGGUGCUGCGCCGUCGCCAUGCGGAGGCUGUCGCCGCGGCCGUUCAUCACGCACUUCACCGGGUGCCAGCCGUGCAGCGGCGACCACAACAAGCUGUACUCCGGCGAGAACUGCUACGAGGGCAUGCGCCGCGCCCUCACCUUCGCCGACGACCAGGUCCUCCGCAACUACGGCUUCCGCCACGCCGGCCCCCUCAGCGACGACGUUCGGCCCCUCCCCUUCAAUUACCCGGCCACCGCGGCCUAGCAGUAGCAAUAAGAGUUACUUGCACCAGCUGAUUUUAUCGGCCUUUACUCUUCUUUUUUUUUCAUUUUGAUCUCCAAUCUUCUUAUUUCUGUAUUAGAAUUAACGGUUUUUUGAAUAAUGGAUAGGAUAAGAGAUCAAAUUGUGAAAAAACUGGAAUAAAGGAUUAGGAUCAUUGGUGCAAUUUAACACUAGCUAGCUAAUUACGGUGGUGGAUUAGUUUAAAAGAAAUAUUUGUUUAAGAAAUAGAAACAGUAUGUGUUUAAUUAUAUAUAUGUUGAUGUGGUAGGAACCUGAAAUGAAAUGUUGCUUAGGAAUCUUUAAUAAAAAGAGUUGUUUUAUUUUUAGUGGCGUAAUCUUCGGAGGGAUAUAUGCGUUGCUUGUUUGUGUUGAAAAUAGAGCCCUUUUAUGUUUUCUGCAGCUUUAGUUGCGGAGACAUUGUUGUUCGCUGCACCGGGUUCUCCACGUCAGCAUGUGGAUCGCUAGUGGGUUGGUCUAACUCUCUGAGAUAAAGGUUUCUGUAUGAUGAAAUGAAAGGUUCACAUAGCACGUGGUUUUUCAUUUUUUUUAUUUUAGUAUUUUUAGUUUAAAGUGUAUUAAGUUAGUGUACUGUACUUUUUUUUUUUCUCAGUUUUUCUAUUAAUAUUUCGUUAAAUUAUAUAUAAAAAAUUUUAGAUACUUCACCUAAAUUUAUCGAAUAUUCACUUUAGUACCUUUUAGUUUUAAUUUUGUCACUGAUUUAACGAAAAAGUUAGUAAAAUCGAUAAUAAAAAGAUAAAAAUAAAAUUACAGAACACUAAAAUAAUACAUUUUAAAUCAUAAGUUAUUAAAGUGAGAAAGUGUGAAAUCACAGAUAAGAAUUUUAAUACUGCAGCAAGGAAUUGUGUCAGAAACUUAUUGAUACUGUACGACACGGUGCGUACCCGACCGUGCCGAUGCAUGCCGGUCACAAAAUAUUCAUGUGUGCUAAAAAUUCAUUUUGUGUUUUGUGCAGCUUUAGUCGUGGAGAGAUUGUUGUUCGCUGCACCGGGUUCUCCACGUCAGCAUGUGGACCGCCGGUGCGUUGGUCACUCCCUGUUUCUGUAUCACUGUAUAAUGAAACGAAAGGUCCACACGAUGACGUGGUGCACCACUUCCGAACUCUGUGGAUUUUGUGGGUGAAUUAAAAAAGUAAUUUUUAUUUUAAUUCUCCUAUUCUCAAACAUUAAAUUAUUAUUUUUUAUUUAUAUAUUUUAAAUUGGUAUAAAAUUAUUAGCUAUAUAUUAACAAAUUGUUAAUAUAAAGUUAAUAUAAUAUUUUAAUUAUUGCCAUAUUACAGAUCAUAAUAUUUUUAUCACUUAUAUUAACUAUUAAUCAUUAUUUAGCUAUCUAAAUUAAAUCAUAAAUAAUUUAAUUAAACUAAAAAUUAUAUUAAAUUAAAGUUUAAAAAUAAAAAAUACCAUGCACUAUCUAGUUUUGUACCAAAAGUGUAAUUUAACAUGCGCGCACACACACACAUACAAAAAAAAAAAAAAAAAAAAAAAAAAAAAAGAGCAAACAUUUGAUGCGUUACGGACACGGGAGUUGCAUGGGAAAAAUGAGCGGCUCAUAGUUGCGCGACACGUGUACGAUUUCAACGGUCGUUAGUGGACACCUCGCGCAUUUGCAUGCACGAUAACGUCACGGCAGUUAAGGUUGGUUGGUUGUUUUUGUUUUUAUUUUUAUUUAUUAUUAUUGUUAUUAUUAUUUUACUAUCUUGCUUUGAAGUAAAUUAUUUGUAUCGGGUGUUAAUAAUGCCCGGAUCCACGAAACUCUUUACCCAAUUUUUUCGCCUUGGGCCAAAUUUAUUGUUUUGGAGGAUUAAAGUGUAUAAAAUUUAUCUGUACUUUAGUCCGUUUUACAUUAAGUAUUUAAUCUUUUAAAAUUUUAAUACUAGUACUUAAUUCUUUUAUUAAUUUGUUUCGAGCCAUUUGAUAGUUCUUUUCGUAUAAAAUUAAAACUUAUUACUAAUUUUUAUAACAUUAUGGUCCCACAAAUUAUGUGGAAUAUACUAAUCCAACUCCGAAAUGCGAACAACAUAUUCAAAUUGUAGUCUACGACUCGGCAAACGACUCAAAUGAAAUGAAUUAAAAUAUUCGAUAGUAAAAUCAAAAAUUACGAAGGAUAGAUAGUUAGAUCAAAAUCGGCAAUAAUUCAAGUAAAUUUUAUAUAUUUUUAUUUUUUUUUCUGUUAGCUCUCUAACUUUUAUAUUUUGUUUCAGUUGGGUCUCUACCGUCCUAAUUUUUAUUAAUUGUAACAAUAUAUGUGACGUCUACUCUAUUAAAGCACUACUUAUUUAUAUAGAUCACAGUUAUUGUCCGAUUGCUAAUAAUCAAUUCGAGCACCGACUUUUUUAAAUUUCUGAAAUAGCUGGACAGCACGUUCGGCUCAAUGUCAAAAGUGUCGAGCCUCCAAAUGAAACUGCAGAAUCGUGUCGCAAGGUUGAGAUGAUUGUAUGCAUUGAAGGUGGUGAAUUUGGGCUUUUAUGGUAUGUGCAUGCAUAUGGUAGAAGAGGAUAGGGACAAUAGCGAAAAAAAAAAAAAAAAGAUGAAAUGUUAGAGACCACUAUAAUUUUAAAGGUUAAGGAUCGAUUGCAAAACAAUAGAUUGUUGCAACAAAUUAAAAUAACAAGAUGAGAAAAGAAAUGGAUAGAUUUGACCAAUCUACGAAAAUUUGGAUGAGCUCAAUAAGCAUAGCUUUAAGAUGCUUCGUCCCAUGAAUUAUAUUUAAUAAUGAUGUAAUGAAUCAGUUUAUUUUAAUUUUUCCACCACUAGCUUUAAUUAAUAUAGUNAACUAUCAUGUAGAUACAUUUUUUUAUCUCAGACAGCGAUCCUAGCUUGUGCAUUUAUGUUAAUUUGCAUCAUCAUUCUCAGGUGAUCAACUAAAAUUAUCGCUUUUUCCCGCCACAAUUUGAAGCCUUUUUCGUUUAGAUGCUGAAAAAGUAAUUUUCACUGAAUUAAUUUUGAUUUAUAAUUAUUAAUUCUUAGUUUUAAUUAUUAGUUGUUUCAACCCGUUUCGGCUCAGUAUUAACCAAUCUGAUAUUUGAAAAAUCGUACCAGCUGGCGGGUAGGUUAAAUCUGUUUUUUUUUUUGUUUUUUUUUUUGUUUUUUUUUUUUUUUUUUAAAUCGUACUUACUUGCAUUAAAUACCUUUUUUUAGUCACGUAUAAACAGUCUUGAGUUUAUUAUAAUUUUUUUUUAUAAAACUAUCAUUAUACUAUUUCAUCAAUAUUGGUAUACCCACGAGCAGAGCCACAUAGGCUUAUAUUAGAAAUGAGUUUAGUUUAUCAUUCAUCGUCAAUAUGAAUGGUGUAUUACAUUAUGUCAAGAGAUCGAAUCUUAAAGCAAUAGAAAUGGUGUAUUAUACUGUGUCACCGCGGGAUGGUGCUGGUGCAAAGUGGAAGAGAGAAUAUAUAUGAGAGUUGAGAGCUGCUCAUGGGAUCUAUCAUUGGUAACUGCGUUUUAUCUCCAAAUAGUAAUGGUGAAGGAAAAAACCAUCCUUUACAUAUGAUCUCAUGAGAAAGAAAUGGCCCAGUCAAGGUCGAAGCUAGGAUUCAAUCUUGAGGAGGGCCAAAAUAUAUUUAAAUAGAAACUUUAGUAAUAAAUAAUAAACAAAAUUUAUCCUAAUUAAAAAUUUUUUAUUAAAAAAUUAUUAAUUAAAUAAAUAAUGUAAAAGUAUGAACUUUAUUUUUUUUAUUUUCAGAUGUUUAACUUCUAAUUAUUUUAUUUAUAUUAUUAUAUUAGAAAUUUUACUAAAUUUAACAGUAAUUUUUUAAUUUUUUAGUAAAUAAAAUUAACAUAGUUAUUAAAUUUAAUACAAUUCUUGAUUUAGUCAAAUAAAAGAGCUCACCUAAGAUAAAUAAAAAUUUUUAAAAAUUAUUAAAUAAAAUUUUUAGAGUAGAGAAAUAUAUUUUAAAAUACUCUAUAAGAAAGAAGCUUUUAAUAUAUUUUCACUCAUAAAAAGAGUAUACCGAUUAGGAGAAAGAGAGAGAAAGUUAUAUUGGCACCAUACUAUUAAAUAAAUAUAAAAAAAUUAGGGGGGCCAAAAUUAUCCAUGGUCCAAAAAAAAAAAAAAACCUUUGAAGGACCAUUAAACAAAUAUUGAAAAGUUGAGGAGAGCCAUGGCCACUUUGGGCCUCCAUGUAGCUUCGUCCCUGAGCAUAAUAAUCUUCUCAUAGUUUUAAUUUCUUACUCUUUUCAUUUUAUAUUUCAUCUUUUGAUGUUAUAUGCUAUCGCGUGUGUAGGCCGAAAAAAAAAAAGAGAAGUACUAUUAUAGGUUCCAAAGAAUGUUGUUUUUAAUGAUAUGUUGCUAAUGUGAUGAUACUUGUAGUAUAUAUAAAGGUGUUAACUCGAUUGUGUAAGGCUUCGUUUGGGAUUACGGAGAGAUUGCAUUACGUGCGGUGAGAAAAUAUGACGUAAAUAUACUUUGUUUGUUUUCAUAUGUAAUAUUGCGUUCCGCUUAUCGUGAUGAGUCGGUUACGAUCGAUAUAUUUUCUACGGUCCCACCGGUAUAUGCUUUUAUCCCAACUCUAUUUUAUCUAAUAACGUCAGAUUAACCUCAAUACCAAACUAAGUAUAAAAUCACUAUUUCUUUCUAAAAAGCUAAGAUCUUUAUUAAUUAGAUUAGAAUUCUACUAAAGUGCUCAUGUUUUUGUGUCAUGUAAAAUAAUUAUUUGCCCCUAAAAAUUCAACAUGUUAGAGAAUGAUGUUUUAAUAUCUUUGCAAAAUAUGACAUAAAUUUGUCAACCNAGUUAUGUUGGCACCAUACUAUUAAAUAAAUAUUAAAAAACUAGGAGGGCCAAAGCUAUCCAUGGUUCAUUAAAAAAAAAAACUUUGAAAAACCAUUAAACAAAUAUUGAAAAGUUAAGGGAGGCCAUGGCCAUCUUGGGCCUUCACAUAGCUUCGUCCCUGCCCCAGUCAAGAAUUAAAGUCCCCAUCGGUAUGGGCCGUAUCCACCGUUAUCGUAUCGUGUCACCAGAAUAUCAGUAUGAUAUCAGUAUGAUACAGCACAACUUAAAACCCUCUAUUGUUGAAAUUAAUAGAUAAUUUUUUCAAUGAAGUUCAAAAAAUGCGAUAAAAAUACAUAAUAAAUAAUUAACAUAUUUUGUUGCUAAAAAAAAUAAAUAUUUCAUACCUUUACGUGUUGGCACACAUAUUUUGUUUUUAACCGGCAUGCAUUGGCACUACCCUGCACACACCGUGUCGUACCGUGCCGCCAAAUUUCCGAUACGACUCUAUGUCACAACACUUUAAUCCUUGGCCCCAGUAACAUCAAACCUGAAAACUUGUACAUAGACUACCCAAAGAAUCGAGGAUAAUGCAGAAUCAUUAAAUAUGGACACAAACAAAGAUUGAUCAAGCCCAGUUCUACAUAACUAUGCCUGAUGAAAAAAUGAAAAGGGUAAAAAAAAAAAAAAAGAGGAAACAACUUAAGGCCAAGAGAAGAGUAUCCAUGAGCAAAUUGCAUAAAAUAAGUUAAAACUCAACAAUAGAGACCGCUAGUUCAAGUGUAGAAUACUCACAGCAAACACCACAUGACAGUCGAAUUGGAGGUACAAAAUUAUAAAAACAGAGCACACUCAGCUGACAAUUUUACCCACAAAUCCUAAUCCUAAUGUCGAAAAGAAAAUAAAUUACAGCUAUAUUUAUCACAUUGUUUUUAGGAUCUAAUCGCUAAAAUGUUACCAAGAGAAUAGCACCCCAGUUAUGAUUGUAUACCCAAGAAAACAAGCUCCCAUCAAGAAGAUCCCUUCCCAUCAGAGUCGUUAAGAUUGCAUAGCUUCCUCGUCGUCUCCAUCUUGCGGGACCUCGUUGAACAUGUACUGGCUCUGAUACUCCAUCAAAUACUGCGUCGACCUCUUGACAUCCAGGAACAGCUGGUACACCCGACUUAUGUCCUCCAUCUCUACCACCUUACCCUUGCGUUUCUGGCAUGCCAGUGCGGCGGCUGUGAUGAGAUGGAUCGCGUACCUCAACGAGGUCUCGACCCCGAUCUUCGUCAACAAUACCUUGGCGUCUUUAGACAUCUCCACCUCUUCUUCGUCGCACCUAAUAUCUAGAAUCUGCCUGAUCUCCUCUUCUGUGUAUGGCUGGGUGUUUAUUAUUAGCAAACGGUCAAGGAAGUCGGGGGGGAUGCCGUGGGGGGACUUGUAGUUCGUGCCGCGGAUCUUCGUGAUGCCGCGGUUGGUGGCGAUGACAAGGAUUGGUGCCAUCUCAUUCUCAAGGGCGCGGUUGAGGAAGGAGAAGCACUCGAUGUCGAGCAUGUGGACCUCGUCGAUGAAGAGGACGCCCGGGAUUAUCUCCGCUUUGCCUUCCUCCCGCCACUCUGCCACUUUCAUGUCGAUCUGCUCCCUCACUUCUGCUCGGAUCUCGCCAGUGUCGCCGGUGAAGAGUGCGAGAAAGCCCUGUGUUCUGGAUGGUGGGUAAUCAACAGAAACGAACAUAAGACUUAAAGUGGGAUGUUUGAGAGUAAAUAGCCUAACUACUUUAUGUUAUUGAAAGAAAUUAAAUUACUAUCAACUGUUAUACCAAGGUAUCUGUGAUCGGAAUCAUCAGAAAUUCCUUAAACAAUAUUGGCACCAAAAUAAUAUCCAAUUCUUCGGACGUCAAAAUAGAUAUCCGGAAAUUCUCACAGUAGUAAAAUAUCGUGACACCUUAUUGGCAUAUCUGUUAAUCAUAGAACAUGAUUCAAGGUUUAUCAUAAAGUACAGCUGCAAACAAGAGGCAACUUGUUUAGGAUUCGGUUUUCUCAGGGUAUCUUAGAUUCAAAAGAGUGGCUGCAACGAUUUAUUAGCAACAUCCAAUAAUGUAGGGUGAAUUGGGAAUUGUCCAUACAAACCCUCUUAAGCAACGAACACCACCAGUUUAACCCAAUUCUGUAGAGCACCUUGUUAAAAAGGUUGGUUAAAAAUAUGAUCUACUAACUAUUUUGGUCAUAUUAGGAUUAAGGCCACAAAAAUUGUAUUACCAUGCCUGCAAAAACUAUCAAAACAAUAAUUUGUUUCCCUUUCUCAUACAAUUUAUCUGUAUAUCCUGCGACAUCAGAACAGCUUUUCAAAAAGGUAUUCUACAAAGAAACCCUAUACAAAUAGCAGGGCAACUUAAGCUUAAAGCACCCAACCUUAAAUAGUAAAUAUUGACCGCAUUUCAGCUCGCUCUAAAACAAACCUUCGCCAAACCAGUCUCUCAACCUACACAGAGAAAGUAACACAAUUCACUUACAGUUGCCAUUUAUCAACUUGCCAUCUUGCUGACCAAAUUAAGCAGAUUAGAGAGUUGAUAAGGUCAGCUAACACUGACUAGUAGCUGGUUAGAAUGGGUUCAGAAACAAUCCUACACAGCCUCUAAAUUGAAGGUUAACCUUGUACAAAUGAUUUUAACUGGAACACUUUGCAACUUCACUGGUAUUAAGAUACCAUAAAGAAGUAAACCAACAUUUUAUAUUCUUUCCGUGCUCAGUAGAUUUUAAAGCAAGAUUCCACAUCCGACAGUGCACGACCAAGAAUCACAUAUAUGCUUCGUCAUUAUUGUAUAUAUUUCAAAGGUUCCAUUGCCACUCUGGAAAGAGACAAACACAGAAGGAUAGUCUAGAAAUGAAGACUUGUGUCACCCAUUUCUCAUCAUAGCUGGCUCUUGCAAGAUUGUCAAUACAGGCUUGGGCUGGCUGGUCGGCAUUGAUCCCUGUCCAACCAGAACGGCAUUUUUAUGGACUUGAUUUUAUCUGACCCAACAUUUUCCUAAAGCCCAAGCGGAUUGACUUAUUAAACCAUCAACUGUUCCUUAACAAACUGGUUCAUAAGUUAAAUACGCAUGGACACCCACUCAACUUUACGCCAUUGUGCAAUAGGCGCUCGAACUUCUUUUAAUUGAGACUGCCUAGACUCUGUUUUCUGUGAUUUGGUUUGCUUAAGUCAAUUGCAUGGAAGAUUUUGCUAGAUAAUGAGGUUAUUUCAGUCAAAUUUCACAGCAAUUAAGAUCAAAUUCAAGUUCCACGGCAAUCAAGCAUUCUCAACUAAGUCGAGAAAAACAGUGGGUGGUACUAGUAAUCUGUUCGACACAGGUACCAUAUAUUUUCCACCUGGGCCGAUUUUUCAUACUGAAAGACUCCUCUAAAAGGGAGACAUGUUGCUCAUACCUCUUUUUCUUGUCCCAAAUCAUCUUCUCAGGCUUAAAUUUAUUCUGGAAAAAGGACUCCUAAAACCAAUACUAGCCAAACUGUUUACAUUCCUUUUCUAUUUAAAAGACCAAACAUCUCCUUUAGGAAAUUGAUUUAAAAACAAUAUUCUCCAACAAGAUAGACAAGAUAACUUUUAUCAGCCCAAAUUCUAUCUGACUCAAGGUUAUUAACCAUUGAACUGCAGUAGACUCAAUAACACAAUCAACUUAAUUGAACCAUAUUUGAACCAAACUGACUCAAAUUCGCUACAAAAGAGAAUUUAAAACUCAACCUCAUAGUAGAUUAAACCCAAUAUCCCAGAUUGAUUUUAAACAAUUUCCAUGGAGACCAAAAGUUUCAGAAACAUCGAUAACAUGCAUUAAACAUCUGCUCUUACAAUAUUAGGAACUUAUCCAAAAGCAGAGGUUAGAACAUAAGUUCUCGAAUUUGACUAAAUUUCCAGCUAACUUCAAGCCAGGGCCGAGACUUCCAAGUUUACAAUUGUUCUGUCAAACCCAACUAUAAACCCUCAGUAAUUCCUCCCCACUCAAUCCUUGUUCUACCAAUUAAUCAAAACCAUGAUACUGGAUACUUCUUGCCCAUUCCAUUCACUUCUUUUAUUUAUCUUUUGCCAUUAUAAAUGAUUUUGUACUUAAAGCACCACCCACUGUUAGAGGCCAAAACAGCACGAAAGAAUCAAUUGCACUUGAUGUAUUCUCAAUUCUUUAUAUCAGCCUUUGUCUAACUCUUCUUCUAUGCCCACUAUUACUGAUCCAACUUUGUUUUUGGUUAGCCGAUACUCCACGGCAAACAAGCUAAGCCCUAUAACUACAUUCAAAGCAUAGCAAAUAACAAUGCCAAUUUCAAUUUCUUAAUAGAAUAGACAAUAAAGAACAUAAAUUCCAAUAGUACAAGUACAUUAAAAAAAAUGCUAUUUUGCAGGCGGAGAAGCGAUUAUACUUGACGUAUUCUCAAUUCUUUAUAUCAGCUUUUGUCUAACUCUACUUCCAUGCCCACUACUAUCGAUCCAACUUUGUUUUUGGUUAGCCGAUACCUGACAGCAAUCAAGCUAAACCCUAGAAUUACAUCUAAGAAAUUAAAAAAAAAUGCGAUUUUGCAGGUGGAGAAGAGGAAAUAAGACCUGCUGUUGAUGACGUCAAUCUCGUGGAGGGUGACGCAGUGCACAACCUCCUUCCUCUUCUGCAGCUCGCCCUCGGGGCAGCGGACGAACUUGGUGUGAGGACCGACGGCGUCGUAGUCGCGGGAGCGCCCGACGGAGCGGCCGAGCUUGGUGACCUUGCCGGAGGCCUUGUCGAGGGCGAUGACGUCGCCGCUCUGCACCUUCUCCCUGGCGAGCGCCUCGAUCAUCUUGCCGCCGAGCUCGUAGACGGUCUCCAUGUCGGUGGUCUUGAGGGUGAGGCGCCCGGUCUUGGAGGCGGCCGAGGGGGGUAGGGUUGCGGAGGAGGAGGAUGAGGGGUGGGGGUUGGGGUUGGAGGAGGAGGAGGGGUUGGUGUUGGCGUUUGCGUUGGGGUUGGGGGAGGAGGCGGAGGCGGCGGAGGAGGAGGAGGCGGGGCGGUCGAUGGCGAUCUCGACGACCUCGCCCUCGAUGACCUCGGCCUCCUCCUUGAUGCGGACGCCGACGGAGCGGCGGAAGGCCUGGGUGAGGGCCUCGGUGCGGGAGAGGUCGAGGGAGAAGAGCUCGGAGGCGGAGAGGGUGGCGAAGGGGGUGUCGGGGCCGAGGGACUUGGCGAGGCCCAUGGCCACGGCGGUCUUGCCGGUGCCGGGCUGGCCGGCGAGGAGGACGGCGCGGCCGGCGAUGCGGCCCUCGCGGAUCAGCCGCAGGAGGAGGCCGGCGGCGCGCCGGGCGGGGAGCUGCCCCACCAUGCCCUCCGACACCGCGCGGGCCUCCAACGACGCGUCCAGCCCCAGCCCCCGGAUGUGCGAGUGCGCGCCGAUGCGCUCGAUGCGCGUCAGGUCCCGGCUCUCCGACAGCCGCUUCAGCUCCGGCGUCGUCGCCAUGGCUACGGAGUUGGGACGAGAGGCCGGGACGAAGGGUGUUCGGAGAAAUGCGCGAGAGAGAGCGAGAGGCAGACGAAAAGUAAGGGUCGGGGUUUUGAAGCGAGGGUUUUGCCUCACGUUUAUUUAACUUUUCUCGAAGAAGCGGCGCACUGGACGGGUAAAUUUGCACUUUAGUCCCUUAACUUUUCGCUAAAUUCACUUUCGUCCUAAACUUUUUAGUUCCUGUUAAUGUUUUCUUUUGCGUUUGUUGCACUGCUGCUCUUCAAACUUAAUUUCCAAAAAAGCUUCAGUUCUGACCCUUUUUUGCCAUUAAAGUACAUAGAUUAAAUAAAAGGAGAGAUCAAUAAAAAACAUUAGGCGAUCGUUCGGAGGAUAUAUAUAUAUAUAUAUAUAUAGUGAGGUUACUAUGCUAUUGGAAGCACGGAGCCUUCCGUGUUUUCAGCUCGUUUUCGAUAUUGCGACUUUCGAAUCGUCGAUCGGCUCCAUUAAACUUAAUCUAGAGUAUUUGGAGUAACUAGAAAAUAAAUUUUAUUAUUUUUCGAUAUUAUUUGCCUAGUGAUCGAAUGGGCACAAAAUCAACAAAUUUCAAUGGCCGUAGUGAGCCGUUUGCAAAUUUAACGGUGUAGAAAUAUCCAAAUCACGCGAAAUUUUGAUAAAAAAUUCUUUAUACUAUAUAAAACUAGAUCAAUACUUUGAUUUAAAAUUUUAAUGUUAUAUUAUUAUAUUUUGUAAGAUUUUUAUUUUCAGCCGUUGAUUUUGAGCCCCUUCGUUCACUAGGCAAAUGAUAUCGUAAAAUCAUAAAAUUUAUUUUCUAAGUAGUUCAAAUACUCUAGAUCAAGUUUAACGGAGCCGAUCGACGAUUCGAAAGUCGCAACAUCGAAAACGAGCUGGAAGCAUGGAAGGCUCCGUGCUUCCAAUAACAUAGUAGCCUCACUCUAUAUAUAUAUAUAUAAAAUUAAGUUUCUCCAAACAAUAAAGCUAAUGUCGACAAUCCAUAAAGACUCCGAGGUCUUUUCACCGAAGAUUACAUAUUUAUCUACAUCACAAUACUAACACAAAAUUCCGACUACGGAAGCCUCGGUCGUGUUCCAGCAACCAAACUCUUUGAUCGCAAAUGUUUCGCAUAUAACAUAGACAAGACACUAGCAUAUAUGUUAGUAUUCGAACGAGAGAGAACGCUUUUUCUGAAUCAAUUGCACACCGUCUUCAGCCUCUUAGCGGCUUGCACGAACCCCGUGAUAACCUGCAACUCAUCCAAUUGCUUCGGGAUCGAUCGAGGGCAAUUGGAUUUCGUGUAAUCAAGUCAAAAUUUCUCACAGUUUAUGAAUCAAUCGUUUACAUGCAAAACAAAGAAACUUUCUCAAGUUACCUGCGACGUGAAAUGCCGCUGAACAGCAUCUAUCAACUGUUCCUUAGAAGGGUUGGGGCUCGAAUUCUGCAAUAGCAGGUAAUGUAGGCACAACAGAAGAAGUAUGAAAUUGUUAAGUAACAAAACUAAACGAGAUAUUUGCAAAUAUACCCCUGAAAUCAUCUAUUUUUAGAGUUAUCACCCUCUAAAAUCUGAAUUUUUCUGUUAUCUUAGGCAGAUUUUAUACUGGCACAUGUAAAUAGAUUGUUUUGUAGGGUCAUAUAUGUAAGGGAUUUGAAAAAUAAUAAGACUUACAAGGUUAAAAUGGCGCCAAUAUCUCCACAACGCCGUAGUUUCUAACUUACUCAGGUCAACUUUCUGCAUGAUCACAUAAGCAGUUCGAUUAUGAGAUGAUUAUGAGACGACUCAGAAAUGAAUGGAAAACAUUUAGGAAAUAUAAAAAGUUGCAAACUUAAUUCUCAAAAUGAUUACAGUUCUCAAAAUAAAGGUUAUGUGAAUGGCGUAGGUUGUAUCAUACCGGAGUUUCCGUGGAUGACGAGACGGAACCCUUAGAAUGUGAAUCACAAGAAUUAGACCGAUUCAAGGAUUUAUUCGUUGAUCCUUUAUGCUGUCUGCUUCUCGACUUGUGCGGCUUUUGCAAUUGCAUGUCAUCCGACGCUGUGGUGAAAUUACAAACGUUAGAGGAAGAAGGUUUAAUGAAAGAGAUAUAAAAUGAUAAUUGGUGGCCGUUGAUCUGAUAUCAACAGAGAGAACAUCCACUGCAAGACAGAGGUACAACUAGAACACAGCUGCAUGCAUCAUAGUCAUCACAGACACUUGAAAAAAUAAAACAACAAAGAAAGCAAAAGCGAAACAAAUCAUAUGGCUAAAGCUUGACUUUUGUCAGAUACACAGAAUCCACCCCCACUUCCCCUUCACAAUGGUAAGCAACAGAACUUUAUUAGCAAGUUUCUCUCUCUCUCUCUCUCUCUCUCUCUCUCUCUCUCUCUCUCUCUCUCUAAAAAAAACAAGUUCUGAGGUACCACUAAGCUAUGUUCCGAGGUACCCAUGAUAAAUGUCAUUAUAAAUGAUCCAAUUUAGAUAAGUUCGUGGGGUAUUAUUUUAGGCCAUUUUUUCAUGCAUUUAGAUCUGCCUGUGUAAACAGAUUUUUUUUAAAGAGUUGCAAGCAAAUACAUAAAAAACAAAUCCAAAAAGAGCAGGCUAAACUACAGACAGCCACUAAUGAAUUUGCACGGGAGGUUUUCACGUCUGUCAAACGUAACUGUUCCCCAUGCAUGAUUUACAUAGCCUUUCCACAUCAGAUAUUCUUCAUAGAUAAUUCUAGCCAAUUCACCAAAACAAAAUUUUCUUCGUAAAACUAGGUCAAGUUCUUUCGUAGAAUAAACACCAUUUGAAUUUGAUACAAUGACAAUAUUGUAGAGAGGAGAUCAAACCAACAAACUGAACUGAAAAUCCGUCUGCUAGUGAAGAUAUACUAAUACGUAAUUGCGUUUAUGUCCAAAAGGCUAGAAAUCAGGCCAUACAAAAAGUCCCAUCUUCAUUAAUCGGAUAAUCACUGCGAUUAGCUAUGAAAGAAUAAAUUAAAGAUCGAUGAAGAUUGAGUCUUUACCUAAAUCCGAGGCAUUCCAUUGAAUAUUUUCGCACACAAGCUCGUCAUCGUCCUCAUGGCCCGUGGGGGCUUCAAUAACACUAAGAGCAUUCCUCUGCAGCUUCACUUCUAUGCCAUUCGUCAGAACCUAAAUGGCAUGGAUAAAAUAUGCAAAAAAAUAAUCUUCUUUACCCUGACAUAAUCCCAUUAAAGAAAGAGAUUAAUUAUGAAUAAAUAAUGCCAUCCUCUUAAACCAUAUAAAUUUUAUAUUACCCACGAUAACUAAAGAUUUCUUCAUACAAACCUAUAUGCAAAAUUCUGGCAUAUCUAGAUCUAUAGCUUGUUAAACAAGAUUGGAUCUUAAAACAUUAAUUGAAAAAAAUGGACUGAAUCUAAGUGGAAAUUAUUGUAAAUCACUAAUACAGUUUAGCAAAAUAACCAAUUAAAACACAAAAGGGAUGAUUUGGUAAUUGCCCAAAAUCCUAAAUCUAUGAACAAAAGUGCACAUCUUGGAUUAGAGAAAGAGUGUUAAGACUUAGGAGAUCUAUAUUACAUCAAAAAACAGCCUCAAAUUUUGCUGGGAACUACAGAGAAGCUACAUGAUACUAUUCAAUUUGUCUAUUAUGUGGAGACAAAACCAGGAGGGAGAUAAAGUGUUUGGUCCCUUUCAACUAAUAAUGAUAGGAAAUUAAGAUUCGGGAAAUAAAAGUCAAAUUGAUUCCUUUCUUUGCCAGAAGAAUCACUUUGCCAAACCCUAUUUCUGAUAAUUGCAUCACAAAGAAUUAGAAAAGAAAUGGUCCUUAAAAAAAUGAAAAAUAAAAAACUAAAUUGCAUGGGCAUCAACUAAGUUCAUCAAUAUAGCAAACCCUAGAACCAAGAAGAGCAAAGCUUCCUAGAAUUAUAGCUACACUAGGCAAAAUUCUCACGAAUGUGAAACCACAGUACAAAAAAAAAAAAACCAAUAAUUGAGCAGAAUUAAACUGAAACCAAAUUAGGAUACUCAUAAAUCCAAACCCUAAACACACCCAAUUGCACCGCAUUGUCCAAUUACACCAUCACAACGCAUCAAAACACUAAAAAUAGAGAACUUUUGACCAGCUACCAUUCCACAAACACGAAAACCCAAUCCAAAUUAUGCCCAAAAUCGAUCAAAAAACAUAAAAAAAAAAAAAAACACCAAGCCCCACGGCCUUUUUCACGACCCCUUGGAGCCCAACGAGCACCGAUUUGGUGCGAUUGUUCCCGGUGACCACCACCUUGGUGUGACGCGGCAACACCGUGAGCUCCUCCUCGCUGCUCUCGCCGUAUCCCCCGUCCAUUCCCCCAUCAACGGCUCCCAUCAUCAUCAUCCUUCUCCUUCUCCCUCUUAUCCUCUACUUACCUCUGCUAUGCUACACUAAAAUGUACCAAAUCUCAUCGGAAAAACUUGAGAAAAAAUUGGAGCGAUCACAGCGAGCGAUCGCAUGGGAAUUGAGGAUCGCGCAUUGGGUGGAGAAUUACGUGAAAUUGGAGAAAAUUUGGGAAAAAUUCGCGGAUUUUUGAAGGGAAUUAGAGCGAGAGCGAGAGAGAGAGGGGAAACGAAAGCGACCGUGCUUUUUCUCUCUCUUUUCUAUCCCUUGUCUUUCGCUGCGUAAACAUGCAUGGAGACCCCUCAAUUAUAUUCAAUUUGGAAAUAUACGCCUAAACUUUUAUUCUUUUAAUCAGUCCUUAUUUAACUAUUAAUUUUUUAAAAUUAAAUAAUUCUAGUUACUAUUUAGCAAUUAAAAUGGUAUUUUGUUUAAUAAAAUUGGAAGAAUUAACAGUUUAAGCUAUUAAAAAAAAUGUACAAAAAGAUGAAGUAGUUGUUUAAAAAUACUCUACAGUUGAGGGGCUUCAAUUCAUUUUUACCCAUUGCUGAAUCCCGACGACCGGAGGAGGGCCAAUUGGAGGAGGACGCGUGUCUCCAACCGCGCCUCGGAUGCGAACCUAGUAGGAGUUACGGGGGAGGAGCAAGUGUGAUGGUGAAAUGACGAUAAUGCCCUUAUACUGUACCUUUUAGGACCGUUUCUACACGUAAUAUAUGUUUUGUUCUUUAAAAUUAAAUUUUUAUAUUUAAAGUAGGCCUUUUUGCAUAAAAAAUUCACUUAUUUUGGGCUUUUGUAAAACCGGGUCACCUUUUUUGUUUUUGCAGAUUCGGUCCGCUUUUUCAGCAAACUGACCAAAAUACCCUUAUUACUUUUUCUCUUUCCUCUUUCUCUCUCCUCUUCGUUUCUGUCGUUCUUUUUUUUUUCUCGCCGAAAAAAAAAGGUGGACCGUCGCCUUCUUCUUCACCGUCGCCUCCCUCCUCACCAUCCUUCUUCACCGUCGCCCCCCUCCUUACCCUUCUCUCCACCGCCCGCGACCCCCUCCUCCUCUCCUCCGCUGCCGCGGACCCCCACCCGAUCCCUUCGCCGCGGCGGCAGCGGCCGCGGCGAACGGGGUCGGGCUGGAUGCGGAGAAGAAGACAACUGGUCCGUAAGGAUAAGAAAUAAGGGUUUUAGACUUGCAAUAGCGUCUAGGGCGCAGGAGGGGAGGCGGAAGCGCAACCGGCGCAGGCACCAGCGUCACGCGUGUUUCUUCUCGUCGGCGGCCCCUCCUCCCGCCGCGCGCAGAAGCGCCGACCAGCGCCUCUGCUUCUCCCACGACGACGUCGAGACGCCGCGUCCGCGCGGACCCCCAGCCCGAUCCCGUCGCUGCAGUGGCAGCCGCGCGGCGAACGGGGUCGGACUGUUUUUUAUUUUUUAAACUACACAUCUUAACAGAUAUUUAUACUGCUUCUCCUCUUGUUGCACUGUUUCUCUCUUGUUGCACUGUUUCUCCUCUAAAGAGGAGAAACAGUGCAACAAGAGGAGAAGCAGUAUAAAUAUCUCUUAAAUGGGUGCAGUUUAAGAUAAAUGGGUGCAGUUUUUUUUCUUGUUGCACCAUUUUUCCUCUUGUUACACUAUUUUUUAUUUUAAACUAACACAUCUUUAACAGAUAUUUAUACUGCUUAUCCUCUUGUUGCACUGUUUCUCCUCUUGUUGCACUGUCUCUUCUUUAAAGAGGAGAAACAGUGCAACAAAGAGGAGAAACAGUGCAACAAGAGGAGAAGCAGUAUAAAUAUCUCUUAAAUAGGUGCCAGUUUAAGAUAAAUGGUGCAGUUUUUUUUUUCUUGUUGCACCAUUUUUUUCUUGUUACACUAUUUUUUAUUUUAAACUACACAUAUUUAACAGAUAUUUAUACUGCUUCUCCUAUUGUUGCACUGUUUCUCCUCUUGUUGCCACUGUUUCUCCUUUUUAAAGAGGAGAAACAGUGCAACAAGAGGAGAAACAGUGCAACAAGAGGAGAAGAGUAUAAAUAUCUCUUAAAUGAGUGCAGUUUAAGAUAAAUGGGUGCAGUUUUUUUUCUUGUUGUACCAUUUUUCUCUUAUUACACUAUUUUUUUAUUUUAACUACACAUCUUUAACAGAUAUUUAUACUGCUUCUCCUCUUGUUGCACUGUUUCUCCUUUGUUGCAUGUUUCUCCUUUUAAGAGGAGAAACAGUGCAAACAGUGCAACAAGAGGAGAAGCAGUAUAAAUAUCUCUUAAAUAGGUGCAGUUUAAGAUAAAAAAUAGUGUAACAAGAGGAGAAAUGAUGCAACAAGAGGAGAAACUGGCAACAAGACGAGAAACAAUGCAACUUUCAUUUAAGAGUGUAAUUUUUAUCUUAGUGGGUGCAGUUUAUAUCUGAAGAGAUGCAAUAAGAAGAGAAACAGUGUAAAUAUUCUUUCAAAGAGUGUAAUUUUCAUUUAAAGAGUGUAAUUUUUAUUUUAAAGCUGCAGUUUACAUCUUAAGUAGUGCAACUUGUAAUUUUUUUGUAGUUAACGAUACAAUUUCAUCUUCAUCCUUUUUUUAUAUAAUUUUUUAUCUUUAUUUUUUUCUGUUUUUUUUUUUGUCACCCUCUCUGUCAAUAACCGUGUCGGGGUGACGACGCCGCUAAAGACCCCCACUCCGAGGCUGCAGCGCCGCAGUGAUCUCCACGGUGUCGCGUCGGUGUCGGCGAAAAUACAUCGUCGUCGGAGGGCAGCAGAGAAGGAGGGAGAAGGAGGACGGGAAGGGCAGGGAGAGCGAGAGAGCGCCGUCGUCGGAAAAUCGUGGAGGAGAGUCAGAGAAGAAAAGAAAAGAAAAAUGCAAAAAAAAAAAGUCACAGCCCGGCCUUAGGGGGAUCGGAGGCGAGGAAGGUGGGGGCGCCGGCGGCGACGCCGCUCUGUCUUCGCCGCUCUCUAGGAAGAGAGAAAAAAAAGAACGAGAGAAAAAAGAGAAAAGAAAAAGGUAUAAGGGCACCUUCGCUCCGUCUUCGCCGCUCUCUGGGAAGAAAAAAAAAAAGAACGAGAGAAAAAAAGAGGAGAGAGAAAGAGGAAAGAGAAAAAGGUAUAAGGGUAUUUUGGUCAGUUUGCUGAAAAAGCGGACCGAAUCUGCAAAAGCCAAAAAGAUGACCCGAUUUUGCAAAAGCCCAAAAUAAGUGAAUUUUUUAUGCAAAUUGGCCAUUAUAUAUUAAUGAUUUAUAAGAAUAUAUAUAUAUUUUUCUAUAUAUACAACAAUCAAAUUUAUUUGUGAUCACACUGACAAAUUUGUUGUUACUUGAGAUGUGGGAGUGAUCACAUCCUGGUAUAAAUUGGCAUCAUUAGCUGUUGUCAGAAUAGUCAAUGCCAAGGAUUUUGUUGUUGGAUUCUUAACAGUUAAAAUAUUCCUUUCAAUCAUAAAAAGGGGUAAAGCUAACUAUUUCCUUUACUGCUUUUAGUUGCUGUUGCUUUGAUUACUUUCACAUUGCUCACUUGUACUAGAGCUAAAACAAUUUGUGCAUCACACUGUUAAUUUCUCUUGAUUUAAUUUUUGAUUUUUUUUUUUGUUCUAUUUGAUAGUCACAGCAUUCUACAUGCUUAAUUUCACUCUACUAUAUUAUCCUUUAGUAUUAUUUUUAUAUAUUAUAUAAUAUUUUUUUCAAAAGAUUUUAUUAUAUUAUUAUAUUUUAUUAAUUGUUGUACUACUGUAUUUUAGAAUUAUUUUUAUUUUUCUAUUUUAUACUAUUUUUUCUCAUAAAUAUCACCAAAAUAUUUUUUUUACUCGUCAAUCUCUAUAUUACUGUUAACAACUCUAUUAUUUUAGACAAAAUAUAAUAACUUUAUUGAGAAGUACCAGUUAAAUAGUAGAAAAAUAUAAAAUAAAUUUUUAUGAUAGAUUCAUUAAAAUUUUCUAUCAUAUUGUUUUCAAUUACUAUUUUAUUAUUUUUAUAUAUUUUGCUAUUUGUAUAUCAAAAUGAGCUGAAUAUAAACUCAACCAGUUUUAUUUGGUAUUUUUUAUUAACUUGCAUAUAAUAUUAUAAGUUUAUUCUUUAUAGUAUAUAAAUUGAAAAAAAGAAGAAAAACAGUUAAGUGGUGUGUUUGAAAAAAAAAAUAAUACAAUAUAGAAAAAGAAAUCUAUAAAGUACAGCAUAAUAUAGUGCAAUUAGGCCUACUCUAUAUAAGAGUUAUAAGUAUUCCAAAAGGUCUUUCGUAAAUACAAUUGAUAAGUUAUGUACUGCGAAUAUUUCUAUAAGUUUUGUGUGUUUGUAUCCGCUAAUAUUCAUGUCAGACUUGUAUUCGACUCUAACACGUCAUGGACACCGAUUCGACAUAGGUACAUGAUGCAUCCCAUCAAAAAUAUCCAUAUACUUUUUUAUUUUAUUUUUUAUUCGUAUAUAAUAUAAGAUGAUAUACAUUUUGAUAUUUACAUUUUGAUAUUUUAGGAAUCCAUAUUAUAUUUUUUUGGAAGAAUAUAAAUAAUUAUGUAUAGUUGUGAUUUGUGAAGGUCUUUCAUUAAACCAUAUCAACUAAUCUUAUUAGCUUUUUCAUUCCUAUACAAAAUAUAAUAAUAUUUUAAUAUUAAUAAGUAGUAUAUAUAUCGUGUUCAUGUUCUAACUUUUUUAAAGCUGCUUAGUCAUCGUGCUAGAAUCGUGCCGUGUUUCAUAUCGAUGUCCAUGGCGCCUAGUUGAUGAAUUAAACAUUGUCAAGUCCCCUAGCUUCUAAAUUUUUUUUGCUUAAUUAAGUUUAAAACAGUAUCAAAUUUUAUCAUUUGAUUGGUUAUUAAUCGUUAAUUGACCUAGUUUUACUUGCUAAAAAGUAACUAUUAUUAUUAAUUUGGUGAAAUCACCUAUGGAUUUAAUAAAAUCGUCAAACAAAAUUUUGCGUAAAACCACUGAAUUUUUUUUAAAAAAUAGAAGUUUCGGGUUCAAAUAAGAGCAAAAAGAAAGUUUAGUGGGCUAUUUGAAUUUGACCAAAUAAUUUUUAAAAAAUUUAUUUGGCUAAAUAACUUUAUUUUGUUCAACUCAGCGCCAAACAAAAAUCAAAAGACGGUGAAUUCGCUUUUCAUAAAAUUUAAAAAGCAGCAAAUCAUUUUCGUUUUUCAUUUUUAAAAAGAAAAGAUGAAUGAUUUACUGUUUUUUUUUUAUAUUCUCUAUAUACAACCCUAAUAGCCGAACAAAAAUCCAACAACGGACAUAUAAAUCUAACAAACUCACAAGAAUUUUAACAACCCAUAAUACAAUUAUAAUAAUCAAAUAAAAAUUCCAACAACCUUAUAAAAAUUAUAACAAGCUAUAUAAAAAUGUCACAAACAAUAGUAACAAUCUGAAGUUUUUUUAAAAACAGUAAAUAAUUCACCGUCUUUAAAGUUUUAUUAAAUCCGGUGAAUGAUUUACUUUUUUUCACUUCUCUGUCUUUCCACCAUGGCGCUGAGUUGGACAAAAUAGAAUUAGUUUGGCAAUUAUAAUUUUGACAGAAUUAUUUGACAAAUUAUAAACUUUUUUAAGAAUUAAUUUAAAACAUAAGUCAUUUCUAAAAAAAAUAAAACAAAUAACAUAUCACCUUUCUCUCAUUGUACUUUUGAUAAGGUUUUAAUUGCUCACGGCUACUGCAUGUAAUAAACCACUGUUUGGGCAAUUCAAGCACAUUAAAUACCACACCUGCUUGUUUGUAUGAUGCCUUUAAAUUAAAUUCCCAUUUUAGUACUACUAAUAUAAGAAUCUUACAUUUAUGACCCUAUAUUUACUUAGUAUCUUACAUUUAUGACCCUAUAUUUUUCCCAACCGGUUGUUGUUGAAUAUAUAUAAUAUAUAAACAGCAUUUUCUAAUAAAUUAAGCAUUCAGAAUACAAUAGUUGUUUCAUAUAAUUCAACAUGAUAUCAGAAUAGAAAACUCUGAGUUUAAAUUUCGAGUGGAUCCAUCUCAGCUGCUGGAUCCCGCAUUUUCACCGAUCGUAUAAGAAAUUUUUUUUCACACGAAGCUGUAGAAUAUUUAAAUCCUUUUUAGUUGAGAUAAGACUUUGCAAUUAGCAAAAAGGCCUACAGUUUUGUUGCGGCAAAGAGUCAAAAUGAGUUUCUGAACUUUAAAAAUAAAGUUCUAAUUUGAACCUUUUAUUUCUGACCUAUAAAAAGAUUAUUACAAGAUUUUACUGGAAAAAAAUAAAAUUUAAAGAUCUAAUUUAAAACUUCUAUUUCUCACGUACUAAAAAGUUAUUAGAAAAUUUUUACUUAAAAGGUUGUGAGUUAUUCUCCGGCCCGAUUCUAAACUUCAAAAACAAAAGUCUUAAGGCUUCGUUUCGGAUUAGAGGGAGCUUGCGUUACAUGCGGUGAGAAAAUAUGUUGGAAAAAUAUCUUGUUUGUUUUCGUACGUAAUAUUGCGCGUUCCAUAUAUCGCGAUUAGUCAGCUACGAUAUAUUUUAUGAGUCUUAUCGGAGAACACAAAAGCAUAUCCCUAUAUACUCUUACCCAAACUCCAUUUUUUCUAAUAGCGUUAUAUAGAUUUCAAUACCAAACUAAGCCUAACUAGAAGCUUCUAUUUGAUAGAUUUUUAAGUGAUUCUUCGGACGACUUUUCCGAAUCCCAAAUUGAAAGAUCUAAUUUAAAACUUCUACACUAGCUGUCCCUAGCACAAGUGACAAAAGGUUUGAUGGUUGGUAUCCGAUGUCGCAAGUUCGAAUCCUAAUUGAUUCACAUUUCCAGCUAAAUUUAUUUCUAAAUAAAAUAAACAAAACGAAUAGCAUACUACCUAUCUCUCAAAAAAUUUAAAAGUUCUACUUCCGCUGAACUAACCUGAGAAA
rnacentral:lncRNA from 1 species